rnacentral:lncRNA from 1 species
UCAGGCACCUCAAUGUCUUGUCCUCACCUUAGUGGUGUAGCAGCUUUGCUGAAGAGUGCACAUCCUGAUUGGUCUUCUACAGCUAUUAAAUCUGCAAUGAUGACAACCGCUGACACAUUAAACCUUGCCAAUAGUCCAAUGCUAGAUGAAAGGCUCCGUCGUGCUAAUGUCUAUGCAAUUGGUGCAGGGCACGUUAAUCCAUCGAGAGCAAAUGACCCUGGACUAAUUUAUGAUACCCCAUUUGAGGACUAUGUACCUUAUUUUUGUGGUUUGAACUACACAAAUCAACAGGUAGGUAACCUGUUGCAACGCAAGGUGAAUUGCUCGGAGUUGAAAAGUAUCCCUGAAGGACAAUUAAAUUAUCCUUCAUUUUCCAUCGGACUUGAAUCAACUCCUCAGACAUAUACCAGAACCGUGACCAACGUUGGUGAUGCUAUAUCAUCUUACAAGGUGGAGAUAGCUUCACCAAAAGGAGUUGUCGUGGAAGUUGAACCGUCUGAACUAAGUUUCUCCCAGCUGAACCAGAAGUUAACAUACCAAGUGACAUUUUCCAAAACAACCAAUAGCUCAGAUGUUGAGAUUGUUGAGGGAUUUUUGAAGUGGACUUCUAAUAGGCACUCUGUGAGAAGUCCAAUUGCAGUUGUUUUACUCUAGUGAAACUACAAGACUCCAAAUUCUAGUAUUAAUGCGUUCAAUAUAAAAUGCAGUAUAGUAAGUGCAGAAAGUACUCAAAACAUUUGAUUAUAGUGAAAAUGUUGUUUCCACUUAGUAUAUGCUUCAUGUUACUUUUGCAUUUUUGUUCAUUAACUUUUUUGAUUAGUUAAUGGUCUUUGAUGUUUUAUCGAUACAAAAUGCACAUAAUUUCUAACAAAAGAUGCACAUUAAUUUCUUCAGCAUGCUCCGAUCCUGCCCAACACGUAAGGCCUUCAGGCGAUCGCAACUUAUUUCAUUUCUAGCCAUUUUUUUUUUUGUAGAUCAUGCAUACUACUGUACUGCAAGCUGUGCAAUUAUAGCUCCAUCCCAAGGAUCAAAAUCUGGAUCAUCCUCAAGACUUUAGUAACAUAGUGACCCAUGAAACAAGUGUGACAGUUUGAGGCCUGUUUACUAAACAUACUUAGUCAUAGUUUAGAUAAUAACCAAACGUACCAAGCUAAUAUCAAAUUCUUUUUUUAUCACUGAUAUAAGGUGAAUCUCAAAAACUGUUGUAUCACUUAUAUGAGGCGAAUUUCAGAAACUCCACCUACAUUUUGUUAUUUAUUUAAACUCGCACUAUGUUUGAUAAAUAUGGUUUAUAAAUUUACUAGAUGACUAUUUGAAUAUUAGAACUUUUUAUAUUUCGUCUGAUGAUUAGUAAUAAUGCCUUGGGCUCUUGGGCUUUAUGGCCAAUAGAAAGCACGAUAACUCAGAAUGUAACAUCAUCCAUGGUACAAGCUGUUUGUCUUGCAAAGAAAUUAAAUUAACCAACUUUGGCUUUGCUAGAAUUUUCACAAACAAGACUCAGGAGAGUAUUGUUGCAAUUUGUAUGUGGCCCAUUAUGUAUUGGUUCCAUUAAUAUUUGGGGUGUCAAUGGUACAGUUCCGACGGUUAUUUUGUGAACUUUAUAUCAUGUAUAAAACAUAUAAAUCCGAAAGUAUUUACAUAUAAUUCCGUUAGGCUUUCUCUUUUUCUAAUUUAUAAAAUAUACUUAUAUUUUAGGUAAGCCCUUAUACAUUACUGCAAUGUAUAAUAAAACAAAUUUACUUAUAUUUAUGAAAAAAGAAACAGAUAAUAUCUUUCUCUAUCUUAAUUAACACAAUUAAUUACCUAUCAUUAUGUGGUGUAUGAUUAAAUAUAGUAACUGAAAUUUAAAUUCAAAAAAAUCUUAAACAUCACUAUUAAUUGUUCUCAUUUACAAUAUUUUAUGUUGUUUAUUCAUUUUAACAGAUAAAAAAGUCUUAUUAUUUUCUUCUUAUACUAUUUUUAAUAGUAAUAAAUUACAUAAACAAUAAUAAAAUAUUAUUUUAAUUAAAACCUUUUUAAAAAUUAUGUAACAACAACAUAAAAUAAUAUAAAAUCUAGUAAGAGUAUUUAUUUUUUUCGUUCUCUUUACUUUACUUUAGUAGGAGUAAUAUUAAUACGUAUGGAUUAUUUGUGUUCACAUUGAUAUGAUCCAUUAAAAUCCUAGAAAAUUGAUUUUCAAAGUAUGUUUUGACGAAAGAAAUUAUCUUUCAUUCACGGAAUCAUAUAAAUUUAUUAUAAAUAAUUUAAAAUUCAUGAAAAAAAUAAACAUCAGUUAACAAAAUAGUUAAAUGAGAAUAAUAUAUAUCCAAAUACAAUAUUCAGUUUUAUUAUUCAAUAUGUGAUGUAUUUAUUGAAUCAAAUAACGGAUAAGUUGAAAUUUAAAAGAUAACAUUAUACAAUAGUUGCACAUGUAUGUGGGCACAUUAUACAUUUAAAAAAUAAUGUGCAGUAAUGUAUAAUGUCAUACUAUACAUUUAAGUAUUAACAAUAAACAUGUAUACUUCUGUAUCCUUAUCAGGAGAUAUAAUGUAACCUUAUACAAAAUUAAUACUUUCUAAUUGUAUAAUACCAAAUAAUACAUAAAAUGCCUCUUAAAUGUAAUAAGAACUUCUUCAGGUAUAACAUAAUGAAAUAUAUAGCAGAAGAAUUAUAUUAUACAUUAGUCUUCCAAAAAUAACUAAUGUAUAAUGUCUGAUAUAUUAUACAUUAAAAUAUAAUUUUUUCAAAAUGUAUAAUAUCCACUAUACGUAUAAAAUAUUCACCUUAUACAUUAAUUAUUUACAAGAGUAUAAUAAUUUUAAGGAAAACUUAGUGUUAUUGUAAUAUUACAUUGGCUACACGAUAAUAAAGAAAAAGAAUGAUUCAAUUUCCUUUAUUACGUGAAUUGAAAGUGUACAUCUUCAAUUCCAAUUAUAAAAGUUAGGAGGGAAUGAGAGAGUAUUAAUAUUACAUAAGCAUGAUUGUAGGCGUAAAUAAAGGAGCACAUAUCUAUUAUAUAUUAAAAGUGUGAAGAGCCUUAGAAAUAUCGUUUGAACUUUUUGUCCUUCAUGAAAAGUCUUUGCUUUAGACAAAAUCGUCUUUUUACUAUUUUUCUAAUAUUUAAAAUUUGAAAAUUAAUAAAAUAUAUUUAUGAUAAAACCUUUCCUUAUUAGAAAAGAUCAAAAUUAAUGACAAUUAAUAUUUUUUCCAUUAGUUUAAGAAUUCUAGAUCAGCUAAAAAAUAAAAACCUUUAAUAAUUAUACAUAAACACUAAUUUAUAUUAAACCCUAAUACUCUAAUACUAUAUUUAAAGAAAAAUCCAAAAGAAUUUCCCCUACAUUCCCAAAGCAUUGCCGUUUUUUUGAAAAAUUUUCCUUACAAAUCUUUUUCGUAUUUUUCUACUACCUUAUAAGUAUUUUUAAAUUUUAAUAAAGGACUUAUUAUAAGUUAAAUAGGAGUCCAAAAUUUAAUCUUUUUUUUAAUAAAUUAUUAAAACUCUUAUAUUCCUCAAAUAAAAUUCUAAUUAUACAUAAACGCUAACAUAUAUUACAAAAUUUAUAAUACUCAAAAAGGAAAAAACUCUAAAGCCAAAAAGGCAAAAACGUAUCUUUUUAUUUUAUUUUUUACUUUCUUUACUUUUUUUAGUUUCAAAUUCAAUGGUCUUUUCCUAAAAUUCUAAUUAUACAUAAACUCUAACAAAUUAGUUAAAGUCCUUAUUUUAUGUAAGUAACAAAUCAUAAUAUUUAACAUUCCUAAAUUAAUUAGAAUUUUACCUUAUAUAUCUAUAAUCUAUAAUCUAUAUCUAUAAUAUAUUAAAAAUGUGAAGCCCUUAGAAAAGUGAUUUUAACUUUUUGUCCUUCGUUAAAGGACUCUCCUAUAGACAAAACUGUCUUUUCACUAUUUUUUUAAUUUAUUAUUUAAUUGUUUUUAUUAUAUUAACUAGACACUCCUAAAAUAUAUGAAAGAAGAAUCAAUUAAUAUUUUCCUUUGUAGUGAUCAAUUAGAAAAAUACUUCUAAAAUAAUAUAGAAAAAAACUCCUAAAAUAGGACUAUACUAAGAAAAUACUUCUAUAAAUAUUGAGAUGCACGUUAAACUAGAGAAGAAAUCGAUUUACUUAAGUUUUGUGAUCACUAUUGUAUUAUUUUAUUGUAGUUUAUAGGUCGUAGAUGAAUUUACAGGUGGUAGACGCAUGUCGGUCGGCUUUACGGAACUUUUUUAGGUAAAUGUUAGGUUUAAUUUUAUUAUUUUUAUAUUUCUAUUUUGACAGUUUUUUUUGUAUAAAGGUAAAGUUUAGUUGUGUUAUUUUGAUAUCUCUAUCAUCGUAUUGUUUUGUUAUACUUUACAGGUGGUAGAUGAGUGGCAGACGACUUUGAAAAUUUUUUUGUGUAAAGGUUAGAUUUAAUUAUAUUGUUUUAAUGUCUCUAUCAUCGUAUUAUUUUGUUGUAGUUUACAGGUGGUAGAUGAAUGUCGAUCGACUUUGACAAAUUGUUUUGAUAAAGGUUAGGUUUAAUUAAAUAGAUUCUCAAAAAGAUGUUGAAUUUAAUUAUUGUAUUUACCUUUAUUAUUUAAACAAAUAUCCUAUUUAGUAUAACGUUUAAACUCAAUAAAGUGAGGUACACGCGCGAAGCGCGUACAUCUAAACUAGUAUGGAACAAAAAUCAAUGCAAUAAAAUAGGAGCAAAAUUUGGUAUUUUGAUAUGUAUGAGGGGGAUGAGAGAGAGAGAGAGAGUGAAUUUAAGGGAUUUAUGUAAUUACUUUGAAGUUUUUGUAAUUUCUUUUCCAAUAUGGGAUUUUAUAUAAUAAGGUAAAAGUUACCUUGUAUAUAUAUGUAAUUUUUAGUUAUAUGAUAUCAGUUUUUUUGGUAAUUUUAUUUUAUUUUAUAUAAUCAAAACUAGACUUUUGAAAACCAUCCCAUCAUCUCGGUUUCUCUCCGGUAUUGGUAUGGUUCGGUUAAAUUUUGAUAUUUUUCUAAUGAAUAUAUAAAGUUAGAAGAAAUUACAAUGUAUACUUGUAUAUGACUUUGACAAAAACUCUCUAGACAAUUUUAUUGUCUAAAAGGUGAUGAACCAAUAAAAUAUAAAAUAUACAAGAACAGAAAUUCAUUGUAUUAACUUACAAUAGUGUAAAACAUUAUUAAGCAAAGACAAAAAAUAUAAUUUAGAUCACAUAAACGAAAUCAGUCAAGAUAAAACUUAAGAACGGAGUCUACUUAAAUUAGGUAUCUAAUAAGAGAAAUCUAGAUCAUAAGAGAGGAAAAAUAUCAAAUACUAACUUACAGCUUUUUACCAAGAUUGUUGGGGUACCUUGUAGCUUGCUAGUUACAUCUCGAGAGACGAGAUGCAUUAAUUUAAUUGUAAAUAACGUAAACCCCAAGUGUUUCAUAUAUAUAUUUACCAUCUCUCCCAACUUUUUUAAAUAUUACUGAAAAUUCCAUUUCUGAUACAUUACUUGCUAUUGUAUGAUACAUUAUUUUAAGAUAAUUAAGUAUCAUAUUUAAUAACUGGUAAUUAAGCAGAAGAUUGUUUGAUCAAAUCCCUUAAAUAUAGGAGUUGCCAUUUUGUAAUACAUAAAUCACGUAACAGAUUCAUUUUUUUUUUUUUAAUUUUGAAUGCCUAUUUCAUUUUUUUUCAUCUCUUUGCUUCAGAAAAUUUAUUUUUGACAACUCUUUCAUACAAUUUAACAUCAUGAAUAUUUCAAUUCUGCUGAGACAUUCUGAUAUCUGACAAAACAAAAUUAUUUACGAAAAUUACAAAAGUGAUGGAAUUGUAGUUAGCGAAAGUGUGUCGUAUUUCAGUGAAUUUAAGGGAUUUAUGUAAUUACUUUGAAGUUUUUGUAAUUUCUUUUCCAAUAUGGGAUUUUAUAUAAUAAGGUAAAAGUUACCUUGUAUAUAUAUGUAAUUUUUAGUUAUAUGAUAUCAGUUUUUUUGGUAAUUUUAUUUUAUUUUAUAUAAUCAAAACUAGACUUUUGAAAACCAUCCCAUCAUCUCGGUUUCUCUCCGGUAUUGGUAUGGUUCGGUUAAAUUUUGAUAUUUUUCUAAUGAAUAUAUAAAGUUAGAAGAAAUUACAAUGUAUACUUGUAUAUGACUUUGACAAAAACUCUCUAGACAAUUUUAUUGUCUAAAAGGUGAUGAACCAAUAAAAUAUAAAAUAUACAAGAACAGAAAUUCAUUGUAUUAACUUACAAUAGUGUAAAACAUUAUUAAGCAAAGACAAAAAAUAUAAUUUAGAUCACAUAAACGAAAUCAGUCAAGAUAAAACUUAAGAACGGAGUCUACUUAAAUUAGGUAUCUAAUAAGAGAAAUCUAGAUCAUAAGAGAGGAAAAAUAUCAAAUACUAACUUACAGCUUUUUACCAAGAUUGUUGGGGUACCUUGUAGCUUGCUAGUUACAUCUCGAGAGACGAGAUGCAUUAAUUUAAUUGUAAAUAACGUAAACCCCAAGUGUUUCAUAUAUAUAUUUACCAUCUCUCCCAACUUUUUUAAAUAUUACUGAAAAUUCCAUUUCUGAUACAUUACUUGCUAUUGUAUGAUACAUUAUUUUAAGAUAAUUAAGUAUCAUAUUUAAUAACUGGUAAUUAAGCAGAAGAUUGUUUGAUCAAAUCCCUUAAAUAUAGGAGUUGCCAUUUUGUAAUACAUAAAUCACGUAACAGAUUCAUUUUUUUUUUUUUAAUUUUGAAUGCCUAUUUCAUUUUUUUUCAUCUCUUUGCUUCAGAAAAUUUAUUUUUGACAACUCUUUCAUACAAUUUAACAUCAUGAAUAUUUCAAUUCUGCUGAGACAUUCUGAUAUCUGACAAAACAAAAUUAUUUACGAAAAUUACAAAAGUGAUGGAAUUGUAGUUAGCGAAAGUGUGUCGUAUUUCAGGUUGAUUUCUGUUAUUACAUUCGGAACUUGACAUAGAUCAAGUGAAGAAAAAUAUAGAUGUUCAUUAUAUUGUUGACGGAAAUAUGACUCCAAUGGUUAUUAGAAACGACAAUGGUAUUAAGGUUUACGUUGAGUUAAAAAAAAUAUUUACAGAUUUUAUAAUAUAUCCGUUAUGUAUUACGACAAGGAAUAAAUCGACUAAAGAUCGAGAAUUUGAUGUUGAAACUGGUGCGGUUAUGUGUGUCGAAGGAAUAGAAUCAGAUGCAUCUGCACUUGCCGUUGUUGAGUCUAAUAAUCAAUACGCUUUGUAUGUAUCAAAAAUUGAAACUAUUAAAUUCAUCACCGAUUGUCAUUCAGUUGAGAUUUUACGGUGUUUGAAUGAAUCAAUUUCAAUAUUAAUGAUACGAAAGUAAUGAAAUUGUUGUUGGAGAAAAUAUUUCUUUUUUGAGAUUGAUUUCAAAAAACAAUCCCCUUCAAUGAAAAUUUCAGAAAAUAAAUUCUCUCAUAUCUGUUUUCUUUUUCUGAUUUGUUUAUUUUGAAUAUGUUAUGAACAUCUCCGUUCUGUUGAGAUUUUAUAGUGUUUGAAUGAAUAAACUUCAAUAUGAAAAAUAUAAAAGUAAUGAAAUUGUUGUUGGAGAAAGUGUUUUGUUUUUGAGUUGAUUUCGACAAUCACAAUCAAAUUUGGUAUUGAUAAUCAAGAAAAAAAAUCAACGCCAGAUACGUUGUCAAAGAAAAUUCAUCGCCAAUGAUGAUUCGGAAGACAAUGAAGUAAAGGUUUAUGUUGAGUUCAAGAAUAAUGUUUUCGAAUUUGUAAUGUAGCUCGAAUGAUGGUAUAUUGGUGUUGUAAUAUGAAACAUUACUGCUUAUAUUUAAUGUAUCAGGUCACAAAAGAUGCAUUUAUGACUUCCUUUCGAAAGAGAAUUGAUAUUUAUAUUUCAAGAUACAUAGCAUGUUUCACGUAUUCUGAUUAAUUUGUUGCUUUGUUUUUAGUUGGUCUAACGUUGAAUAUUGUUUAAACAAUAUUGUAGUAUAUUUCAUUUGAGACCUGCUACAUUUUGAUGUAUUAUAGAAUUUAAUUUUAUAGUAUAUUUCCUUUACAUAAACAUGUAAAUCAUUUGGAUUAUCUUGUACAAGUUCAAGCAUUAACAUGCAUUUAAUUAUUUGUCCUUACAAAUUCGAUUUGGACAUAUCAAUAAAUACACCAAAGCAUGUCUGCUUAACAAUUUGAGUACUUUUAUCCAAAAAAUUCUUAAUAUCAAUAGCAAAUUUAUGAUUGCACGAACUACCAAACCUCAUAGGAUGAGGUGGAAUGAAUUUGAUAACGUAUUUCAUCCCGUGCAUUCAGAAAUAUUGUACAUAAUAUAGCGCAACAGAAUAAUAAAGAUAUAUUUAUUUUUAUAAUAUAUUUCUUAACAUAAAUAACAUUAUUAUAUUGGAUGAAUCAGGUGUAAAAGUAUCCAAAACAUACAUAACUUUUACUAUGUAUUAGAAAUAAUAAAAUAUUUUAUUAAGUUAGAUCUAUGUAUCGGAUUCAAUAUAUUGAAUGUAUCAGGUGUAAAAGAACCCAAAUUACAUACAGAUUUCAGUAUGUAUUAAAAAACAUGCCAUAUCUCAGUAAAAUUUGAUCUGUAUCAAAUUCAAUAUAUUUAAUGUAUCAGGUGAAAAAAACCCAAAACACAUACAACUUUUACUAUGUAUCAUAAAGAAUGCAAUGUCUCUGUAACAUUACAGUUAUGUAUCAGAUGCAUCGUUUAUAUUAUCGUUUGUUACAUUUUGUAUUAUGAUACAUAAUUAUAAUGUAUAUGGGCGAAAUUCAUCUAUCAAAUACAUAAAAAUCAUAUAUUUGAUAGUGGAUCUCUUUCUACAACUUCCUUUCUAUUUCUUUCUCUUUAAAGCAACAUUCUUUUAUCUCUUUGAAACAACAACAAAAAGCUUUUUUUCAUUAUUUUCAGCAGCAUCCCGUAACUUCUUCAUCAUUGUUAGAUCGUUUGCGUCAAUGGACGAUCAAUGUUAAAACUAAUAAACUUAAAAGAGAAAAAGCCACAACUUCCUUUCUAUUUCUGGAGUAAUUUGCGUCAAUGGAAGACCAUUACUCCAAAUGGAAGACUGUUUUGCAUUAAACAUGGGAUUUAGAGUAAUCUAAGUUAAUGAAAUCGUGAAUUUAAGGCUAAAUUUUAGGAGUUGUUUGUUGUGUAUUGAAGUGGAUAGUAAUGUAUCAGAAAAAUAGCGUGUAAAGUGGUUUAGAAGGGAUUUUUGUAAUUAGUUUAGUAGAUGGGAUUUAAAGUAAUAUUAAAAAGUUAAGGUGUUGUUUUAGGUAAUUUUUUCUUAAUUUAAUUUCGAUUGGAGUAGCAUAAAAAGUUUCUUUGUUAGGAUUUUAAGUGUUAAUUAUGUUGCUGCUUGUUGUCACUUCCACUACGCUGUAUCUAAAGAAAUUCUCUUAAUAUUGUAUUACUUUUAAACUUAAUAUAUAAAUAUAUUUUACACUUAUAUUAUUUGAGGCGAUUUUAUAUUUUUCAAUUAAUUUUAUAAAAUAAAAACCAACCUAAUCAUUCGGCACGAUUAUGAAUUUAUAUAAAAAUUGUCGAUUUUGUUAAAAAAAUAUCUAAAAAUCGAUUCUAGAUGGGUCAGUCAGUUGUUCAAAAAUUAUUGACACUCCUAAUUAUUAUGAUAACAAUUAAAUUUGGCUUAACUGAACCCUGAAGUCCAAUUGCAAUUGAGUUAGUGAAACUACAACGCUGGAUAUUCUUAUGGAAUGUGAUAUAAUAAGUGUAGAAAGUACUCAAACAUUUUACUAGUGAAAAUGUUGUUUCCUUUUAGUAGAUGGUGUAUGUUCUCUUUUUUUUUUUUUUUUUUUUUUUUUUUUUUUUUUUUUUACUUUUUUGAUUAGUUAAUGGUCUUUGAUGUUUUAUGAGCACAAAAGAUGCAGACUAAUUUCUAUAGGGGUAACUAAUUUCUUCACCAUGCUCUUAUCAUGCACAACAUGUAGCCUUCAUACAACUUGUUUCAUUUCUGGAUGGUUUUUUAGAUCCUCUAUAGACUGUACUGCAGGUUGACAAUUUCUCUACCUCAGCUCAAGACAUUCAUGUGAUGAUUAAGGUUAGACCUGACCACAAAUCUUGGCUUUUUUCUGCUAUUUAUGCUAGUUCUGACUAUCACACUCGUACCUUGCUCUAGGAUGAACUCUGUGACAUAGCUAAGAGGUAUAGUAGUGAAUGGUUUAUCGGCGGGGACUUUAAUGAGAUUUUAGAAGCUAAUGAUAAGUUAGGUGGAGCCCCCAUCAAUGUAAAUAGGGCAAAUGCCUUCAGAGAGUGCCUUAACCAAUGUCACAUGAUGGACCUAGGCUUUAAAGGUAAUAAAUACACUUGGACUAAUAAGCGUCAUAGAAAUAGAAGGCAGCUUAUUUUGGAAAGACUUGAUAGAUAACUGGCCAAUAACCUCUGGAUAAGUCAUUAUCAUGAGACUACUGUCAUGCACCUACCAAGGACCAAAUCUGACCAUUCUCCCAUGCUUGUCAACAUCACCAACAACAGACACCAUUCUCAAAACAAAAUUUUUAGGUUUGAGCCUAUGUGGUGUACUCACCACACUUUCAACAGUCUGGUGUUUUCCUGCUUCAGUUCUGAACAAUUCCUUCAUAAAGCCAUUGUUAAGUUCCAAAAAGAAGCUAGCCACUAGAACUCUACUAUCUUUGGUAAUAUCUUUCGAAAAAUCAAAAGAGUCUUAGCUAGACUUGACGGAAUCCAAAGAUCUGCUAGUUACCAUUAUAGUGUUUUUCUCUAGCAACUAGAAUCUGACCUCCUAGAUGAAUACAACUCGCUCCUCUUGUGUGAAGAGAAAUUUUGGAAAAUGAAAUCUAGAAUUUCUUGGCUUACUGAGGAAGAUGCAAACACCAAAUUUUUUCAUGCAUCUACCCUCAAUAGACUGAGAAGAAAUAGGAUCUUUUCCCUCAACGACGAUUUCGAAAACCUAAUUCAGGGUAGUGAAGACAUCACCAAUCAUAUCCUCAACUUUUUCACAAAGUUGUACACCUCCGAGCACACCAAUUCAAAAAAGGAUCAAGUAUACCUCUGGUGUCCUGGGACAUGGCUUAACAGAAGAAGCCAAAUCCCAACUGACUAGGCCUAUUAGAGAUAGUGAAAUCCUUUCUGCUCUAAAAUCCUUCCACCCUCUAAAGGCUCCUAGCCCAGACGGCCUCCACCCUCUCUUUUUCCGAAAAAAAUGGGACUUGGUCGAGAUAAAAUCAUGACUUUCUGUCACAAAGUCUUUAGAGAAUCCAAGAUUCCCACAUAAUACAAUACCACUUUCCUCUGUCUCAUUCCUAAAGGCACAAACGCUUCUUCAAUUAGAAAUUUCAGACCUAUUGGCUUGUGCAACACUUCCUACAAGCUAAUCACCAAAAUCAUUAUCAAUAGAAUCAAGCCUCAUCUUGACUCUAUCAUUGACCCUUCUCAAUCCAGCUUCUUGUCAAAUAGGAGAGCGGCAGACCACGCCAUUAUUGUGCAAGAAUAUAUCACUUACUUCAGGAAAAUGAAAGGGAAGAGAGCAAAUAUGAUUCUUAAGAUUGACCUUGAAAAGCGUUUGACAGAAUAAAAUGGUCUUUCAUCUAUGAUUCUCUUUUCUAUUUCAACUUUCCUAAAAAUCUCAUUUGCCUCAUCAUGUCAUACGUCACUACCUCCUCCAUUUCCAUUUUCAUCAAUGGAAAACCUUCACAAUUCUUUGAACCUACCAGGGGCAUCCGGCAGGGCGACCCUAUAUCACCCUACCUUUUCAUAAUCUGUAUGGAAAGACUGUCCAGAAUCAUCGAAGAGACAGUCACCCUCAAGGCUUGGACAACAGUCUCCAUCACUCACAAAGGACCUAAAAUCUCCCACCUCUUCUUCGCCGACGAUCUAGCUCUCUUUGCCCAGGCAAACCAUCAAAAUUGCAGAACUAUCAACUCGGUCCUUCAGAAGUUCAGUAUUCUUUCAGGCCAGAAGAUUAAUCAUGAAAAAUCCAGGGUGAACUUCUCCAAUAAUAGCAGUGCUCCCAACGUCAGGGAAUGCUCAAACAUUCUCAACAUUAAGAGUAGCGAGAACUUUGGUAAAUAUCUAGGUUUCCCAAUUUUCAAUCAAAGACCCAACAACGCUGAUUUCCAAUUCAUCCUGGACAAUAUGAACAAAAAACUGGCCGGAUGGAAAACCCAUAUGCUGAACAUGGUAGGCAGAUGCGUGCUAGAAAAAUCCUUCUUAAGUAGCAUCCCUUCCUAUGUCAUGUAACUCCACAUCCUUCCUAAAAUAAUUCGUACAGCCAUUGACAAAACCCAAAGGGAUUUUGUGUGGGGUACAACAGCCAAUAAGAAAAAGCUACACCUUCUUAGCUGGAAUACCAUCACAAAAAAUAAGAGAGAUGGAGGUUUGGGCCUCCACCAAGACGAGCACCGUAACAAAUCCAUCCAUGCUAGUUUUGCAUGGAGAUUCUUUAAGAAUCCUAACAAUUUCUGUGCUAGAGUUCUCACUACCAAAUACCUUAAAGGAGACAUUCACACAAGCAAUAAUAAAGAAUUGUCUCUAGAAUCUGAAGCAAUAUUUGGAAGGGGUGGAAGGAGUGUGCCAAGGGGCUAUCUUGGUCCAUACACAAAGGGAACAAAGCAUCCUUCUUUAAGGACUGCUGGAUCCCGCACAUGGACCCCAUCAGAAGCACUAUCCAUGGACUACUCACUAUCCUUGAAGAUAAGCUAAAAGUGUGCAAAGUAACCUCAAAUGGACUGUGGGACAUGUCAAAACUAUCCUUUUCAUUACCCUAAAGCAUAAUCCAAACAAUCCUCUAUCAAGAUCCCCCUCCUAUCUCUGAUAGAGACGACCAUCCCUACUGGAAGUUUUCAAAUGAUGGCCGAUUCACCAUAUCUAGCAUGUAUUAAAUAAUCGCACAUCCUAAUGCUCAGCUGCAGGGUCAAACGCCACCCAAUUUUAAGUAUAUCUGGAAAGCCGAGGCUCCCAACAAAAUAAAAACUUUUCUUUGGCUCUUAGCCCAUAACAGACUACCCACCAAUGACCAUCUCAACAAAAUUGGGCUCAACAUCAGCCCGGUUUGCCAUUCCUGCAAUUCUAGCGGGAAACCAUUACCCACUUAUUCUUUUAAUGCCCAAAUACCAUUGACUUCUGGAGCAACAUUGGUAGUCGUGCCACCAAUAAUUCCCUUCCUGAUCUGCAAAAUCUCAAUAAUAUAUAUUGGAUUCAGCUAUCGAAGAAUAUUGCUCACAUUCCCUUCAACACCAUUACCACAUGGGGUGUCCUCAUUCUCCAAUGUUUGUGGGCAAUCUGGCUUACUAGAAAUAGCAACACUUUCAGCCAGAAAAACAACCCAAUUAAUGUUGAUACCCCCAAAAAUCACGCGUUAGAAUACAACUUAUCCUGCGCCAGAGAGAUCACUCAGUCACGCAAAAUCUGUAUUAACAUCCCUGUCAGAUGGGAACCGCCACGUGCGGGUGCUUUUAUGCUCAAUACAGAUGGUGCGUGUGAUGGGACUUUAAGGAAAGCGGGACUAGGCAGAGUUAUUCGCGACCAUGAUGGGAAUUGGGUGAUGGGCUUCUACGAAACGUGCCCCUGCACUUCCCCUUUGCAAGCUGAACUGCUCUCCCUCAAAAGAGGCCUUGAGCUGUGAUACGAGCACGAUCAUAAAGAUGGACAUUUUUUAGGGUGUUGAAUGCAACCUACGGAGUGUACGAGUUGAAGUGUGAAAAGGGCUCCAAAGCCGCCCUUAUAUUGCGCUCCAUGGGCACCAUUUUGUCCAUUUAACACUAAGGGGCACUUUUGUCAUUUUAUCUAUUAUUUGUAUUAGCCUAUAUAAAGAACAUGUUGGGGUUUUAGCUCAUUAGUUGUUGAAUAUUGAUGAAAGAAUACUUUUCUUGAGAGAGAGGGCCUCCCUAGGCCGAAACUACGACAUGAGCAAGUGUGGACUCACUUGAGCAAGUGUGGACUCACUUGUGAAUGUGUAUUACUUGGAAAGUUGGUGCUUGAGCGGUGAAAUUCCUAUCGUGUCUUCGUAAGGGUGUGGUGUUGCUAUUGUAAGUCCUAGGGGUCCUUAGAUUUAAUAUAUCUUUGGGUUCCUGGGUUCCUAAUCUUGUAAUAGUGUAUGUCUCACUUUCUAUCUCUACAUUUCAUGUCUUAGUUUGUGUUGUCUAGUGAUCCCGUUGGUUCUUGUUGUGUCUUGUAAUCUUGUAACGUUGGAUUGUUGUUAUCUUAGUGUUGUUCUUCUUAUUAUAAUGUUGUUUAUCCCUUGUUGUUGUUAGUCAUUUACACUUUGUUUCUUGUUGUUGUUGGAGCCGAGAAUUGUGUUUGUAUUGCUCUCGGGUUUCCCUUUGUUGGUGGACUGUUUUUGGUUUCUUUUUUAUACGAUCCAAGUUUAUAUCGUAUCAGGCUAGCUGCAUCAAACAAUAUAAACCCAACUGAGAUUGGUGUUGAUGCCGUCGAACUAACACGCAUAUGUCAAAACGAAAACGGUCUAUGAUGCAGGUAACCCAGGCAGCUCCGACACUCCACAUCUAUAGAGAGCAAAACAUGGUAGCAGAUGCAUUAGCAAAACUUGGACUAGCUGAUCAGCUAUUUGGAGCUCCUCACAUUUUGUAUACCGCUACCCAUCUAUUGAAGUACUAGUCCAAGCGGAUAAAAUGGGAACUUUUACUUAACGAAUGUGGCUACAAAUGCUUCUAACUUUGCUACUUCGUCUGUACAGGGGAACAACCCUGUGGAACUCUCUUCUGUUUUAAGCUAAUGCUAAUACAUCGUUUUUAAACCAAAGAAAAAAAAACUAUUGCUCCAUGACAAGGAUCAAAUUCUGGAUCAUCCUUAAGACUUUGGUGAAUAAGUGAAUCAACCAGGCUUGAGUACUUUAAAGGCCCACAAAACAAGUGCAACAGUUUGAGGUCUAAUUACUAAACAUACAUAGCCAUAGUUUGGAUAGUGUAAAAUAGAGAUGAAGGUCCAAAUGAACUAAUUAAAGAUUUAAGGAAAAGUUAACAGAAAAUAUUAUUAACUGCCACUCUUUAAAUAAAGCUAAAACCUAAACGACCAAAAAAAAGGAAAGAGGAAAAACCAAAAGACUAAUUAAUGAGUUUGCUUAGAUUUGAUAAUGUUUGAUGAUGACUGCAAUAGUUCCUCACUUCUCUCAUGAAAGGUGGUAUCCCUGUUGGAAAGCAAGGUUUAACAACCUUCCCAAACUCUUGGAAUAAAGCAAUGCUCUGGAACUUUUGAAACGGCUUUGCAACAUUGUUUGGAUAAUGACAUUUUAUUAUUAUAGACGGAGGUGACAAAAUCUUUGUCACAAAUAUCAUUCAUCUCGCUUUUACUGAAGCAUAACAAGUCAUCGUCAUCAACUGGGGAUGGAGACGUGUGCGGUGGUGAAACCGCAUCAUCAACUGGGGAUGGAGCCAUGUGUGGUGGACGGCCACCACCAAUAUCGAAGUGAAGGUGGAUGGUGUGGGUGAUGAUGAUACCACCACCAUAGCCACGACUGAAUUGAAGAAGCAGCAAACACGUCGUUGGUAUUUUCUUUAUUGGGUUCGAUUGCAUUGGUGGUAGUACUCAUGCCCAAGUAAAUAGCCAAAAACACACACACAUAAUAAUCUCGACAUGUUUCAGAGAAAAAAGAAAGAAUAAUGACCUGUGACUGUGAGAAUGAAAUGUCACAUUUAUAUUGCAAUUCAAGACUUGUGAAAGACUGCGUUGCAAUCAAACUAAAACUCCUACAUCGUAUGAACAAUAAUUAUUAUACAGAACAUCAACAUAUUUAGGACUUCUAUUGUUUGCACAAUUCUUCAGGAAAAUAGGAAUAACAGACAAUAGAUAUGUCCUCUUUUCCCACUAACUAGAUAAGAUUUAGUUGAAGGUCCACAUUAAAAACUUAUUUUGGAAAAUAGACAUCCUUUUUUUUUAUUUAAAUUUUGGAAAAAGUGGUGGGGUAUGGGUUAAAAUGUAAAAAAAAAUCAUUUUACCACCCCUUAUGUAUUAAUUAAAUACUUCUUCCACCCCACUUUUUUAUUAAUUACAAAUUAUUUUUUCUCUCUGCUCUUCUCUCUCUCUCGUCUCUCCCGCUUCACCUCACCCUUCCACCAUUUUCUAUUUUCUACGUUGUUCAAAGCUUGAAGAACUUCGAUCUUCAACUUCAGGUAAGUUAUAUUCAUCUCCCGAGUAGUUUAUGCUUCAUAUUGAUGUUUUUUUUUUUUUUUUCAUUUUUUUGGUGUUACUCUCUGCCGAUUAUGGUUGGGGUUUAAAGAAAUUUGAAUUUUUUUUUUAAUAAAGGGGCUUGAUUUUACUGAAAUUGAUUUUUUUUUAGUUGGUAUUUAUUCAAUUUUUGAUGGAUAAUUGGUGUAUAUAGAUUAUCCUUGGCGAUUGCAUGUUGAAUUUUUUUUGCUAAUUUCAUCGGAAUGUGCAAAGAAAUGUGAUUUUUGUUCAAACUUAUGUUCAAUGUAAUGGUUUUAUAGAAGCAUGUUCAUGUUGGGGAUUCCUUAGUUUGAAUAAUACUCGUAUUACAUAUUUUGACGAAAAAAACUGAAUUUUUUUUUUGAAAAAAUGAGGCUUGAUUUUAGCUUAAAAUUUGUAUUUUUAAGUUGGUAUUGGUUUGAUUGUGCAUUGUUUUUGUUGGAUUUUAAUUUCCCUCAACGAUUUCAGUGAGAUUUUUAUGUCAAUUUUUCUCAAUUUUCGUGCUAAAAAUCCGAGUUCCUUCCUAUUUUUAUUCAAUAUAAUGGUGUUUUAGAUGCAUGUUCUUGUGGGUGAUGGAGUUGUUAUGGAAGAAGUUUCUCAAGAAACUUUGUUGUUCUGCUGAUAGGCUUUUUUGGUGCUACAACUUCUGUCAUGCUAAUAGACUGUUAGGUCGAUUAGGUAUUGUAUUUGCUGUUAUAACUGAGAAAUGUUAUUUUUUAUCCGUAAAUCAUAACAAAUGGCUAGAGGUAACAAAAGCAAGACUGUAGAAGUUGAUAGGUCUGAGAAAAGAAAAAAACGAGUAGUCAAUGAAUCGGAGAAUAGAAAUUAUAGCGAGGAAACUGUUGAAGCUUUGGUUCAAGAUGAGUUGGAGGAAAUAUGUAUUGAGUCUAGGAUAGAUGAGGAAGCAUUGAUCUUGCCCUACUGUGCAAGGUUUAUUUUGUCUGAGAGGUACGACCUCGCUAUCACACCCUUUUUUUUUUAACUCCGAAAGAUUAAUUUAAGUUUCAAAAGAGUUUUUAUUAUUAAGUGACAAAAGAAAGCAUGUUUGUUUCGAAAAGGAUUAUUUUUACAUUCAAAAUUCAGAGUCGUCACUUGAUAUAAAUCAGGUGUACCAAGUCACCAUUGGAAAUCCUUUUCAAAAUGGUUUGACUCUAAAACUGAUCCGCAAAAAGAGAUUACAGUUAAGGAAUUCUGUUGACUGAGGGGAAGGUGUUAGGCAUCCCUCGAUCCCGUGGUUCGACCACGGUCGCUUGGUGGAGAAUAUCGGCUAAUUUGACAUUACAAAUGUAUAAACCACACAAAAUACACAUAAAACAAUCAAUCAAACGCACAAAACAAAACAAAUCCAAAAUAUAGUGUUUAGUCCAAUUAUACAAUCCCAAAUAAAAAGUGCGAGAAAAGAAAUCAUAUUCUAACCUACACUAACCUAAUUGCAUUCCUGUGCUUUACCCGAUGCCUUGAUCCUUCAUCACGAGUGUCUUUUGCCAACAUAAUACGUCGGGGCAUUCCUCGUUGAAUAAAUACAAUGUGCCUCGGGGCAUUCCCCGGCUAAAUGAAUACAUCUUUUCAAUGCGAUAAAAUCAAAUCAUUCAACAAAAUUUCAAACAUUCAACAAAAUCACAAAUUCUAAACUUUGCCUACCCAACCUAUGUUUGCCUACCCGUUUUGACUUAAAGCAUGAUACUAUCACGUUAAACAUCAACAAUGAAUCAAAAUAUGACAAUAAUCACUUUUUAUCAAUUUUUGCAAUUCCCACCCUCAACUUCAUUCUUAUCGAUCAAUGAUUAACACAUGCUUCAAUUAUCAACUCACUUUUCAACAUUCAAAUCCAACAUCAACCAAUACGCAAUCAAGAUUCAAACAUAUCAAACACAUAAAUCAUUCACGAUAACGUAAAAAUUAAAGCGAGAGAAGAUAGAAUUGGACCUUGAUGUUACUUUUAUUUCAACUCGUCGAAGUAUUUGAUUAGAGCUCCGAUCAGAAUGCCAUGACCCGACAUCGACCAACAAACCCGGCAAACCCGAAUCAAAACUAAUUUAACCCCUUUUAGAAGUAGCCAAAUCCGGUUGUGGUUUCCACUGGAACAGCCGCAUCAUAGAACGGUUUUGGGGCAUUUUUAGGUGAGUUUCAACUGGAAUUAAUGGAGGAAGCGGUUGUUUGCCAAUGGGGUUGUCAGAACAAACAGAAGCGGGUGGUUCGGAGGGGGGGUUUCGGGGCUGUGCACGGACUGAGAACGAGGACUCUUACUACGCCGGAGCUCCGACAAGCUCUGUAGUAACCAGAAAUGAAGAUGCGAUUAGCAGCGAUGAAAUUUUCUGGUGAAACUCGCCCAAAUUUUCUCUUUCACGCGUUUUCUCUCUGUUUCUCUCUAUCUCUCACUCUUCUCUCAAUCUCUUCUCCCAAUCCCCUUCUCAAUUUAUCGAUCUCGAAUCUCUCUCUCUCGUGUGUUCUCUCUUCUCUCGCACCAUUUUCCCUCUAAAUCGACUCCCCCAAUUUCAGUGUUUGCUCCCUCCUUCGAUCUUUCUCUCUCACUAGCGUGGUAUGCAUAUCUAUGUGUGUCGUGAAUCUAUGAGGUGUGUGUUGCAAGGAAAAAGAUGGUGCGAGUAUGUAUUAUGAUCAAUUAGUGACGGCCAGUGCCAUUUUUGAGUGUUGAGAGAGUACAUUUUUUUUCUUCUAAUUGUGGUCUAUGCUCCUGGAGAAGAAAGGAAAUAUGGUGUGUAUAUGUAUGGUGGGCCCAGGUGAUUGUGAGGUGUAUGGGUGUAAAAUGUGUAGUCAAGUAAUUUUGUGGGCCCUUUUUUUUGUCCUUUUCUAUAUUAUUGUUGGUAAAGAAAUCAGUGGAGUGAUAUGUGUGGGUCCCCUUCCUUUUGUUUUGUUGUGCAUUUGGUUAAAAGGAACAAAAAAGACGUGGGGAGGCUGCCUAGGGGUGAGGUGGGGUAAGGGUGGGGUAGUGAGGUUAUUGAUAUAAAAUUUGUUAGGAUAAGACUCAAUUUGUUAUGGAUUGUGGUUAUUUUUGUAUUUUGGAGGGGUAUAAUCACAUGGGUGAGGGUGUGUGGUAAUGUGAGUUAAAAAUGAAUAAAAUUGAACCUGGGAGGGACAAAAUUGGGUGUCUACAGCAUAUCCCCUUUGAAUGUAAACAUGAAGUAUUUUCAGACAACGAAGUAGACAAUGAGACAGAAUUUUGUCCCGACCAUUAUUAAAGGAAUGAAACAGAAGGAAGGAGGGACACCAAGUCUUGACUUAAAACAUCCUACCUACCCAAGUUAUGAGGGAAUCAAGUGACAAGUAUCUUAAAGGAUUAGAAGGAGAUGGACUAUACCGAGUUGGAGAGUAAAGUGAGGUCCCAUCGAGGUUCCGAUCACGGCUCUGUCAUUACAUCAAAAAAAUAAAAAAUUACAAAAGUUAAAAGAUAAAUAAAAUUACAAAAGUCCUAUCUAUGUAGCUUCUUUUGAACUCUUAACUUGUGUUUUAUCACCCUAUUCUUCAGGCGGGCUCCUGACUUGCAAUUUUUUAAUUUGUUGCUUGACUUUCAAUUGUUUUACCUUAUUGCUUGACUUUUCAUUUAUUCGCCUUGUACUUCAGGCGGGGUCCAAUGUUGCUUGGGUUAUCAAAACAAGAAAGUGCGUCUCCUUACAAAUGCCGCUUGAAUUACCCAAACAAGGAAGUGCGUCUCCUUACAGAUGUUGCUUGAAUUACCAAAACAAGGAAGUGCAUCUCCUUACAAAUGCUGGUUGAAUUACCCAAACAAGGAAGUGCGUCUCCUUACAAAUGCCGCUUGAAUUACCCAAAAAAGAAAGUGCAUCUCCUUACAGAUGUUGCUUGAACUACCCAAACAAGGAAGUGCUUCUCCUUACAGAUGUUGCUUGAAUUACCAAAACAAGGAAGUGCAUCUCUUUACAAAUGCUGGUUGAAUUACCAAACAAGGAAGUGCGUCUCCUUACAAAUGCCGCUUGAAUUACCCAAACAAGGAAGUGCGUCUCCUUACCAAAGCCACUUAAAUUACCAAAGCAAGGAAGUGCGUCUCCUUACAAAUGUUGCUAGAAAUACCCAAACAGAAAAGUGUGUCUCCUUACCAAUGCCUCUUAAAUUACCAAAGCAAGGAAGUGCGUCUCCUUACCAAAGCCACUUAAAUUACCAAAAUAAGGAAGUGUGUCUCCUUAUCAAUGCUGCUUGAAUUACCCAAACAAGGAAGUGCGUCUCCUUACAAAUGUUGCUUGAAUUGUCCAAACAAAGAAGUGCGUCUCCUUACAAAUGUUUCUUGAAUUGCCCAAACAAGGAAGUGUAUCUCCUUACAAAUACUGCUUGAAUUACCAAACAAAGAAUUGCGUGUCCUUACAAAUACCGCUUGAAUUACCAAACAAGGAAGUGCGUUUCCUUUCAAAUGUUGCUUGAAUUACCAAAAUAAGGAAAUGCGUCUCCUUACAAAUACCACUUGAAUUACCAAACAAGAAAGUACAUCUCCUUACAAAUACCGCUUGAAUUACCAAACAAGGAAGUGCGCCUCUUUACAAAUGUUGCUGGAAUUACCAAAGCCAGAAAGUGCGUCUCCUUACAAAUACCACUUGAAUUACCAAACAAGGAAGUGCGUGUCCUUACAAAUACCGCUUGAAUUACCAAACAAGGAAGUGUGUCUCCUUACAAAUAUUGCUGGAAUACCCAAAUAAGGAAGUGCGUCUCCUUACAAAUGCCGCUCGAAUUACCAAAUAAGGAAGUGCGUCUCCUUACAAAUGUUGCUUGAAUUACCAAACAAGGAAGUGAAUCUCCUUACAAAUAUUGCUUGGAUUACCCAAAUAUAGAAGUGUGUCUCCUUACAAAUGCUGCUUGAAUUAACCAAACAAGGAAGUGCAUCUCCUUACAAAUGUCUCUUGAAUUAUCCAAACAAGGAAGUGCAUCUCCCUACAAAUGUUGCUUGAAUUUCCCCCACAAGGAAGUGCGUCUCCUUACAAAUGUCACUUGAAUUACCCAAACAAGGAAGUGCAUCUCCUUACAAAUAUCUCUUGAAUUAUCCAAACAAGGAACUAUGUCUCCUAGAUAUAUUGGAUGAUGAGUUUUACCAUGGUUUUGAUUACCAAGCCUGUGCAACAAUAUUGUCUCCUGUAUUUAUGGAACUGAGGUAUUGCAAAUUUUGAUGUUUAGGAUUUGAAAUCCUUGAUUCGAAGGUAACAUGUGUUCCUGUUUAAUACAAAGAAAACUUGUUAGUUUAAAAACAUGGUGGCUGGUUUGUGGUUUUGGCUUUCAUGGAAAUGCUCUUGCCCCUGUCACAUUAAUCUUGCUUUCAACCAUUAGCAUAUGCCAUUGACUUGCUGCAUCAUUGAUCUAAACUCAGAUUAUUAAGAGUGACUCUAAAACAAACACAGUAUUUCUGCUUUGCUAUGCUUCUUAGAUAAAUCCUUUGAACCUUGGUAUUUUCAUGAGUUUCCAGACUUGUCUGUUGACAAAACUUUCAGCAUGCCUUAUUUUGGCUCACAAUCAUGUCUUUUUAAUGUGUUGGCCUUUUGUCUUGCUUUGUGUAAUUAAAGAAGCUGGUAGCCAGUUUUGAAAUCUUUUCUCAUUUGUCUUGAUAUGGACUUGACUCAAAGACAAGAGAAAAAUGACAAUGGCUUUUAUUGGAUAACUGACUCAAGCAAAUAAAAAUAAAAAUAAAGAGAAGAAAGAAAAGACAAUGAAUGUCUCCUUUUGAAACAAAGAAAUAAAAAAUUCAUCUAAAAAUGACAGUCAACACUAAUGAUUAUGCCAUGUAUUUUGGAUUAAGCAACUUGAUCUUUUCAUCCAAAAUUUUUACCCAUUGUUGUUGAGUAAAUGGACUUGAAAUUGAGUUGUUUCCUUAGGUCAAUUGCAUUUAAGACCCCAUUCGGCUAGUGGCGCCUUGAAGGGUUUUCACCAAUAAGCUUCUCUCAUUUUCUUUUCCUUAGCUCACCAUUGCCUUAUGGUGUCUGUAAGGGUUUUCCACUAAUGAGACUCUCUUAUGUUCAUUUCCCUUAACUCACAGUCACCUUACGGUGCCUGUGAGAGUUUUCACCAAUACGACUCUCUCAUUUUUAUCUCUCUCAACUUACCAUCAUCUUAUGGUGCCUGUGAGGGUUUUCCCCAAUAAGACUCUCUCAGUUUUAUUUCUCUCCUAAUUUCUUAUGCUGAGGAAGACAAGUAGUUCCCAAAUGGAUCAUCAUAUCCCUUGCAUGCUUAGCCUUAACAUCCUCAAAGAUUGAUCUGAAGGUCUUUCUUUAGUUGUAACUUGGCUUCUAGAUAGAGUUAGAAAGAAAUGAUGGCAUGGGGCCCAAACGACACUUGAAGUGGGGUAGUACUUACAACUUUUGGAAUCGACUCAAACAAUGAGAAUCAACUCAUGCCUCAAUUUUUUUUGACUGGACAAUACUAAAUUAUUUAUUUCGUUGGACCAAUCCCUUAGUAAGGAAGCCUACGUAUCUCACCUCCGAGAGAGGAGAAUCAGGUCACGCGUAGUUCUGGCCGCUUGUUCUUUUGCUUGAUUCUGAUUUUUUAUUGACUCUUUUUCUCUUUGAAACUUUCUGACUCUAUUUUUCUCGAUACUCUUCUCUUUUCUUUCUUUUUGGACAUAUUUUUUUUCUCGACACUUUUCUUUUGAGUUUUACUGACUCUAUCUUAAUUCCAAAAGAGGUGUAUGAAAGAAAAUAACACUAAGGCUCAAAUAGGGUACACAACGGAUGCCACUAUGUAUGGAUAGCAGAAUGAAAUGCCUUCGUCAUAUCAAUCUUUGAAAAUGUCAGUACACGUCAUGCAAUAUGAAAAUGAAAGAUGAAGAUCAUUUGUAACAGUUUCACAACACUAACUUUAACUGAGCAUGUGCCACUACUUCUUUUGGGCUUGUCAAACAUACAACACCACCUGUGUUAUAGAUCCCUUACAUCGACUUACCCAUGCUUUCGUGGAGCUGCUUUUUCUGUUCCUCGGAAUCACACAUCCGCUAUUUGACCUAAUUGAGCUAUGUUUUAUAAUUGAUGACCAAGUUAUUCUUAUGAUUCUUAACAUAAUUGCCUUAAUUUUCAAAGAAGGCUUCAACUUGUCACCAAAUGCCUCAACACUCUAUCUAUUUUCUCAUAUGCUCUCUUUUUCUAACUUUAACCCUCUGAUUCAAUGCUCAUGCUUAAACUGGAGUGUAAGAUCUGAUUGAAAAUUUCACUAGCAUGUCAUAUCACUAGAAUCAACAAAAAUGUACUAUGUAAGGAAAACAAAUAAACACAUAUUUAAAACACAAAGAAAAAAAGGACACUCCAUUUAAUUAAAAAGGAAGAUAGGAGGGUUUGAACAUAAUGACAAAGGGACAAAACAAGAUAGAGCCCGAACUACAACCCUGAAAUAAUUCGGAUAACAGAAAAGAUAACAAAACAAACUACCAGACCCCUUCCUAGUAGGGAGGGGGUGACUUCUCAAUUGCCCAUCCUAAUAACUUAGCCACAGUUUUGCAUAUCAGUCUGACCAGAGCUUCCCUCACUUUCAAUGUUCUGCACCAUAAUUGAUCCAUCUUGAAUCAUCUUUUCAAUUUCUCUUUUUAAAGCACGACAAUCUUCAAUACUGUGACCCUGAACAUUAUAAUGAUAUGCACAUCGUACAUUAGGAUCAAAACUUCUUGAAUGUGGUUCAGGAGUAUACCCAAAGAGAGGAGUGAUCAUGCCCCGCUGUACCAAUCUCUGAAAUAAAUUAGCAUAUAACUCUCUGAUUGGUGUAAAACUAUCCUUAGACUUCUGCCUCUUCUUAUUGUUUGACUUGGAUCGAUCAUUGGGUCCAGGAGGGCUUUGGUAUGUUUGUGGAGUUGGAGGAUAACUUUGAGGAAUUGGUACACGCCAUUGUGAGUAAGAAGGGAGUUGAACAUAUGGCUGUGCGCAAUAUACUAGAUAUGGAGGUGGGGAAAUGGAGUAUAAUGGAUUUUGGGCGUGAUUAUAGAGAGCUUGGGUGGUGUGAUGUGGAGGACCAGCCAGAAUGCCACAAACCAACCACCUUAAACUAACUGAACAACAGAUAACAAAGCCAUUAGAAUGCAAUACUUUUUCAAAACUCUUUUUCUGCUUUCCUUUUGAAAAGACCACCGAACCCAAUAAGGAUGCCUACGUAUCUCACUCCCGAGAGAGGAGAAUCAGGUGUACAUAGUUCGUGAAGUCUUGUGAAAAUGGACAAUUAAACUCCUUUUUAUUUCUUUUUUUCUUUUUCUUGAAACUUUAAGAAGAAAAGAAAAUAACAAUUUGCCAAAAGAAUUGACGAAAAUCUUUUUGAAUUUUUUAGUUUUAAAUUUCUAUACAAAAUGAAAUCUAUGAUUACCAAAGAAAAGCUUUUGGGUUUUCAAUUUUGCAUUUCAUACAAAAAAUAAAAAUUUAAAACUAUAAAAGGAAAAUCUUUUGUGGUUUUCUUUUAGAGAUGCAUAUGACACCUACUCUAAAUGAAGAGUGAAGAAUUUUUUUUUUUGAAUUUUUUUUCCAUAUUCCUAUACAAAAUGAAACCUAUGAUUACCAAAGAAAAUCUUUUUGGGUUUUCAUAUGAAAAUAAAAAUUGAAACUAUUAAAGAAAAAUCUUUUUGGCAGUUUUCUUUUAAAGAAGUAUAUGACACCUACUCUACUAUAGAGUGAAGAAACUCUUUCUGAAUUUUCAAAUAAAAUCCCCGAACCAACAAUAGGCUGCCUACGUAUCUCACUCCCCAAAGAGGAGAAUCAGGGGUGCGUAGUUCGUCCAGAUUGGACAAUUAAGGAUUAAAUAACAAACUAAACCCUGAAUUGAGAGACACAGCUAAAGACAGAUGAUGAAAAUAAAAUCUUUUUUUUUGGGUUUUUAAUCAGAAACUAACUCCAACAACUAUGAGAGAAUUUUUUUUUGAUAUUUUCGUUAUAUAAAAAUGUACAAAGCUCCUAUUAAAAGGAAAAAAUAUUUUUAGAGUUUUCGAAUUGUGAAUACUUACUAAAGAAAUAAAAGGAAAAUCUUUUUGAUGUUUUUUUUUAUUUUUUGGGAAAUGAGUGCAGAAAGUAAUUUUUUUUUUCUUUUUGGAUUGUGAAAAAAUAAAAGCCAUAAAGAACCGUAAAAACUACCAAAUCUUUUUUUUUUCCACUUUUUUUUCAACAAUUUCUUGCCUAUACACUUUGCUUCUAACUCAUGCUUUUACCCAAAUCAAUUUGUCAAAUGAUCACAUUACCCUAAAAAAAUGCAAUAUUUAGCACGUAGGGAUGCUUUAAAGGUGAGUCUCCUGCAAAGGACCAAGUGGGUCCUUCUAUAUCUCAAUAUGAUGCAAAUAAACAUGACCUAAAGGCUGACCUACGCUGGAGUUUACUAACAAGGCUGUUCGGGGGAGCGUAUGGUCGAUAGUGGCUACGCUAGAUUUCCACCCUCUCCAUACCAGCCAAUGGCUCCCCCUCAUAAAAAUAAGGGUGACUCAACUAUAGGUCGUGCACACAACGUGUACUCCAGAACUUGUUGCAGAAAUAAUUGACUCGGGUUAUGCAAAUGAUGCUAGAUGUAAAACGGUAGCACAUAAGAGAAAUACUGUAAGCACGUAGCACAUAGACACUCAACAACAAUAAACAAAUACAAAAAAUAACACAAACAAUGUCUAUACACUCAUAAUGUCAAAACUAAGCCAAUAUAACUCCAAAAAUAAGCUCGAAUUCUGAAAAGGUCCCCAGCAGAGUUGCCAGAGCCGUCACACCCUUUUUUUUUUAACUUCAAAAGAUUAAUUUAAGUUUCAAAAGUUUUUUAUUAUUAAGUGACAAAAUAAAGCAUGUUUGUUUCGAAAAGGAUUAUUUUUACGUACAAAACUCAGAGUUGCCACUUGACAUAAAUCGGGUGUGCCAAGUUACCUUUGGAAAUCCUUUUCAAAAUGGUUUGACUCUAAAACUGAUCCGCGAACAGAGAUUCCAGUUAAGAAAUUCUGUUGACCGAGGGAACGGUGUUAGGCAUUCCCUCGAUCCCGUGGUUCGACCACGGUCUCUUGGUGGAGCAUAUCGACUAAUUUGACAUUACAAAUGUAUAAACCACACAAAAUACGUAUAAAACAAUCAACCAAACGCACAAAAAAAACAAAUCCGAAAUAUAGUGUUCAGUCUAAUUAUACAAUCCCAAAUAAAGAGUGCGAGAAAAGAAAUCAUAUUCUAACCUACACUAACCUAAUUGCGCUCUUGUGCUUUACCCGAUGCCUUGUGCCUUCAUUAGGAGCAUCUUCUGCCAACAUAAUACGUCGGGGCAUUCCCUAGUGAAUAAAUACAAUGUGCCUCGGGGCAUUCCCCGACUAAAUGAAUACAUCUUUUCAAUGCGAUCAAAAUCAAAUCAUUCAACAAAAUCACAAAUUCUAAACUUUGCCUACCCAUCCUACGUUUGCCUACCCGUUUUGACUUAAAGCAUGAUACUAUCACGUUAAACAUCAACAAUGAAUCAAAAUAUGACAAUAAUAACUUUUUAUCAAUUUUUGCAAUUCCCACCCCCAACUUCAUUCUUUUCGAUCAAUGAUUAACUUAUGCUUCAAUUAUCAACUCACUUUUCAACAUUCAAAUCUAACAUCAACCAAUACGCAAUCAAGAUUCAAACAUAUCAAACACACAAAUCAUUCACAAUAACGUAAAAAUUAAAGCGAGAGAAGAUUGAAUUGGACCUUGAUGUUACUUUUAUUUCAAUCCGUCGAAGUAUUUGAUUAGAGCUCCGACCAGAAUGUCUUGACCCGACCUCGACCAACAAACUCGGCAAACCCGAAUCAAAACUGAUUUAACCCCUUUUAGGAGUAGCCGAAUCUGGUUGUAGUUUCCACUAAAAAAGUCGCAUCAUAGAACGUAUUUGGGGCAUUUUUCGGUGAUUUUAAAUCGAAAUUAAUGGAGGAAGCGGCUGUUUGCUAAUGGGGUCGUCAGAACAAACAGAAGUGGGUGGUUCAGGGGGGUUUUAGGGCUGCAAACGUACUUAGAAUGAGGACUACGCCAGAGCUCCGGCAAGCUCAGAAGUAGCCAAAAAUGGAAAUGCGAUCAGCAGCGAUGAAAUUUUUUGCUGAAACUCACCCAAAUUUUCUCUCUCACGCGUUUCCUCUCUACUUAUGUCUAUCUCUCACUCUUCUCUCACUUUCUUCUCCCAUUCCCCUUCUCAAUUCAUCGAUCUCGAAUCUCUCUAUCGUGUGUUCUCUUCUCUCUCACGCUAUUUUCCCUUUAAAUUAACUCCCUUAAUUUCAUUGUUUGUUCCCUCCUUCGAUCUCUUCCUCUCACUAGCGUGGUAUGCGUAUCUGUGUGUGUCGUGAAUCUGUGAGGUGUGUGUUGUAAGGAAUAAGAUGGUGCAAGUAUGUAUUAUGAUCAGUUAGUGAUGGACAGUUCUAUUUUUGAGUGUUGAGAGAGUAUAUUUUUUUUCUUCUGAUUGUGGUCUAUGCUCCUGGAGAAGAAAGAAAAUAUGGUGUGUAUAUGUAUGAUGGGCCCGGGUGAUUGUGAAGUGUAUGGGUGUAAAAUGUGUAGUCAAGUUAUUCUAUGGGCCUCUUUCUUUUUGUCCUUUUCUAUAUUAUUGUUCGUAAAGAAAUCAGUGGAGUGAUAUGUGUGGGUCCCCCUCCUUUUGUUUUAUUAUGCAUUUGGUUAAAAGGAACAAAAAAGACGUGGGGGGGUUACCUAGGGGUGAGGUGGGGUAGGGGUGGGGUAGUGAGGUUGUUGAGAUAAAAUUUGUUAGUAUAGGACUCAAUUUGUUAUGGAUUGUGGUUAUUUUUGUAUUUUUGUGGGGUAUAAUCACAUGAGUGAGGGUGUGUGGUAAUGUGAGCUAAAAAUAAAUAAAAUUGAACUUGGGAGGGACAAAAUUAGGUUUCUACACUUGCCACAGUCAUGGAUGAUGUCGGAUCAUUUCCGGCUAAGAUAUUCGUUAGGUCCCAUUUAAAAAUAUUUUAUGAAUUCAAACAAGUUGUGGUUGAUCAACGUCUAAAUUUUAUGUUUAAGGAAAUCUGUUUUGGUGAAUUAUGGGACUUGCUAGAACAUAUGAAGUUUAACGGACAACUUGUCUACUAUACACUUUUUCACCGAGUUGAACAGGACAACAAACUGCAUGAAAUGUGGUUCUGCAUCAAUUACAGGCCUACAUGUUUUGGCCUGAAUGAUUUUUCGCUAAUCACGGGUUCUAACUGUGGGCGUUAUCCCUGUGAUUUAAAAUACGUCAAAGCUAUGAAGGAUGGUGAAGCUUUUUUCAAAAAGAUUGCGAAAAAGAGGAGUGUAAAUGCGAAGUGAUUAUUGAAGUUUAUUAAAGGUGGGAGGCUGGACAAGAAGGACAAGUUCAAAUGCUGCUUGGUUUGGUUCGUGCACUGCAUAUUGCUUGUUUGCGACUUGUCAAAAAUCGUGGACAUAGACACCAUCAAUAUGGUGGAUAACUUGAGAUUCUUUGAGAGAUACCCUUAGGGUAAGGAGUCAUUUUCCUUGACUCUAGACUAUCUAAAGAAGUGAAUAGACUUCAGCAGAUAGAAGAAGACAUUUGUGACAAAGAAAGUUUCAUCGUACGUGCUUUAUGGAUUUUCCUGGGCAUUUAUGGUAUUUGAUUAUAAACUAUUGAAGUAGUUUAUUAUAUACGGAACGACUAUAACCAAGUACGGCGAAUUCGUCGGUGCUUCCAUUUAUGUUGUUCACAUAUAAUUUGUUGCCCUCAGUCGUGUUUUCCCUUAAGAUCCUCUCGGCUAUGGGAAUGAAUGUUGUCUUUGAAUUGUCCAUCUCCGCAUAACUCUUCCUAAAUAUUUCUCCACACCUAUGUGAAAUUGAAUUGAAGAUGGGCGCCACUGGAUACUCUCUUUCAUCGCGUAACAUUGAAUUGAGCGACUCUACCAUGUUUGAGGUCAUGACGCUGAAUCGAUUACUUGGAAAGUGAGCCCGGCUCCACUUUUCAAAUCCAAUUUCAUGCUCGAGGCAAGCUGUUGCGCUGGGGAAUCUUUCUUUAAGGUAGUUAAAGUAGUCAUUAAAUUCUUCCAACGUGUACGCUUUGACCGCAUGGUAGUAUAAAUAGAGAGAAUCGGAACAAUGGUAAUUUGUUCGGAGAUUUUCACCAAGAUUCCUCAUACAAACACCAUGAUAUGCCAAUGGAUAAUGCCUUACGAGGCCGUUGGCUAUGCUGACGUGUCUGUCGGAGAUAACACACAACUCUGGUUCAUCGAUGACAAAGGCCUUAAGCUUCUCGAAGAAGAAGCCCCGCAAUGCAUCGUUCUCUUUACCACCAUACAAUACACUAAGGGAUAGAUAUGAUUUUGCGUAUCUUAAGCGACAGUGGAAAACAACACGCCCCCGUACUUUCUGGACAAAUGCGUGCCAUAAAUGGCAACGACCUUUCUCAUGUGUGUAUUUCCAUGGAUGGAAGCCCCAAACGCCAUAAAGUAGUAAAUAAACCUGCCAAACUCCUUAUUAUCCAUAAGGAAAUUAAUAGACCCGGGAUUGAGGCCGUUGAAAACAUAUGAAAAUGUAGGAAGUACUGCAUAUCCGUGCUUGAGCAUACCUCAAACUAUGUUCUUCAUAAUGACGCCUGGCAUCCAACACUUUCAAUAGCCCGGCCUGUAAUGUAGCUCCCUAAAUACGAUCCUCUUGAUCUCUUUUGGGCUUGGACCUUUGUUGUCAACGAAAAAGUUCAAAAUAAGUAAGGAAAUGACCUCCACGGUGACAUUCUUGUGCUUUCCCCCGUGAAAUGAUCAACGCCAAAAGUAUGCUCUCCCACGUACUUAUGGAUAUGAAACCAACCAGAUUCUCGGAUAGCACAUGCGCGCAUCAUCCACCGGCAAGUAGGAUCUACACACCUCACCCUCAAGUAUUUAUUACAACUCUUCACCAUUGUGUAAUUGAACAAGAUUUUCACCGACACCUGCUUCUAUAAAAGAUUUAAUGUUUUCUUAUCCUUGAACGUUUGUCCUAUAAAAAGAUUGGUGCCGUCUGAGAAAGAGUGACUUCUUUAUGGUUCGAGAUACCCAUCCUCACCUCCUCCACACUCCUUUUCUUCAUAAUCUUCACUAUUAUCCCAUUCAUCACAACCCAUGCAAUCGUAUUCCGUUGACGUAUCAUCCACUGUCAGGGGGUGGGGGUGAGACUAAUGUGGAAUCUUCUUCCUGGGACCUUUCAACAACUUUAACCUGCAGUAUAGGUCUGGAGUUAUUAGAAUCAACGCAGAGCAUGUAUAAUUCCACAUGUCUAUCAUUCCUUAUGAUUGUUGGAUAGAUUUUUUCCCUCUCGUUCAUUACCACCUUGCUUUGAUCACAACUUAAUUCACCGCUCUACAUUAUUCUUUUAACCAUAUCAAUGUAUGAAUCGUUACGACGAAGGGCAAUGGACACUGUCUCCUUAGACGCGGUUUCCAAAUCUAACAUUUAGGAGUCUCCUCCCAUUCACUAAAAAAUAUAUCACCAACAACCACGUAAUCUAAAUAGACAUGAUAUACUUCGAUAAUAGCAUUUAAUAAACUUGAAUAGUGGUUUAUGAGCCUAAACUUAAUAGACUGUAGUCGUCGUCUUCUUAGCUGUUGUCCGUACAGUACUAUAAUGACCCUUCAGGUCAUUUUUCAUAUUUAUGCUUGUCUUCACUAUUUGAGCUUCACCAUAGCUGCCCUAAGUCAUUUAUGACUUUUUGGGACUGAGAGUUCGAUUAUUAGUCAGUUCGUUUGAUUUUUAGAGUCAAUUCCCUGUUUAAAAGUCUUCGUUGGUUCCAAAUGGCCACCAAUCAAAAUUUUCAUCAAUUUGUAAUGACCUUUCAGGUCAUUUUCCAUAUUUAUUCUUAUCUUCACCGUUUGAGCUUCACCGUAGCUACCCCAAGUCAUUUAUGACUUGCUGGGACUGAAGGUUUGGUUACCGGCCAGUUCGUUUGAUUUUUAGAGUCAAUUCCCUAUUUAGAAGUCUUCGUUGGUUCUAAAUAGCCACCGAUCAAAAACUUCAGCAAAAUGAUCUCAGAUGAAAAUUUUGACUAUAUCAACAUAUCUAAAAUAUUGAUUUUAUUCUAGGUAGACCUUUGGUUUGGGUCUCAAUGCACUCGAGCUCAUUUCGACCUAUUAGUCGAAAAGUCAUAAAAUUGAAACUAUAUAUGUGGGCCCCACUUUUUGUCGAAAUGAUCUUUUAUGGAAGUUUUGAUGAUUCUAAUGGAUUUAAAUUGUGGUUUACACCCAAAUUUCACUAUCGGAUCAUAUAUUUUGGGUUCCGAAUGAGUUCUGAGGGUCAAAAAUAAGUUUUUGACUUUGUUAUCACAAGGUACCGCAUUUCUUUGCUGAGGGGGUCUAUAAAUAGACCCCAAGGUCGCGAUUUUGGGGAUUUUUCUUUAACAUUUGAGAAACUAAAAUCCUAAAUGGGUAUGAUAACUCGAAAUUGAGUCUUGUGGGUAUCUAUGGAGCUUGGUAAACAUCUUUUAUCAUGAUUAUCAUCUGGAUUAAGAUAAGAUUUCAUCACUUUAUUGGUGAAUUUCAUUGUUCUUGACCCAAAAUCCCAAUUUAUCUUAGGGCUUGAUUUAGCCCCAAAUUUCAUUUGUUUGCACCCAUAAAUUGAGGGUUAUGCUUCCUUGGUGAUAGAUGAGCAUUGGGUUGACCUCAGAAAUCCGAUUUCCGUAUGUGGGACCUACUUGGGAUUUUUGGUGUCAUUUUUGGACCCGAAUCACAAUAGUGCAAUAUGGGUAUUGUUAGACUCGUAUUAAUGAAUAGAUUAUAUUUUUGAUAGUGUGAUGACAUUUUGAGGAUUGUGAAGUGAAGACGAGCAUGUGGUGCUUGAAGUGUGAUUUUGCGGUUUAGCCUUGAGGCAGACUUCUGUCUACUCUUCUUCAUGGAUGAUGUAUGAUAUAUAUUGCGUGUGAAUAUGAAAGUUAAGAUUGAUAUUGGAUAUAAUGACUUAGUAUUAAAUAUACAUAUAAGUUUGGAGAUUAGAUAGGGUUUUGGACCCGCAGGUUGAAUUACUUAAUACCCUUGUAGAAUCCUAUUGCCUUUUCCCUAGUUUGGGUAAAUUUGUAGCAUGAAUAUGAUAUAAUGCUAUGCUCGGAAUAUGGUUUUAGCAUUUGAAUCAUGAUUUACAUAUUUUGCCUUAUUGGGCUAGUGUGAUAGUUUUGGAACUGUAAGUUUGGUAGAGUUGACUUGAGUACCCUUGUUUCUAGUCGAAGUUACUAUCUUAGGCAUUAAUACAACUUGCUUGACAUCUAGAGAAUAACCUAUAUACCUUAGCCUAGUUUGGAGCAUAGUAUGCCUAAUUAUGGAAAUUAUGGAUUGGAAGUGGGAUCAUCCAGCCCACUUAGGCCAAGAUUUGUUUAGCCCUUGUGGGCUUAGUUGCUGAUAGUAGACCUAGUUGAGACUAAUGAGCUUUAUUUAUGAGAAUUACUUGGUGAAUUGAUAAAUUGUGAUGAUUUUUGUUGAAUUAUAAUUACUGGCCCAUAGAGAUGCAUUUUUCUCUUUAUUAUGAUAUUUGACCCAUAGAGAUGCAUUUUCCUCUUAAUUAUGAUAUUUUGCUCAUAGAGAUGCAUUUUCCUCUUUAUUAUGACAUUUGUCCCAUAGAGAUGCAUUUUUUUCUUAAUUAUGAUAUUUUGCCUAUAGAGAUGCAUUUUUCUCUUAGUUAUGAUAUUUGGCCUAUAGAGAUGAUUUUCCUCUUAGUUAUGAUUAUUGAGCUUAUACAGACGAUUUUUCUCUUGGUCAUGAUGUAUAACUUAUAGAUAUGAGAUAUCUAAUAGAGGCGAUAUGCUUGUUGAUAUAAUGCCUCCUAGAUGUAAGAUGCCUCCUAUAUGUGAGAUGAUUAUAGAUAUGCUAUGGUUUAUAAAUAUGAUUAUUGAUAUGAGUCUGGAGGAUACUAUUGAGAUGAUAUUGAUACCCGGCAAGGCCGGAGGAUAUUAUAAUGAUAUUGAUAACCGAUUCGAGUCUGGAGGAUAUUAUUGAGAUAAUAUUGAUACACGACAAAGCCGAAGGAUAUUAUGAUGAUAAUGAUACCCCGUUUGAGUUCGGAGGAUACUUUUGAGAUGAUAUUAAUACCCGGCAAGAACGGAGGAUAUUAUGAUGAUAUUGAUACCCGGUUCAAGUCCGGAGGAUACUAUUGAGAUGAUAUUGAUAGCCGGCAAGGCCGGAGGAUAUUGUGAUAAUAUUGAUGGUCCUGAUAAGGACAAUUAUGAUGCAUUAUGAUAUUGAUUGUAUAUUUUGCAUUCAUUCCUGCAUGCGCAUCGCCUAUCACCAGUAUGCACCUAUGUCUAUCAGCUGGUAUGGAACGGUUACAUAGAUAUAGGUGAAGAAUAUGUCUAGUGUUAUUGUUUGUUGAUUGAAACUUUCGAGUCUGGGGCGUUGGGGGUACGCAUAGGCUCAGCAAGGCAUUUGGUUGUCCGGAGUAGCCGGUUAUUUACGAUGUUAUUGAUAUUGUUAUUAUCAUGCUUAUGAUCAUUAUUAUGGCUAGCUUAUGACAGAUUGAUCAUGGAUACGGUAUUGGGAUUGAGGUAUGUCUUCGGCCUUUGCUAUCUUAUGAUUGCAUUACUGUGCACGAUUAUUGUAUGUCUAGCCAUAUGGAUUAGAAAUUCUGAGUAUGUUUGAUACGAGAAUAAUCACGAAUAUGGACUUAUGUGAGUGCAUCUUGGAUCCGAUACUUGGUGUGAAUUGAAGUUCAAAAGGGGACCUAAAUGCACUAAAACUCAGCCAACAUACUACACUUGAUGGGCACCUAAGUCUCUAACGGGCCUUUUGGUCUUUUUGUAUUUUAUUUGUAACCUAGUAUAAAUAGAACAUUGUAGGGCUUUUAGACUUAGUUUUUGGAUGAUAUUUUUGAGUCUUGUAAUACUUGUAACAAGCUCUCUCUCUAGUGAGAAGAGUGACCACCAAAACUAGGAUACAACAAUAGGGUGGAUUCUCUUUUGUUGUUGCUUGCUUGGAAGUGUUGAUGCUAGAGAGGUGAAAUCCAAUCUUGUGUCACGUAAGAGAUAGGUUUAUUGUUGUGUGUAGUGUUAAGGGUCGAAGAGUGUCCAUUCUUGGGUUCUUAAGAUUAUACCUUCAUGUGGUCUAUCUAUCUAUCCUUUUACCUUCUUGUAAUCUUGUUUAGUGUUUGUGUUGUAAUCUUGUGUUCUUGUUGUUAUUGUUAAAUUCGAAUCUUGUGUCUUCUUUCUCAUCAUCUUAUGUUGUUAAUCUAGUUUGUUGUCCGCUGAUUUGGUGUAAUAAACACCUUGUUAUCUUUUUGUUAUUGUGUUCUUGGGAAGUCGAGACUUGGUCUCCAAAAGGGUUCACGAAUUUCUUUCAUUUUGUGGACUAUUUUUUAGAUUGAUUUUGGUGUUCCCUUAUUUCUUGUAUCAUUUGAUAUCAGAGCAUGGUUUGAUAUUGUUCCUACAAGAUCAAUCUUGGGCUUGCUUGUUAGAAAAAAAAAUUUAUUGAAAAGCUGAAAAUUUCAGAAAAAGGUGCAAUCUGUCCAUUGUUUGUUCUUGACUGAGAAAUUGUUGUUCUUGUUGUUGUAGUCUUGGAAGAAUUGUGGUGUCUAUAUCUAAGUGUUCUCUUGUUUGCUUUGUUGUUUUUGUGUUAGCUUUCUUCUUCUCUAACACUCUUGAGUCUUGAUCUAAAAUUGAGCUUGAAUUGUUGGGAUUAUUGUUGUGAACAUUGUUGUGGCUGUGUGGUGUUGUUCUUGUUGUUGUAGAUUUAGUUGGACAUUGGUGUUGUUGUUGUAGAUCUUUAAAGGUUGUUGUUGUGUUCUUGUUGUUCAUCACAAUCUUCCUCUCUUGCUAAAAUCGAAACACAACACAAAGAGACUAGGCGAUUUGUGGUUGGUAUUGUAGUCUUGGCCGUGUGAAACAUUGUUGUAGUGGAGUUGGCCAUGUGGUUGUGUUGUGGAUCAUGGUGGUGGUUAUUGAUUUUUCUUGGUGAUUGUUGAAGUGUUCUUGAUGUUCUUCCCAACCUUCAUACCUUGUUAAAAUAAAGUGAAAGUUAGAUCCAAAAAAGUGAAGGAAAAGGUGUGAGAUCUUUGUUACUCUUGAAAGACUUACCAUCACUCACCAACUAGUCAAUCACAUCUAUACCACUUUUCAUAAAACAAGGGUCCAUGUUUUAAGGAAAAGUACAAAUAAAGUCAAUUCUUCCUUUUUGAAAUUUGAAAAAGGAUUCCAAGGCUUAUAUUUCCCACCUUAACCAAUUUCCACUAAUUCCAAAUUAUAAAAUUGAUCAAGACUUUCAAAUUUGGAAAAUAAAAUUGUUGAGAACCAAGGACAAUCACGGACUGCCAUAUCACCAAUUACUGUUCACUGACAAAUUUUAAGCUCAAAUUUUGAUCCUCUAGUUUCAAUUUGUUGUUCUUUAGUCUCGUUUGUUGAUUCCUUUACUAACUUACGAGCUAGAACUAAAUUGUAAGUUAGUUUUGAAACCGUUCUUCAUGUUAACUUUUCUUUGUGUGUCUUAAUUCUUUGAGUCAUUAUAAUACGUCCUUGUGUUUUUUUUACUCUUUGGAGUCUUUGUAAACAUGGAUUCACCUCUGAAAACCUCUCGGAGUAUAAGUAAUCUUACAACACUUGUGAGAUUGAGUGUGAGGGAUCUGAGAGGCAAGAAACAAAAAGAGAGAGUGAGGAUGUUUUUGUAAAACUAACGUGUUUUCUGUUUUGUAGGUAAUUCCUUUUCCAUAAUGGACACCAUUUUGGCCCACCUUGAUGUUAUUUCCCGAGAAAUAGCUAAGGCCAAUGCGGGUCUUGACAAAUUGAGCUCGGAUAUGUCUAUUACACUUGAGAGGUUGGAUCGAGUGGAGAGUCGAAGGAAUUCUCGCGAUUCUACUUCCGGAGCUUUACCUCAAACAAUCAAUCCUCCAAGACCACCACCAAAUGACAUAGACAUAAUUCAAGCCUCCAAAUGUCCUCCAACGCAAGACCUACAUAGGUCAAUCCCUCCUCCAUUCGAUCAAGUCCAACAAAAAGGACUUGGAAGACAAAUCCCUCCCAUCCAAGCUCCACCACUGAAGGUCUACUUUACCAAAUCAAUCCUCUCAAUUAAAACUCCACUUCAUCAAAUCCGACAUAUCUAUGUAAAGAAAAAUGGUCGUAAGGAACAUGACGGAUAUGAAGUCUACGAUGAUUCUUGUAUGAUGGUAGGAGAGUUGUUUUGGAUGAGAUUCAAUACAAGGCUCAAGAUGGAGAGGAAGCCGAGGUUCAAAAUGAAGAUGUUGGCCGAGACUUGUGUUAAUAUGCUCUCGGGUUCCUCAUGAUUUUGUAGACUAUUUUUAUGCCAUUUCAUGUUUUGUGGGUUGUUUUGAGUGGUUUCUUUUGAAGUGGCCAAUUGAACGAGGUGAAGUUAUGAAUUUGUGGUCAAAUUCCUCUCAAGAUGGAGAGGAUGAUAUGGGAAUAAUCACGGAUAUGGACUUAUAGGAGUGCAUGUUGGUUCUGAGACUUGGUAUGUGCAAUUGAAGUGCAAAACGGGACCUAAAUGCACUAAAACUCAGCCAACAUACUACACUUGAUGGGCACCUAAGUCUCUAACGGGCCUUUUGGUCUUUUUGUAUUUUAUUUGUAACCUAGUAUAAAUAGAACAUUUUAGGGCUUUUAGACUUAGUUUUUGGACGAUAUUUGUUAGUCUUGUAAGACUUGUAACAAGAUCUCUCUCUAGUGAGAAGAGUGACCACCGAAACUAGGAUACAACAAUAGAGUGUAUUCUCUUUUGUUGUUGCUUGGAAGUGUUGAUGCUAGAGAGGUGGAAUCCAAUCUUGUGUCACGUAAGAGAUAGGUUUAUUGUUGUGUGUAGUGUUAAGGGUCGAAGAGUGUCCAUUCUUGGGUUCUUAAGAUUAUACCUUCAUGUGGUCUAUCUAUCUAUCCUUUUACCUUCUUGUAAUCUUGUUUAGUGUUUGUGUUGUAAUCUUGUGUUCUUGUUGUUAUUGUUAAAUUCGAAUCUUGUGUAUUCUUGCUCAUCAUCUUAUGUUUUUAAUCUAGUUUGUUGUCCGCUGAUUUGGUGUAAUAAACACCUUGUUAUCUUUUUGUUAUUGUGUUCUUGGGAAGCCGAGACUUGGUCUCCAAAAGGGUUCACGAAUUUCUUCCAUUUUAUGGACUGAUUUUGGUGUUCCCUUGUUUUCUUGUAUCAAUGUUGGUAUUAAAUCCUAAUAGUAUUAUAAUGAGGUCUAAAAAUGAGAACAUGACGAUUUAGGUUAUGUUUGAGAUGACCUCCUAUUUAUAUAUAUAUAUAUGUAUGUAUAGCUAUAUGAAGCCAUGGUACUAUAGGAUAUCCCUUCAUUCAUUGUUCAUAUUGUAUAGUCGUUCUUUCACCUUGUAUAUUACAAUAUAUCUUUCUUUCGCUCUUUACUUGUAUAUUGACCUGGGAUAUACGGUAUAACAUUGACAUUUAUUGAAUGUAGCCGGAAUAGGAUAGUUCACCUUGAUUCUUCCUUAGUCUUCUUAUGUUAGACUCUUGGACAUAAAUAUGAUAGUUGUCCCUUGUUAUUCUCAUUGACUUAUUAUAUGAUUUAUGGACUUUUGGUUGUAGUUUUCAUUCUGUUUAUAUGUUGUAUAUAUCUACUUUAUCUUUUCAGCUUAGUUGGCAGUUGCCUAAUGAGUACCCUUCGUUUGGUAUUCAUACUACACCUCUGCAGCCUACAGAUCAUAGUAUGGGUUAUCGCCAUUGAUGUGUGCAUUGGGUGGAGUAGCCCUGAUUCAGAGACUUAGAGUGAGCUUCUGACGUUCAGAGUAUUACUUAUCUCUCUCCUAUGUAUUAGACUAGCCUCUAAGUUGUAUUCAGAGGUAAGUUGAAUCGUGUAUUUCUCCUUGAUAUAUCACUUUUGUACUCUUAUUAUGUUUAGAAGCUCUUGUACUGAUACCAUCAGGUUUUGGGAUUCAUCUAUGUAUUGAUCUUUAUUUCACAUAUUUCACAUUCUUUUCUUUAUGUUAUUAAGGAGUCCGUUACUAGCCAUUGCGGAUUACGGGUUGGCUUGCCUACUGGUGGGUUAUGGUAGGCGCCAUCAUGAACUGAAAAGUUGGUCGUGAUAAGUACACGAUUGACCCUUUUCCGAUGAUCCCCGGAAUAAACUGACGAAUUUCAACUUACAAACAACCUAAGAAGUAUUGGAAUGUUGCUAUUGAGCCAAGAAUCGAUUUCGAAAUGUGGAACUGAUUUUCAAGCUUUUUGUAUGAAAAUGAAAGAAAAUUUUGGCUAAAAAUAUGCAAAAAUGGCUUAAAAUAAUGGAGAUAAUGUCUUUUUCCGAUGGAUGUUGGAAAUGGCUGAAAAAUGGUCGAAAACUUGAGGAAAUGGCAUCAAAAUUGGGUGGCUGGUAGUAGAUUGGUUGAGAAGCUUGAGAUAUUUUUUUUAAAAUUAAUUAUCCAAUAUUUAUAUUUUUGGACAUGGACUAAAGUGUAAUUUUAAAAAAAUUGAGGCUGAAAUGGGAAAAGAGCUAAAGUGUAUAUUUUGUAAAUUGAGUGUUAGGGUUGCAUUUUUUUUGUGAUCCCAUUAGAGUGUCUAUUCUUUCAAUUAAAAAAACUUGGUGUCUAAAUGUCAAAAAAAGUUUGGAAUGUGGCUUUUUUUAGCCAACUCCCCCUACUAACUAAGGGAUAAUUACAAAUUUUAAAAAUAGGAUAAUUACAAAGAAUAAAAAAUGUUUGCAGGAAUAAUAGUCUUCCAGAAGCUUCAACAUAAAUAUGCUCAUAGUUGGGUUAAUUAAUGAAUUUUGGCAGCCCAAUGAAUAAAGCUUUGAAGUCGAAGUCCACAUUAGAAUUGCCCAGAAGCCCAUUCUACAUGUUGUCAGCACAUGACACAUUUACUUGUUCACAUUUUGUCAAAUCAAGUGGUACUAAUACUUGAUUUUGUAUAUUAGAAAUAGAUUUUUGGGCUUUAGAAUGGGCUUAGAAACAGUAUAGUCAAGGGGAAUAGACGAAUAGCCAUUCGGUUAAAAAAAUUACCGCCGAAUAGCCAUUGAUUUUGAAUUUUUAAAAUAUAGUCAUUUAGGUCCUUUUUUGCUACUGUCUUAAUGUCUUUUUUCCUUGUCUUUUUAGCUAUUUUUUUCUAAAUUGCUGCUACACUUUUUAAAAAAAUUCAUUGCUUGCCCUCUUUUUCUAAAAAAAUCUUUUUGUCCUUUUUUGCACUAUUUUUUUCGCAACUGAUACUAGUGUACCGAGUUGUCCAAUAAGUUCACGACCAUUCACACGUAGCCAAGCUCGGGAGUUACAAAAACUCCAAGUUAUGUUCAUGUAAAUGACUGUGUGUGAGUUGGUACUUGAGUCUUCCAAUGGAUUAAAUGUUUUAAAGUGUGAAAAGGAUCCUUGAAGUGUAAUAAACUUACACUCCAAGGCCACCACUUGGCAAGGGUAGGAUGGUCAUUUGUUAUCUCCCUUUGUGGACUAAUAUAAAUAGAUAGUGUUAGGGUUAUUUUUGAGUUAGUUCAUUCAUAUUUUGGAAGACAACAAACACUUUGUAAUAUUUUGGAACUUCUCUCUUCCAUUGGAGAAGCCCCAAUUUCGAAAACUCACUAGUAGAGUGAUACUAGUGUUGUCUCUUGGCUAGAAACUAGGGUCUUGGGUUCUUUGAGUUCCUAUUGGUCCGAUUAAGAGCUUGGUAUCAAUAUUCAUUAAUCUUAGGGUCCUUUCUCUUGUUAGGGUUCUUAGAUCUUUGAAUAUUGUGUGUCAAGUUACUAUCCCUCUUGUGAUCUUGUUAAUCUUGUGUUGUUGGAAUCUUGAAGCCUAGUGAAGCCAUGUGAGACUCUUUCGAUUCACUAGCAUUAUUAUUGACUUGCUUGUUCUUGUUAUUAAUAUCAUCUUCUUAUUCUAAAAAUGUGACUCUUGAAGACUAGUGAAGCCGUGCGUGACCUAUUUCGAUUCACUAGCACUUGUUGUUCAUCUUGUUGUUCUUCUUGUUGUUUGUUUCUUGUGUUGUGAACUUGCUCUCAUAUCAUUUAGUAUCAAAGAUUGUGGUUGAUUUUUUUUCAACAAAAUCAAACUUGGGUUUGGUAUUUGAAAAAUAUCCAAAAAAAAAAAAGAAAAAAAAAGGUUGCUGAAAUCUGAAAAUUCCAAAAAAAAAAAGAAACCUGUCCAUCUUGUUCUUGGCCGAGAAAAUUGUGCUGUGUUGUUGUCUUGGCCAAGAUUGGUGUUUGUGUGUUUAUAUAUAGAUGUUAAUUUGUUUGUCUAGUUUGUUUCUUGUGUUGAUUUCUUUCUCAUCAACACAAAAUGUGUCUAAAGCUAAGUUGAGCUUAAUGUAUUGACAUUGCUAUUGUGAACUUGAAGUGGUAGUAUGAUGAACUUGAAGUAGGCUGAGUUUUUGUGUUGUUUCUUGAAUUUAAAGUGGGCUAUUGUUGGUGAAUUAUGGUUGUGUUCUUGAAGUAUUAUUGUGGUGUUCAUCUUGAUCUUCUCAUCAUCUCAUAUCUUGACCACUAUAAAGACUAAAAUAGAUCCAAAAGGGUUGUAAGACAAAGUUGUAAUGUUGUUUGUGAAAAGACUUGCCAACAUCACUUCCUUGACUUAACAACCACUUUUUUCCUUAAAACAAGGAGCCUUGUGUUAUGGAACUAGUAAAGUCAAGCCUCAUCUUUUUGAGUUGGAAAAAGUUGAAAACUUACAAGACUUUACUUUCCCUCCAAAAGCAAAGUCAUCCAUUACAAAAUUGUGAAGAUUAAGGCUUCAAGAUGUUGAACAAAAUGUAUGGACCCUUGACUAAUUUCAUGCUACCACAUCAGCUUAAUCACUGUUCACGUCAUUAAUUAAGCUCAAUUUGGAUAUUAUAGUUUCUAAUUAUUGAUUCUUAGUUUCUUCUGAUUGACUUGAGAACUAAUUAGCAAACUAGUACAUUCCUACUAGGUUGUCAAUUAGUCCUUUGAAGCAUUGUAUUCGUGUCAUCGUUUGCUUGUGUGCUUUUUUUGUUUGAAUAUGUUGUAACUCCUUGACUCUAGUACGACAAGAAUUCUUUGAGUUUCAAACAAGAAUCUACUCUGGACAAGAGCAUACUAAAACCUUAAGGAUUCAUGGGUUACUAGCCAAUCUACAACACUUGUAGAGGUCGAGUGUGAGUGAUCCGAGAGUGUGUGAGUGAGGAGAGGUUUUAAACUAAUUUUUUUGUUGCUUGUGUAGGUGAUAACUUGAAAAUGGAGAAAAAUAAAUCUCAAACCGUGGAUUCUAAUGAAAUGGAGAAUAUGAGGGUCACUCUUGAGGCUACGACCCGAGCUCUUGAAAGGUUGAGUACGGAAGUAGGAGCCAUAAGGGGAGAAGUGACGACUAUUAGUGGGAGGUUAGAACAAGUGGAGAGUCAAAGGAACUCUCGUCCUUCUACUCCUCGACAUGUUUCAUCAAGUGGACAUGAUAGAAAUUCCUCCGCUACCGUUACUCCCGAAACAUGGCCACAAUUGCCAAAUCUUUCACUAGCUCCACUAAAUGCCGUAAGACAAACCACUCAUAACCCCCUAAACCGAGACUCCAAUAGACCAAACCAUUCCCAAACUCUUCAAGUUCCUCAAGAGGGACUCGGACAUCAAAUACCUCCACAAAAUUCGAACCCUUCCUUCCAAGCUCCACUAAACCAAAGACCACCACCUCCACAAAAUCCAAUCCCUCCAAAUCAAGUUUCAAACGUUCAAAACUGUCCCAUCCACUUUGAGGAAUAUGGUAAAGAGUAAUAUGAAGGGUAUGGAGCCUUUGACGAUGCUUAUAUGAGGGAAGAAGAGAUGAGAGGGGGACGUAUGGAUCCAAGAAGAAACCAAGGGUAUGGAGAAAGGGAAAACCGACACCAAGAGAGAGACGUAGACAUCAAUACCAUCAAAUUGAUCCUUACUAUAUUUAAGGGUGAAAGUGACCCCGAGGUGUAUCUUGCUUGGGAGUCGGCAUGUGAUAAAGUAUUUCAAGUGAAUGAUAUAUCGGAGGAGAAGAAGAGUUGUUAUGACAUAGCUCACUUUGAAAGCUAUGCUAAUACAUGGUGGGAAUAUGUCAAACGGUUUGGUAAUGAGUUAAUUGAUAGACAACCACCACCAUGGUUUCGAUUGAGGUAUCUAAUGAGACAACGGUAUCUUCCCGAAAGUUAUCAUCAUGAGUUUCUUUCUAGGUUGUACAAUUUGCGAAAAGGGAAUCGAAUUGUGAUGGCAUAUUAUGAUGAGUUUCAACAACUCAUGUUGAAGCUUGAUCAUCGUGGAGAACAAAUUGGCCAUGAUAUCAUUCAGUUCAAGAGUGGGUUGAACAAAGAGAUCUUUACUCAUUUGACGCUUCACAAGUUUGAUACCGUUGAAGGAAUUUUUCAAACGACUCUUGAGAUUGAAAGAGAGCUUAAAGAGAGGUCGUCGUUCAAGGCAAAAGGACCAUCAACCUCGGGUUGGCUGAGGAGCAAAGAUAUGGUUCAACCAUCUUUGGGUUGGCCCAAAAACAAGGACCAACCCGCCACUAUAAGGAUGGCUGAUCCUAAAACAAUCCACAAAUUUCCUCCCCGACAAGAAGCUCACAAGUAUCCGACUCCUAAAGGGUUCCAAUGUUUCAAGUGCCAAGGUUGGGGACAUAAAGAUAAUAAAUGUCCAAACCGAUGCAAUGUGAUCCUAAGGAAAGGGAUAUUGUAUUACCUUGGUGAGAAAGUGGGUCUUGAAAAAGAAGAGAAUGAGUCUGAGCCUCAAGAUGGAGAGGAACCCAAAAAUGAGCCACAUAAUGAUGAUGAUGAUGAUUGUGAGGAUGCUUAUCCACAAGAAGGGGAGUGCGUGGUUCCAAACUUUGUAGUAAGGUGUGUCCUGAUUAGUAAGGCGAUAUAUGACCCUAGCCAACGGGAGAAUCUAUUCCAUAUUAAAUGCCUUGUGAAGGGAAGUAUGUGUACUUUAGUGAUAGAUAGUGGUAGUUGUGCAAAUGUUGUUAGUGUUGCUAUGGUGAACUUCUUGAAAUUGUCAACUGCACUUCAUACUAGCCCUUAAAAGUUGCAAUGGUUGAAUAAAUGUGGCGAAUUGAAAGUCACGAGGCAAUGUGUGAUACGGUUUAAGGUAGGAAACUACCACAAUGAAGUGCUUUGUGACGUAAUACCAAUGCAAGCGUGUCACUUGUUAUUAGGUAGAACUUGGAAAUAUGAUAGGUCUACCAAACAUAAUGGGAGGUCUAAUCGAUAUACACUUGAGAAGUAUGGCCGAAAGGUCACACUUCAUCCACUUUUGCCUUCACAAGUGAACGAGUUGCAUCAAAGGAUGAGAGAAUUAAAAAAAAAUGGGAAGAAAUCCAAAAAUGAAGAAAAAGAGGGGGAACCCGUAGGUGGGGUAGUGGGGAUAUCCGGGGCUGCCUCAACAUCAAAGGGAAAAUAAAACAUAGUGAUGUUGGUUAGAAAGAAGGAGCUCUUCAUGGAUCAUGAUGAGGAGACACCCAUGCUUCUUUUGGAACAUUGUUUUAACACUAACCCCACUAAUUCUUCUAUUUCUCCUUUGAUUUCUUAUGUGUUGCAGGAUUAUGAAGAUUUUUUCCCAAAGAACUUCCACAAGGGGUGCAUCCGCUUCGAGGAAUUGAGCACCAAAUAGAUUUUGUUCUGAGAUCACAAUUGUCCAAUAAACUGGCUUAUAGAAGCAACCCAACGGAUACCAAGGAAUUGCAAUGCCAAGUUAAGGAACUCCUCAACAAAGGGUAUAUCAAGGAGAGUAUGAGCCCUUGCGCGGUCCCGGUGCUACUAGUUACCAAGAAAGACGGGACUUAGCGUAUGUGCGUUGAUUGUCGAGCCAUCAACAAGAUAACGGUAAGAUAUCAUCUCCCUGUUCCUAGGAUAGAUGAUAUGCUUGAUGAAUUGAGUGGCUCAUGUUUAUUUUCUAAAAUUGGUUUGAUGAGUGGCUAUCACCAAAUCCAUAUGCAAUCGGGUGAUGAAUGAAAAACUGCCUUCAAGACCAAAUUCGAUCUCUAUAAAUGGAUGGUUAUGCCAUUCGGCCUAAAAAAAGCUCUAAGUACUUUCAUGAGGCUAAUGAAUCAUGUGAUGAAGCCUUUUAUCAAAAAUUUUGUUGUUGUCUACUUUGAUGAUGUGUUGGUGUAUAGUAGGUCCUUAGAUGAGCAUGUAAAAUAUUUGCAAUAUAUGUUUGAUGUCCACUGAAAGGAGAAGUUACAUGCUAAUUUAGAAAAGUGUUCUUUUGGUGUGCAAGAAGUUGUAUUUCUCAUUUUUCUGGUGAGCUCAAGUGGGGUCGAAGUAGAUGAAUCUAAGAUUGACGCUAUCAAAAAUUGGCCAACUCCCAAAACCAUAGGUGAAGUGAGAAGCUUCCAAGGGUUGGCUAGUUUUUAUAGAUGUUUUGUCAAAGGAUUUAGCACCAUUGUUGUCCCCUUGACUGAAUCGAUUAAAAAGGAUCGACCUUUCAAGUGGGGAGAUGAACAAGCUAAGGCCUUCAAGGACUUGAAAGCUAUGCUCAUCUUGGCCCCUUUGUUAUAAUUGCCAAAUUUUGACAAGACUUUUGAGGUUGAAUGUGAUACUAGAAAAGUUGGUAUAGGCGCGGUUUUAAUGCAAGAAUUGAAGCCUAUUGCCUACUUUAGUGAAAAGCUCAAAGGAGCAACUCUAAACAACUCUACGUACGAUUUAGAGUUAUAUGCCUUGAUUAGAGACUUGGCCACUUGACAACAUUAUUUAUGGCCUAAAGAAUUCGUGAUCCAAAUGGACCAUGAGUCCUUGAAGCAUCUUCGGUCACAAAAUAAGGUUAACAAAUGGCAUGCCAAGUGGAUUGAGUUUCUUGAAACUUUCCCUUAUGUUAUUCAUUACAAAAAGGAUAAGGACAAUGUGGUUGUCGAUGCUUUGUCUCAAAAAGACGUUCUUGUGUCUACUUUGUCUUCAAAAUUGAUGGGUUUUGAGAUCAUAAAGGAAUUGUAUCCCGAGGACCCUCACUUUUCUCCUAUCUAUAGGGAAUGCGAAGAAUGGGGUAGGGACAAGUGGGAUUCGGCUUGGGGUUCAAAUCCCUUUGCCAUGUUUCAUGGUUACUUGUUUAAAGGUAGGCGAUUGUGUGUACGAUCUAGCUCUUAGAGAGAUUUUUUUGUGAGAGAAGCACACAAUGACGGUCUAAUGGGUCACUUUGGGGUCAAAAAGAUCCUUGGAAUAUUGGAGAAGCAAUUCUAUUGGCCAAAAAUGCACAAGGAUGUGUCUAGGAUUUGCGGCCAAUGUGUAGAUUGCAAAGGAGCCAAAUCUCGGCCAACCUCAUGGGUUGUACACCCCCUACCCACCUCUUUACAUCCUUGGCUUGAUAUAUCUAUGGAUUUUGUGUUAGGGUUGCCAAGGACUAGAAGAUGUCGAGAUAGUAUCUUUGUUAUGGUUGAUCAGUUUUCUAAGAUGACACACUUUAUUCCAUGCUCUAAAUAUGAUGAUGCACCUAGUGUGACCUUUUUGUUUGUUGAUAAUAUUGUCAAGUUGCAUGGUGUUACGAGGACCAUUGUGAGUGAUAGGGACUCUAAGUUCCUAAGUCACUUUUGGAAGUCCAUGUGGGGUAGGCUUGGUACCAAGUUAUUGUUUUCCACUUCUUACCACCCACAAACCGAUGGCCAAACGGAAGUAGUAAAUAGGAAUUUGGGUGCUAUGCUGCGUUCCAUGAUUAAGGAAAAAUUGACUUCUUGGGAGGAACACCUACCAUUAAUUGAGUUUACCUAUAAUCGUGUCCUACACUCAAGUACGGGAAUGACUCCCUUUGAGUGUGUAUACGGCCUCAACCCCCUUACCCCUUUGGAUUUAACUCCUUUGCCAAGUGAUCUUAUGAUUAGCCUAGAUGGAAGAAAGCGGGCAGGAUUUAUGAAAAAGUUGCAUGAGAAGGUGCGGCUUCGACUUGAGAAGAAAAAUCAAGAGAUUGCACAGUGGGCAAACAAAGGAAGAAAGAAACUCAUUCUUGAAUCAGAAGAUUGGGUGUGGGUGCAUCUUAGGAGGGAUCGGUUUCCAUCUCAAAGGAAUACCAAAUUGAUGCCAAGGGGUGAUGGUCCAUUUCAAGUACUUGAAAGAAUCAAUGAUAAUGCCUACAAGAUUGACCUUCCCUCGGAAUACCAAAUGCACAACACUUUCAAUGUGUGUGAUCUUUCUCUAGUGGAUGCGGUUGAGGAUGACCAAAUGUCGAAUUUGAGAUAAAAUUACUUUCAAUAUAGAGAGGAUGAUAUGGGUGUACCAAGCUGUUCAACAAGUUCUACAAGUUGUCCAACAAGUUCACGACCAUUCACGCGUAGCCAAGCUCGGGAGUUACAAAAACUCUAAGUUAUGUUCAUGUAAAUGACCGUGUGUGAGUUGGUACUUGAGCCUUCCAAUGAAUUAAAUGUUUUGAAGUGUGAAGAGGAGCCUUGAAGUGUAAUAAACUUACACUCCAAGGCCACACCUUGGCAAGGGUAGGAUGGUCAUUUGUUAUCUCCCUUUGUGGACUAAUAUAAAUAGAUAGUGUUAGGAUUAUUUUUGAGUUAGUUCAUUUAUAUUUUGGAAUACAAAAAUCACUUUGUAAUAUUUUGGAACUUCUCUCUUCCAUUGGAGAAGCCCCAAUUUCGAAAACUCACUAGUAGAGUGAUACUAGUAUUGUCUCUUGGCUAGAAACUAGAGUCUUGGGUUCUUUGAGUUCCUCUUGAUCCGACUAAGAGCUUGGUAUUAAAAUUCAUUAAUCUUAGGGUCCUUUAUCUUGUUAGGGUUCUUAGAUCAUUGAAUAUUGUGUGUCAAGUUACUAUCCCUCUUGUAAUCUUGUUAAUCUUGUGUUGUUGGAAUCCUAAAGUCUAGUGAAGCCGUGUGAGGAUCUUUCGAUACACUAGCAUUAUUAUUGACUUGCUUGUUCUUGUUGUUAAUAUCAUCUUCUUAUUCUUAAAACGUGACUCUUGAAGACUAGUGAAGUCGUGUGUGGCCUAUUUCGAUUCACUAGCACUUGUUGUUCAUCUUGUUGUUCUUGUUGUUGUUGUUUGUUUCUUGUGUUGUGAACUUGGUCUCAUAUCAACAACUCUAUUUUUUUUUUAAAGCUAUUCUUCCAAUUGGUGUAGUUUUUCUAACAAUCAAAUACGAUUUUAUAACAUUGUAAUUGUUGCUCUUCUUUUUUAUCAAUCAAAUACAAUAUUUGAUAUCAAAUACAUGAAUCUUUGAUACCAAAUACAAAUACAUAUUUUAUACAAUAAUUGUAUAAAAGUGUAUCAAUAUGGUAUAAAAGUGUAUCAAUUGAGUAUAGAGAUUGCAUGUAUCCAAUUGGGCUAAAUGGCUAAAAACGAAAAUAAAUUGGACCGAUUGGCUCCAAUUGUCCACAUUUUCAAAUUGUGUGUCAUUUAUUUUCAAAAUGACUAGCCCAUGUCCUUUUGCCAAACGUCGUUGCCCUUGAUGACAGCAUCAAAUAUCUGUAUUAGCUUAUGACUUGCUAAUAAAAACAAACAAAACAAAUAGUUCCAAUAACAAAAUAGUUCAAAUCAAAUUCCAAAACACACACCAAAUAACAACUCUUUCACUUGCACUAAAGUUUAUCAUGGCUCAAUACAGGCCAAUUCUCACUAUAAUCGGGCUGAUUAGUGUGCUCUUUCGAUUUACGACUAACGCAACUUUACAGAACAAUUCACAAAUCUAUAUUGUUCAUUGUGAGUUCCCUGAUGGGCACAGGUAGAUGUCACGACGCGAACCAAACGUACCAAGCGAAUUUUAAAAAUUGUUUUUAUCACUUAUAUAAGGCGAAUUUCAGAAACUCUCCCUACAUUUGGUUAUUUAUUUAAGCUCGCACUGUGUUUGAUAAAUAUAGUGUAUAAAUUUAUUAGAUAACUAUUUAAUUAGAACUUUUUAUACUUCGUUUGAUGAUUAGCAAUACCUUGGACUCUUGGGCUUUAUGGUCAAUAGAAAGCACGAUAACUCAGCAAUGUAACAGCAUCAUGGUACAAGUUUGUCUUGCAGAGAAAUUAAAUUAACCAACUUUAGCUUUGUUAUAAUUUUCACAAACAAGACUUACGAGAGUAUUGUCACAAUUUGUGUGUGGCCCAUGAUGUAUUUGGUUCCAUUAUUAUUACUAAAAAUUACUCAAAUAUAUAACUUAUGUUUCCAAUAUUACAAAAAAUAUCAACUCCCUAAACAUAUUACAAAAAUUCCAACAUAUACACAGAAUGCUAUGUAUAUGUCAGCUAUGCUAUGUAUAUUAAUAGAGAGAGUAAAGUAAUUUAAAAAGUGGAAAAGAAUGUAAUUACUUUCAAAAGAAUUGAUAUUUAUGUUGUUUAUACUUAUCAUAAGGGGUGUCAAUGGUACGGUUCAGACGGUUAUUUUAUAAAAUUUAUUGCAUAUCAUUUUUUUGAUUAUUUUACUUUUGAAAAUCCUUCUAUCAUAUCGAUUUCUCUCCAGUAUUGGUAUGGUUCGAUUAAUUUUUGAUAUUUUUGUAAGGAAUAUAUAAAACUUAGAGCACGCUGACAGCGCCCAAGCGCACGUGCAAGUAUACGUGGUCUUAUCAAGUAGUAAAGUGGCUUCAAGGAAGCCCAAGUAUCGAUCUCUCAGGGAUUUGCGUUUGCCCCCUAUCUAUUUCUAGUUUAACCAAUUGAGGAAGGUAGCAAAUAGAGUUGUAAUUUUGUAAGUUAAAACUAAUCUAAACUAAUGCAUAAAAUAAAAUCUUGGACAAUCAAUGGAGUAAAGCCCAGGAUUGAGGCAUUUCGAACAAUCAUACAAAUCUCUAUUCCUAUCACAGUUUAAUUGAUUAUCAGAUUGUUGAUUCACAAGGUUUAUGCUAGGAUUUUAGUCUCCCGACCUCAAAUCUUUUAUCUAUUGAACAUUGCAACUACAACUCCCGCAGAGAUACAACAAUUCUUCUAGAUUCAAUAAGUUAUCUUCUUGCAAUUGAACCAAACAAGGCUUCUAGGUAUAUCACUAUCCUAGAUGCUAAUUCAAACUCCUUAUUUCAUAAGAGUAAGAACGUUGUUCCUUAAUUUCUUCAUUCUAUCCUAUGAUUCUCCUCCCGGAUUUACAUAGAAAUAUAGAUUUAUUCUAAUGGUAGCUAAUCAUCAAAAUAGUAAGAUCAUGAAAUCAAGAACAAUCCAUAUGAUAAUCCACAAUUAAACUACAAUAAAGAAUAUUAAAGAGUAUUCAUGUUCUUGGCCUCAACCCCGGAAAGACGGUUUUAGCCUUUAAUAGAAAUAUUCAUCAUCCAAUCCCUUGCAAUGAUGAUACAAACCAUAAAAAAAAACUAAAUUAAAGAAUGAAAAAACCUAAAAAUAAGUUGUAGUAUCCUCCAAUGAUGUUCCAAGUUGGAUUGGGUUUCCGCGCUAUUUUACUUCAUAUGGACAGAAUUAUCCUGAUUUUGGACAUCGGCGUGAUGCGGUGACAUGCAAAUUCACAAUUGUCAAAAAUCUUUCAAAUUCCAGUAGCUAUUCGUGAUUUCAACGCGUCGCGGGGCCUCCUUAAACUUCAAAUUAAGAUACACGCACCAUUUUUUCAAAAAAUUGGGCCUCUUAUGAAUCCAGUGGUAUUUUAAAUCCUCCAUUGGACACUUGUACAAUCCACACUCGCCCAAUACUAUUCAGGGAUCCAACUUGCAUCCAACUUGCGUCUUGUGCUUUUGUUGAGCAUUCCGAGCCUUAUUGAGUUGUUUCCACUUGAUUUGAAGCUUGUAUAUCCUUAUAUCAUCAUAAUCCAUGCACCAAGCAUCCCAAAUCAUUAAACACAUCAAUUAAGAGCUCAAAACAACACAACAUCCUCAUCGAUGAACUAGAAACACGAGCUAAGCAUAGGCUAAAUUCACAUUGAGCUUUAACUCAUUGUUUUCACUCUUUUCUUGAUCCAAUUGACCCUUGAACAUUAUAACUAAGUUUUUUCACAUAUAAACACAUAAUAAAAACCUUAUUAACUCAUUAAAACACAUUAGAACUCAACACAAAUAGACUAGAAAAACACCUAACUCAAGCUAGUCACACUAGUUUUCUCGAUUGAACUCUAAAAUGGUUGAAUUGAAUCAAAACUCGUGUGGAAACACCAUUAAACAUUGUAAACACGUACUUGGACACACAAUUGCUCAUUUAUAUCAUUAUUAACACAUAUAACAUAAUAAUCGUCCUCAAAACAAGGCUAAAUAAGCGAGAAUGGUAGUGCUAGAAUGCAUAAAUUCACCCAACAUCACAUGCUACAAUGUAUACUUGGAUAUGACUUUGACAAAAACUCUCUAGACAUUUUUAUUGUCUAAAAGGUGAUGAAUCAAGAAAAUAUAAAAUAUAAAAGAACAGAGAUUCAUUUCAUUAAUUUAUGGUAGUGUGAAACAUUAUUAAGUAAAGACAAAAAAUAUAAUUUAGAUCACAUGAACGGAAAAAAAAAUCAGUCAAGAUAAAACUCAAGAAUAGAGUCUACUUAAAUUAAGUAUCUAAUAAGAGAAGUUUAGAUCAUAAGAGAGGAAAAAUAUCUAAUACUAACUUAUAUCUUGUUACCAAGAUUGUUGGAGUACCUUGUAGCAUGCGCUAGUUACAUCUCGAGAGACGAGAUGCUAAAACUAACUUAAUUUCAAUUGGACUAGCAUAAUAAGUUUUUUUUGUUAGGACUUUGAGUGUUGAUUGUAUUGGUACUUGUAGUCACUUCCACUACGCCGUGUCUAAAGAAAUUCUUUUAAUAAUAUAUUUUACAUGUAUAUUAUUCGGUAUGAUUUGAUAUAUUUUGAUUAACUUUUAUAAAAUUUAAAAAACCGACCUAAUUAUUCGGUCCAGUUAUGAAUCUAUAUUAUAAUAUAUUAAAAGUGUGAAGAUCCUUAAAAAAGUGAUUUAAAUUUUUUGCCCUUUAUUAAAAGUCUCAUCUUUAGACAAAAUCGUCUUUUCACUAUUUUUCUCAAAUUAUUAUUUAGUUAUUAUUAAUAUUAGAACUUUGAAAUUAAUUAAAAUCCUUAUUUGAGUUGGGAAAGAAAGUUCUAAAUUAAUUUAAAUCUUACCAUAUAUGUAAUUUAUUAAUAAAUUAAAUAAAUGAAAAAUAAUGUUGAUUUGAAUUCGAAAGAACAAGAAAAAGAAGGUCGAAAGAAAAAAAGAGAAAAAAAAAAAGGAAAAUACGUAAUUGGAAACAAAAUUAAAUUGAAUUGAAAAGGAAAAAGAAAACGUGUGGAGGAAAAGGAAAAAAAAAAGAAAGAAAGAAAAAAGAAAAAUAAAACAAAACAUAAAAAUAAAAAAGAUUUACAUUAAAUAAAUAAAAAUUGAAUUGACAAAUAAGGAAAGUAAACUAAACCUAAAAUUUCUUAUAAAUUGAGAAUUCUUCCUUUCUACAAUAAUACUUCCACAAUAUAGUUCUCAAAUAUUUUUUUUUUAUUAUUGUUGUUUAUAAAUUUGAUUGUGAUUUAAGGUAUGUUUUCUAAAAUUUUUGUUUUUGAUGUUUACAAUCUUGAUAAUAUCUAUGAUUAAAGAAAUAAAUUUGCUUGUCAUUUGGGGUAACUUUUCAAAAUUUUUAAUUAGAAUGUUCUUGAAGUUUAUAAUAAUAAAUCAUCAUGUAUUCGUGAUAGACAAUUGCUAAUUGAGAAGUUUUUUGUGAAAUAUUAACAAUAUUUACGAUUAAAGAGGCAAAUUUUCUUGUGAUUUGAGGUAAGUUUUCUAAAAUUUUAGUAUAUUUUUUAUGUUAUACAAAUAAAUUAUCUUGUAUUUUUAUUAGACUUCUACUAAUUGAGAAGUUCUCUUUUAUGAUUUUUGUAUGUUCUUGAAGUUUAAAUUAUAAAUUAUCAGCUAUUGUGGAUAGGUAAUUGAUAAUUGAGAUGUUUUUUGAGAUUUUUUUUACAUGAAUUAUACACAAUAAAUAAUUUGAAAUUCACUUAUUUACAAUUUUGACCAAAUUCUUUGGAUUAUAUUUCAUCAUAAGAAAUUGGUUAGCCACUCUAAUUGUAUACGAAUUUUUUUUUCCUUUUAUCCACUUGAGAUAUUAGGAGAUUUAGUUAAAUUAACAAUCUAGCUUUUAGAAAAGUACGAUUAAAGAGGCAAAUUUUCUUGUGAUUUGAGGUAAGUUUUCUAAAAUUUUAGUAUAUUUUUUAUGUUAUACAAAUAAAUUAUCUUGUAUUUUUAUUAGACUUCUACUAAUUGAGAAGUUCUCUUUUAUGAUUUUUGUAUGUUCUUGAAGUUUAAAUUAUAAAUUAUCAGCUAUUGUGGAUAGGUAAUUGAUAAUUGAGAUGUUUUUUGAGAUUUUUUUUACAUGAAUUAUACACAAUAAAUAAUUUGAAAUUCACUUAUUUACAAUUUUGACCAAAUUCUUUGGAUUAUAUUUCAUCAUAAGAAAUUGGUUAGCCACUCUAAUUGUAUACGAAUUUUUUUUUCCUUUUAUCCACUUGAGAUAUUAGGAGAUUUAGUUAAAUUAACAAUCUAGCUUUUAGAAAAGUACUAACUGAAUUGAAUUCUAAUGAUAUCAUAUAAUUUUAUCCAAAAUGAAAUUAAAAUAACUGAAAGUAGAAUUUUAAUCCAAUGACUAUAUAUUUAUAGUAUAAUAGGCAUGUUUAUUUAUUAAUCAAGAUAUAUUUAUAGUUUACACGUCGUAGAUAAACUUAUAGAUGGUAGAUGAAUUUACACGUGGUAGAUCAAUGUCGGUCGGCUUUGAGAAAUUUUUUAGAUAAAGGUUAGGUUUAAUUGUAUUGUAUUUAUAUCUUUAUUUUGGAAAUAUUUUUUUGUGUAAAGGUUAAGUUUGGUUAUACUAUUUUGAUAUCUCUAUUAUAGUAUUAUUAUUUUGUUAUAGUUCACAGGUGGUAGAUGAGUGUCAGGCUUUGAGGAAAUUUUUGUGUAAAAGUUAGAUUUAAUUAUAUUAUUUUGAUGUCUCUAUCAUCGUAUUGUUAUGUUGUAGUUUACAGGGGGUAGAUGAAUGUCGAUCGACUUUGACAAAUUUUUUUAGCAAAGGUUAGGUUUAGUUAAUUAAAUCUCCAAAAGAUGUUGAAUUCAAUUAUUGUAUUCCUUUAUUAUUUAAAUAAAUAUCCUAUUUAGUGCAAUUUUGAACUCAAUAAAGUGAGGUACACGCGUGAAUCACGUAAACCUAAACUAGUUUAUAUAAAAAUCAUCGGUUCUAUUAAAAGAAACCUAAAAACUGGUUUAAUACCUCUAAUUAUUAUGAUAACAAUUAAAUUUGGCCUAACUGAACCCUGAAGCUACUCAACAGGGUGAGAAUUGUUAACAAGGUGAAAAUUGUUAGAAAACAUUACAUAAAUGUAUAUAUUAUAUGAAAAAGUAUAUCACAUAUUUUUAACAUAAAUAUUAAUAUAUCAAUUUAGUAGCAAAAUUUUAGCUAUUUCUGAAAUUUGCCAAAGAAGAAUUUGCAAAGUUUUGGAAACAACUUCUUUAUCGCACCUCUAAGGAGUGGUACAAACUACGUACACCUUAUUCUGCCCAAAUGUAACUCCACUUUGUGGGAAUAUAUUGGUUAUGUUGUUGAUGUUGUUAAGAAUUUAGAAAGCAUUGCUGCAAUUUGAGCUUGAACCAUUAUGUAUUGGUGCCAUUAUUAUUGUAACAAAUUGAAUUUGGCAUAACUGAACCCUUAAAGAUAGUUAACACGGUGAGAAUUAUUCAAGAACUUUACAUAAACAUAUAAUUUAAAAAAAGAUAUUACAUAUUUUUAGCAUAAAUAUUAAUAAAUCAAUUUAGUAGCCAAAUAAAUUCUCCACUUUUUCUUAUAUAAUUCCUCAAAAAAGGUUGCCCCCCCNNNNNNNNNNNNNNNNNNNNNNNNNNNNNNNNNNNNNNNNNNNNNNNNNNNNNNNNNNNAACAAUCAUAAUCCAUAAAAGUACUACCGCGCUCCUCACCUAAUUCCUCAAGAAACAACAAUUGCAUUCCUCACCUAAUUCCUAAACAAUGCAUGCUAACAACAAUUGUCAUAUAAAGAUUCUCUUAGACAUACAAAAGAAAUGAAUUAUUUCUUUCAGGAAUGAUUUUAUAAACCUGCAUGUUUUUUGAGAACACCUACUCUCCAAAACCUCCGUUUCAAAUUGAUUUACCUGUUUUGGCUUGACGUGAAGUUUAAGAAAAUACAGAAGACUUUGAGUCUCGUUAUUCUAAAUAAAAAAUAUUUUAAACGUAUCAAAAUAUCCAAAAAAAAUUAGAAUUAAAAAGUUACUAAAAGGAAAAUGGUCAUUUCUUUUUAAAUAAAUAACCAAAGAAAGUUGGUCAAACUGGUUAGUCACACUUUAGUGGCCUUUCUGUUUAGACACACUUCAGUGGCCUUACUUUCUGUUUAGUCACACUUUAGUGGCCUUUAUUUUCUUUUAGUUUUCUUCUAUAUAAACAGUUACUUCAAAGCAGGGAAAUUCAUCAAAUACACUUUCAAAUACAUCAUUAGUUCUUGUAUUUUGCAGCCAUGGAACUCUUUAAAAUCCUUCUUAUUAUUUUCAUCUUUUGUUCUUUCCCUUUCCCUAGCAUUCAGAGUGAUUUAGAGACAUAUAUAGUCCAUGUUGAAUCCCCUGAAAAUCAAAUUUCUACUGAUCAAUCAUCAAGGACGGAUUUAGAUAACUAUUACCUUUCUUUUUUGCCUAAAAGUACUACCGCGAUUAGCUCAAUUGGAAAUGAAGAGCCUGUCAACAUGAUCUAUUCCUAUCACAAUGUGAUGAAAGGCCUUGCAGCAACAUUAACUGCAUCACAAGUGAAGGAAAUGGAGCAGAAAUCGGGCUUUGUCUCUGCACAGAAACAGAGUAUUUUGCCAUUGCAAACUACUCAUAGUCCGAGCUUUCUUGGUUUGCGACCAAACAUGGGUUUGUGGAAGAAUUCCCAUUAUGGGAAAGGUGUGAUCAUUGGAGUCAUAGGCAGUGGAAUUCUUCCUGACCAUCCUUCAUUUAGCGAUGUUGGGAUGCCUCCUCCUCCUGCAAAGUAAAAGGGAGUUUGUGAGCCCGAUUUCACAGACAAGUGUAAUAACAAACUCAUAGGAGCGAGAUCUUUCCCCCAACUUGCCAAUUGAUACGAGAAUAAUUACGGAAAUAGACUUAUAUGGGUGUGCAUUGAAAGCAGCGAAGUGUAUGUGCAAGAGAAGUAUAAUUAAAGGCCCAAAUACACACCAAAACAGCUCACUCCAUACACUAGAGGCAGCCCAUUCUUGAAGAGUCUUUUUGGUCAUUUUGACUUCUACUUGUUUUGUAAUAUAUAAGGAACAUGUUAGGGUUUAUUCACUUAGUUUUUGAAUGUUGAAAAUGGUAGAACACACUUGAAACCCUCAAGUUCUCUCUCUUGUGAGGCUUGGCCAAAAGUAGGUUACAACAUUAGGGUGAAAUCUCUUUUGUUGUUUGUUUGCUUGGAACUUGGGGUGCUUGAAGGAUUGAGGUCCUCUCUUCCGUCUCUUUGAAGAGUGUAGGUGAUCCUACUCUCAUCAUUAAGGGUCUUUGUGUAUUAUCUACACUUAGGUUCUUAGUCAUUAUAGUAGUUUAUGUCUCACUAUCUAUCCCUUUGUCUUUUGUAAUCUUGUAACGUUAUAUCUUGUUGUUGUGGAAUCCAAAUCUGGCUAUUCUUGUUGUCAUCUUUCUCAUCUCGUUAUUGUUGUGUUGUUGGCUGUUUUUGGAUGUCAAAUACACCCUUGUUUCUUUUAUUCUUGUUACACUUGUUGAAUCCGAGUGAGGUCCCCUUUUGGUCUACGUUUUUUCUUGAAUUUGUGGACUGUUUAAGGUAUGUUUUGUGCUUUCCCUUGUUUGUUUUGUAUUAUUUGGUAUCAAAGCCAUUUUUGGUGUUGUUCUUACAAUACCAAUCUUGGGUUUUCUUGCUAAAAAAAAAGUUUGGUGUUCUUGUUGUUCUUAGCCUUGAAAGUGUUAUUCUUGUUGUUCAUCUUGGCCGAGGUUGCUUGUAGCGUCUAGAUCUAGUAGUCCUUUGGUGUGUAUUGUUGUUUCUUGUGUUAGUUACAUGAUUCACUAACACUAAAAGGUGUCUAGAUCUAUAUUUGAGCUUGAACUUGUUAAAGUUGUGUUGUGAACAAGGACCUAGGGCAAGAAUUUAUGACUUGUUGUGGCCGGUUGGGUCUUGACUUUGUGAAUAUUGUUUUUGUUCUUGAAGGAUUGUUGUGGUGUUCAUCUUGUUCUUCAUCUCAUCUUACAGUUUAAGACAACCAAAAGUGUAAUAUAGAUUCAAAAAGGUGAACCUACAAGUUGUAAAGUUGUUUGUGAGAAGACUUGAGCCAUCACUUCCUUGACUUGCCAUCUACUUUUCAACCACUUUUCCUUGUUUCAAGGGACCUUGUUUUGUGGGAAUUGUACAAAGUCAAGUCUUGACUUUUGAAGAUUAGACUUAAAGGAGAUUCAAGACAUAUACUUUCCCUCCAAAACCAAUUGUUUCCAUUACAUAGUAACUAAAGUUUGUAAACUUCAACUAGUGACUAAUUGUGGGGCCGUGACCAAUAGUGUGCUACCACGUCACCCAAGUUACUGUUCACAUGAAAAUUUUAAGCUCAAAUUGUGAUCUUUUAGUUUCAUUUUGUUGUCUCAUUAGUUUCGUUUGUUGAUUCCAUUACUAACUUACAAACUAGUGACAAUUUACUAGAUUGUGAGUUGGUUUUGAAACCAUUUUUUCCGUGUUUACGUUCCUUUGUGUGUUUUUAUUCAUUUGAGUCAUUGUACACAGUCGGUUCACCUUUCAACAUCUCAUUGAUUACAAGAAAACUUACAACAAUUGUGAGAUCAAAAGUGAGAAAAUCCGAGGGACAAAGGAUUAUAGAGAGAGUGUGAGGACCAUUCUUGAACAACUAACAUGUUCAUUGUUUUGUAGGUAACUUCUUGGAUACAAUGAACAACAAUGCUCUUGGUUCUAUCUUGGAAAGACUUGAAACUGUCAACCGAGGAAUGAAUAGUAUGCUCACGACUAUGUCCUCAAUCCGAGGAGGGAUGUCUACUAUGAAUGAGAGGUUGGAUUGAAUGGAGAGUCGAAGGAACUCUCGUGCUUCUACCCCUCGAUUCCAUGUUUCCUCAAGUGGUCAUGACCAAAAACCUUCUGUCACCAUUUCCCCUGAGACUUUGCCUACAAAAGUCAACCCUCCAAGUUCACCAUAAAAUGCCAUGAUCCAAGUUACUAAUUACCCUCAAAAUUGAGAACAAGGUAGAUCACUUCUCCCAAAAGUUGAUCAAGUCCCACAAUAAGGACUUGGAGGCCCAUUCUCUCCCAUCCAAGAUCCACAACCAAAGCUCCACAUUACCAAAAUAGCCCCCUCAACUGAAACUCCACUUCCCCAAAACCGAUAUGUCCAUAUAGAGGAGUAUGGAAGAAAGGGACACGAAGUAUAUAGAGUCUUCGAUGAUGAUUAUAUGAUGGAAGAAGACUUGAGUCAGAUAAGAUUGAAUCCAAGUCUCAAGAUGGAGAGAAAUCCGAAUUUCAAAAUGAAGAUAUUUUUCGAGACUUGUUCAUAUUGAGCUCUCGGGUUCUUCAUGUUUUGUGGACUGUUUUGAGUGCUUUUUUUUAAGUGGCCAAUUGAACGAAGUGAAGCCGUGAAUUUGUGGGAAAAUUCUUCUCAAGAUGGAGAGGAUGAUACGAGAAUAAUUACAAAAAUAGACUUAUGUGGGUGUGCAUAGAAAGCAACCAAGUGUAUGUUCAAGAGAAGUGUAAUUAAAGGCCCAAAUACACACCAAAACAGCCCACUCCAUACACUAGAGGGGCAGCCCAUUCUUGAAGGGCCUUUUUGGUUAUUUUAACUUCUAUUUGUUUUGUAAUAUAUAAGGAACAUGUUAGGGUUUAUUCACUUAGUUUUUGAAUGUUGAAAAUGGUAUAACACACUUGAAACCCUCAAGUUCUCUCUCUUGUGAGGCUUGGCCGAAACUAGGUUACAACAUUAGGGUGAAAUCUCUUUUGUUAUUUGUUUGCUUGGAACUUGGGAUGCUUGAAGAAUUAAGGUCCUCUCUUGUGCCCCUUUGAAGAGUGUAGGUGUUCCUACUAUCAUCAUUAAGGGUCCUUGUGUGUCAUCUACCCUUAAGUUCUUAGUCAUUCUAGUAGUUUAUGUCUCAUUAUCUAUCCCUUUGUCUUUUGUAAUCUUGUAAUGUUAUAUCUUGUUGUUGUAGAAUCCGAAUCUGGCUAUUCUUGUUGUCAUCUUGCUCAUCUCGUUAUUGUUGUGUUGUUGGCUGUUUUUGGGUGUCAAAUACACCCUUGUUUCUUGUAUUCUUGUUACAUUUGUUGAAUCCGAGUGAGGUCCCCUUUUGGUCCACGUUUUUUCUUGAAUUUGUGGACUGUUUGAGGUAUGUUUUGUGCUUUCCCUUGUUUUUUUUGUAUCAUUUGGUAUCAGAGCCAUUUUUGGUGUUGUUCUUACAAUACCAAUCUUGGGUUUUUUUGCUAAAAAAAAAUUUGGUGUUCUUGUUGUUCUUAGCCUUGAAAGUAUUGUUCUUGUUGUUCAUCUUGGCCGAGGUUGCUUGUAGCGUCUAGAUCUAGUAGUCCUUAGGUGUGUAUUGUUGUUUCUUGUGUUAGUUACGUGAUUCACUAACACUAAAAGAUGACUAGAUCUAUAUUUGCGCUUGAACUUGUUAAAGUUGUGUUGUGAACAAGGACCUAGGGCGAGAAUUUGUGACUUGUUGUGGCCGGUUGGGUCUUGAAUUCAUGAAUAUUGUUUUUGUUCUUGAAGGAUUGUAAUGGUGUUCAUCUUGUUCUUCAUCUCAUCUUACAAUUUAAGACAACCAAAAGUGUAAUAUAGAUGUAACACCCCGCAUUUCGGACGAGAAUGAAAAUCGUCAUUUCUUUCACGUAAAGGUUCCAAAAUUCAUAAAUUCAAUGCAAGUUUAGUGGGUUAAUAAAUUAUGAAGUGUGGAAACCUAUUUGAGCAUGAAUUGAGAUCAUAGAGGUCCCCAAGCUUAAGGACAAUUCGAAAGUUUUCCUAUCGUUCGAAUUUUAGUGAGCAUUGAAACUUAGGUCAACUUCAAUCAAUCAUUACUCUUUGUAUAUAUUGAAUUAGAUUGCCUACUAUAUAUAAAAUGAAAGAUAUUCGAAUUAUCUUUCCAACUAUACCAAUUUCACAAAAAUACAACACUCGAGGAAGAAGUUAUGGCUUUGCAAAGUGGAGUGUACCGUGCAGCAUAAUGUGUGCGACGUACACCCUAACUUAUGCCAUAAAAUGUGCGAUGCACAACCUAAUGUGUGCGACAAAGAGUGCGCCGCACAACCUAUAUUAUGCUAUAAGGUGUGCGCCGCAUAUAUUAUUACUCAAGUGACUUAAACACUCCGUUUUGGGGCAAAAUGGUCCUUUUCCCACCCUUAUUUAGCCAUAAACACGAAAUUCAGUUCCCAAAUAGCCCAAAAUACACCUUUAUUCAUCAAAAUUGCUCAAGAACUUUCCUUAGGGUUUCAAAAUAAAAACCCAGGCAACUCAAGAUUCAACCGUGGGUUUUUGAAACUAAUUGCAUAUUUGGAAUCCAUAGAACGUAGGCUUCAAAAAGAACCUAUCAUCUUUGUUUAUAGAAGUACGUGGGGUUAUCUCAAAAAUCUCAUAGGCUUAAAAAUUCAUGUUUUAAAAAUGGGGGUUUUGAAAUUACGAAUAUGAUUAUGUUUUAAAUGUUUUAUGAUAUUGAUUUGGUCUUUAGGCCUAUUCUCGAAGUGAUUUGAUAUAUGAUAUAUGUAUAUGCAUGUAUUCCGAAAAGAUGUUAAUUUGAGAGCAUGAAUUAUAUGAAAUCCCUCUAUUUAUAUGAUCUCAUUUUAAAUUCUCAUAUGAUGUGAAAUUUUUGAAAUCAUCUUGACAAGUGUGACAUGAAAUAUUUUAAAAAUGGACAUGAUUUUGACUUGCAAUGAAAGGGUUGUUAUGUUGAAAUAUGAUGAAUAUAAUGGUUGCAUGAAAGAAUGAUGUGAUAUUGAUGGCUUGCAAGUUGGGUAUGACGAUACCCUACAGAAUAAGAUAUGUGAUUGAAUUAGAUGGAGUUUGAUGCUUUGAUUUUACAUGAGAUAGGUGGAUGCCCGAAGAAGGCGUUUAAGUGUAAGGGCUCAUCGCUGGAAAUCGUGUUUGCCGAUAUGGGGAUUUGGUACCAGGAUAAGUGAUCAUGUGUACUUGACUUUAUGUCAUUCCCAAAUUGGGACUAUGGUUAGGAGCCCAGGAUAAGUGAUCUUGGGCACUACUAUACUUUAUUGGGUCGAGACACCCUGCUGUGUGAUCUUGUGUGUCUUCCCCUCACUUAUACUCUAAUUUCAGCAGCAACUGAGAUUUGAUAGUUGGUGUAAAUAUUAUAUGUUAGGUAUUCCACCUAGCUCAGUUCAUUACAUUGUUGUUGAAACUAUUACAUUACGCUCAUAUGUUUUCAAAUGAUUUGAUAUGAAACUGCUUUAUAAUGGGUGUCACCUAUAUUUGGAAAAAAAUAUUAUAUUUUGUUUUUUAUUUCUCUGUGUACCAUUACUUUUGUAUUGACCCACUUCCCUCCCAGGUUUGGAGGCACAGUUUAGGGGUUCAGAUAACCAGUAGAUCUCUUCCGACAGAUUUGCAGAAUCAAGUGGUGAGCCUUCUAUAUUUCGAAAGGCCUGAUGUCUAUCAGUUCAUUUAUCAUUUAGUAGUUUUGGGUCUACUGAGGGCCUUGUCCUAGUUUUCAGAUGGUUAGUAGAAUAUGUGAAAUGUAUCUUUAUGAGUGUUUACUUUGAAGUUCAUAUGUGGUUAUAGAGAUAGGCUUGAAUGACAUGUUGAAAUUUUUGUUAAGGAACGCUAUAUGCGCUAGCGACUUCGUAGUAAUAGUUCAGAGUUAGCCAUUGAAGUGGUAAGGCAUGAUAGGCUUAGGGUGUGAUCUUUUAAGAAAUAUAGAAGGUGGAAUCUUAUGGUUUAGACUUGUAUCGUGGAGUGGCAUUUUGCGAGUUGGAAUUAGGCCUGAUCACGGUGAAGAGGAUUUAAGUUACUAUAGACAUUAGUAGAAAGAUUUAUAAAAGCAAAUACGAGAACAAAUAAGUUGGAUCGAAUGAAUGUGGUGUCUAUGGGUAAUAGUACAGUUAAGGGAGUAUUUGAGGAGUGUGCUAAUCUUUGAACCAUGGAGGCCCAAAACACCCCUAUCUAUCUGGUAAUCAUGCACCUAAUUCAUAUGAUCAAAGUAAUGUGGAAGAAACACAAUAUAACGGAAACAUGGUCAAGAAUCAUAUGAAAACAAUAAUGGGGAAUAAUGUCCCACAAUCUCAAUCAGCAUCUCAAAAAUUGUCUGUGAAAUCUCUACUACAUGAAUGAAACAAGUAACUAUCUGAAAAUUGGGACAAGACCCCCAGCAGACCCAAAACUAAUAUAAGAUAAAAGGACUGCAUGACAUAAGACCUUCUGAAACAUAGAAGGCUCACCACUUGUCUUUGCAACUCUAUCUGAAAGAUCUACUGGUUCUCUUGACCCCUAUACUAGGCCUCUGAACCUGAGAGGUUGGAGAGGGGAGGGGGUCAGCACAAAAGUACUGGCACACAAAGAUAUAAAAACAAAACAUAAUAUUUUUACAAAGUAUAGUUGAGAGCCAUUAUAAAGCAAUUUCGUAUCAAAUCAUUUGAAAACACAUGGGUGUAAUGCAAUAGUUUUUCUCAACAGUAGUGAAAUGCAACUGAGCUAGGUGAAAUACCCUACAUAAUUUACACCAACUAUCAAACCCCGGUUACCAUCGAGAUUAGAGUAUAAGUGAGGGAGAGACACUCAAGACCACACAGCAUGGUUUCUCGACCCAAUGGUAGUGCCUAAGAUCACUUGGCUCGGGCUCCUACCUAUAGUCCCAAUUUGGGAAUGACAUGAAGUCAAGUACACAAAUAGCUUAGCCUGGUACCAAUAUUCUGUGUCGGCAAAUACGUUAUUCCAGCGAUGAGCCCUUGUGUCUCAAACGCCUUCUUCGGGUAUCCACCUUUCUCAUAUAAAAUCAAUGCAUUCAAAUUUCUUUUUUUUCAAUCACAUAUAGUAUUUUGAAGGGUAUCGUCAUACCCGACUUGCAAGUCAUCAGUGUCACAUCCACAUAUGCAUAAUCAUGUAAAAACCAAGGUGCUUCAUCAUUUACAAGUGGUGAACAAUAUUUAUUUCAAAUUCAUGCUCUCUUUUGUUGAUCACAAUAUAUAUGGAGUAUCGAAACAUUAUCCUGGGAAUUUGAAAAUAAUUUAUCAUUCAUAUUUAUCAACUUCCAUGGAAAAUCUCAAAUCACAUAUGCAUGGUUUCAACCAUUGAAGUAUAUAGGCAAACAAUUCCCAUGACAUAAAGAAAAUGACUUAGAAAUCAUAUUGAAAGCAAGAUAUUAACAUUUGAUUGAAAACCCCCAUUUAAAAGCAUGCAUGUUCAUAAAAACUACACCCAUGAGAUUUUAGGAUAACCCCACGUACCUCUAUUUCCAAGGAUAAUAGGUGUUUCUUGAAGCUUGCAGAUUGAUGAAUCCAAAUAUGUAAUUAUGUUUGAAAACCUACGGUCAAGUCUUGAACUAUUUAGGUUUUUAUUUUUGAAACCCUAAGGAGAAUCUUGAGCACUUUUNNNNNNNNNNNNNNNNNNNNNNNNNNNNNNNNNNNNNNNNNNNNNNUGGGAAUUUGAAAAUAAUUUAUCAUUCAUAUUUAUCAACUUCCAUGGAAAAUCUCAAAUCACAUAUGCAUGGUUUCAACCAUUGAAGUAUAUAGGCAAACAAUUCCCAUGACAUAAAGAAAAUGACUUAGAAAUCAUAUUGAAAGCAAGAUAUUAACAUUUGAUUGAAAACCCCCAUUUAAAAGCUUGCAUAUUCAUAAAAAUACACCCAUGAGAUUUUUGGAUAACCCCACGUACCUCAAUUACUACGAAUAUUAGGUGCUUCUUGAAGCCUACGUUGAGAGGAUUCCAAAUAUGCAAUUAGUUUCUAAAACCCAUGGUUGAAUCUUGAGUUGCUUGGAUUUUUAUUUUUGAAACCCUAAGGAGUGUUCUUGAGAUAAUUUGAUGAAUAUGAUAAUAUUUUGGUGUUUGAGGGAUUAAAUCCCGUGUUGGUGGUAUAUAUAUAGGGGUGGAAAAGGACCAUUUUGCCCCAAAAACGGAGUGUUUAAGUCACUUGAAUUCUUUACAUACGCGCCGCCCAUUACAUCGCCUAUGUUUACAUAGGAGCCACCUAGGCUAUCGCCUAUUUUUACAUAGGUGCCGCCUAGGCUAUCGCCUAUGCUUCCCAGUGACCAUGGGAGAUUGGUUAGGUGACACAUAUCACUUCGAAAGGUCAUAACUUUUUGCUCGGGUGUCGGAUUUUAGCAAAGUUGGUAUAGUUGGAAAGCUAACUCGAAGACCUAUCAUUUGACACAUAGUAGGCUCCAUAAUUCGAUAUAUACAGAGAGUUAUGGUUGAUGGAAGCUGACACAAAUUACAACGUCCACUAAAACUUAAUCGAUCGAAAUAGUUUUAAAUCGUCCUUGAGUUGAAGGACCUCUAUGGUCUAAAUUCAAGAUUGAGUGGAUUCAAACGCUAUGCAAUAAUUAACAUGCCAUAUUUGCAUGGGAUUUCAUGGCUUCGAGAUUAUCAACGCAUCAAAAUCAUGGUUUUUAUUCUAGCCCAAAAUACGGGGUGUUACAUCAAUGCCAAACUAUUUUCAUCAAGAUGAAUUGUCUUGAUUGCACAAUCUGAAAGUUAUGCUCUUAACUCAAUUUUAUUGAGCAAGCAACUUUAUGAAUGUCAAACUACAGGUUGACAAUAAAUGUACAUGUGAUUGUCUUAUUGAUGCAUCUUUUCAACAUAUCACAUGAAAGGUGAACGGGCCCUUCUUCACCUUUUAUAUUUUUCAAAUUUUGAGGGAUCCAAUCCAAUAAUUAGUUGGUCCAACCAACUUAUCACGAGAACAAACAACAUGAAUAAUUCUUGACGAAUUUUUUAAUUCUUCAUUACAUGUCCAACACUCAAUAUGCACAUCUUCGGAAUGUCAUAAUCGUUCAUGUCAGCUUAUGAACUUUUAUUCUAGAAACUCCAAGUUUGUCAUGACAUGUACCUUUAUACUUUAGUAAAUUUUAGAUUUACUAUUUGUAAUACCCGUUCCUUUUUCUUAGCUUGAAAUCAUCACCAGGAUGUUUGAAAUAGCUUUGAAAUAUGAAUUUAUUUUAUACACAUGAUAUUUUUAUGAUUUUCACUUUCCAUAACGUGAAAAAUUGUUUAAGAUUUUCAUCGAUACCAAUUUUAUCAAAAUAUGGUGUCAGAUGAGGAAGUUAUGGAUAUUUUAUAGAAACAGUCAAGUACGCCGUUCCGACGGCAGAACCCGACGUGCCGUCGGUAGUCCGACCUGCUGUCGAUAGUCCGACGGGCCGUUAGAGGCCGCCGUCAAACGGAGGCAGUGGACCCAAUUUCUAUUCCUAUUCGAUGGCAUGACCCAACGUACCAUCGCAGGUCCGACGGACCGUCGAAGUCCACCGUCGGAUACGUCCAGUGACAUCAGGUUCUGCCCAGGUCCGAUGGUGUGGCCAGACGGACCAUCAUAGGUCCGAUAGAUAAUCGGAGGCCACCGUCGAAUGCUACAUUCAGCUGUUCCAGGUUAUUUUAAAUAGAGGUAUUUUGGUCAUUUAGCACCCGUCUAUAUAUACCCAUUUAUUCAUGACUUCAGCUACUUUAUUCAUUAUUAUUUCACAAAACAAAAUUAGGGUGUAUCUCUAAAAUCAAUCCCUAAGAACAAUAUGUAAUCCUCUUCAAGAAUUAAGGGAUUUUCACUUCUCCAAGUUCAAGAACAUUAUCUCAGGUAUGCAUAGUGUUCAUUCAUGGACCCCUUUCGUCCAUGAAGUCCAAGAAUCCCUUUUCUAAACUCAAGUUAUGGAUUUUCUUUAUGUUUUCAUGAUUUGGAUGCUCAUGUUCAUGUUGAUAAAUGUGAAAUUGGAUUCUACUCCAUGAUUGUUGAUAAAUUUUAUGUGAGUUUAAUUACUACAGUUAGAGAUUCAUGCAACCCUAAAAAGUUUAAACCCUUAAAUGAUGAAACUAGAAUUGAACAAGGAUGUUUACAUGUAUCAUGCCUACGAUAUGUUUGACUAAAUGCCUAGAGGAAAGAAUAUUUCUUAACUAGCAUGAUAUCAUGAAAUCCCCAUGUAUGUACAUGUUUAUACCUAUUACAUGUUUGAUGAAAUGCUCCUAUGAAUGUAGUAUGAAUUAUGAUGUUAGUCAAGUCCUCAAGUAAAUCAUGCUAUGUCAGUUUCCUUCUAUCGAGUCCUGGGGGUACUUGUACCCAAAACAUUAGCUGUGUGCCUAGAGCCAUAUCAUGUUUUCACGAUACUCUCAGUCAAGCUAUGAUCUCUUAGACUUCAGAUAGUUUUAUGACUCAGGAAAAUAUCUCCAUGAUCUCAUGACUCAGUCAGUUUCAGAUAUCAGUAGUAUUUUCAUCAGUCAACUGAAAUCCAGUAACUUAGAUCAUGAUCAGUUUCAAUACAUCAUGUUUAGUGUCUAUUUAGAUGGGAGUAGGGAUUAGCACCGAGUGAACCCAAGGAUGGGAACUCACCUCGUUAUGUGAGGGUGCGAUUCGUAGAAGCAAUCCUUGCGUUCCAGAACUAUGUAGCCAGCAUAGUUUGAGACAUCGUAGCCCGCUAUAAAAGGGUAGAUGAGGUGACUUAACCUGUUAAAUGAGGGUUCCCACCAUUCUCACUAGAGUUACCUGUUAUAUGUGGGUUACUCACAUGUUGUCCUUACCAGUGGUGCGAUAUUGAUACCCUUCCAAUCAGGGCAUAGAUUGGAUCCCAGCUCAGCUAUUAUAGCACCAUUGGGGAAUGUCGGUUAGAUACUAUAUCCCACAGUUUCAUGUUACAAAAUUAGGAAUGUCAGUCACAGUCAAUCAGUCUCAGUAAUAGAGCUCAGAUAGUUCUUCAAAUUUCAGGACUGUCAGAUACAGUCACCUCAGAUACAGUACAGAGCUUAGAUAGUUCCAUUAGAUUCAGGACUAUCGGCUACAAUCACCCAUGUAAUUAGUUAUAUUCAGAUACAGUCAUUUAUGUUAUCAGUUAUGUCAUGUUAUUAGUAUUCAGAUUCAGUAAAUCACGAUAUCACGUUGUCAGUUAUAGUUACAUAAUUAUGCGUGUAUUCUCACGUUCAUGUUAGACAUUCAGUUAGCAUUAUUCAUGCAUGUGAACCAUUUCAUUUAGCCUACCUCACAUGUAUACUCGGUACAUAUGUACUGACACAUUCGCUCUAUGGUGUUUUCUUUUUAUGUUACCCCAUAGGUUCAGAGACACGAGCCACAGAUCAGCAGUAAUUCCAGUUUUCAGCAGUCAGAUUAGAAGUGAGUCCUCAUCCUUUGAGGACAUAAUAGUUUCCUUACUAUCUCAUUGAUUACUUUAUUAGUUGGAGUUAGUUAGGGACAUGUCCCAUCAAUUCCUUAUUCAGAUUAUUCAGACUAUAGAGGCUUUCAGACUAGAUGCAGACUAUCAUGUUUUUAGUAUUUUCAUGUUAUUUUGGGUAUUCCAUUACCCCAUUCAGAAGUCAUAUAUUUCAGAUUAUGUUCAGUUGUGAACCUUAUGGCCUUUCAGUGCAUGUUUCCGCAUUUUUAUGUUAUAUUAUGCAGUAUACAGGUACAGAUAUCAGUCAUGGGUUGGUUCGUGGUCCUUCGAGUUCAUGAGCACCGUAUGGCAUUACGGUUNNNNNNNNNNNNNNNNACUAUUACAUGAAUAAAUUUCAUAGUUACUACUUUAGAAGUAGAUUUCAAAAUAACUCUUCUCAGUUAUUCUGCCUCUUUUGGAGGUCAGUUGUGAUACCAUCACAAUCAAGUACACGUUUGCAUUAUAAUAAGUUUCUCAUUCCACAUGAAUGAAAUAUAAUUGUGUAUUAUGAUAACUUAUAACUUCUUUUAAAAUAUUGCUACUUCAGGAGCAAAUCGAGACAUACAUAUGAUCUAGAGAAUUUUUCUCUAACAUAUAUCUUAUGAUCAUAAUACGCGUGCGAAAAUAUCAUCACUUUUGAUGAUCAUUAUCAUAUUUUUCCUCCACGCAUAUAUUCGUGCAUUCAAUCACUUGUCUUCUUUCAGACAUAAUAUGCAUUACUACCACAUACACCUCAAAAAUGAAGUAAGUUGUCAUAUUUCAGAAUUAUCAUAUAUUGCUACCACAUUCACUUCAUGGAAUAGAGCAUAUUCAAUGGGUCGAAUUUCAUGAAUUUUCAUUAAACACUCAUUAUUUUGCUUUAGCCAUCACAAUAUCAUCAAUAUGAUGUAUUGAGAUUCAAACUCAAUAUUUUAUCCAUAUAAAGGCAUAUUAACCAUAAAUCGAUGAGACUUAAAUCCAACAUCUUAUCAUCAUAGAGCAUCAAAACUUUAAUCCGGUGUCUUAUUCUUUUGAUGUGAUAGGACUUGAAUCCUCCAUUUUACUCAUACUAAUGACAUAAUAAACCAACGCACAAUAGACUCACCUUUGAAUAUUUAAAAUAUUUUAAACUUUAAUUAGAAGUGAAAAAAAAUAUUAUUUACCAAAGACAUUAUGGAGACAUUACUUGUCAAGAGGAUGAGAAGGUGGCAAACAACUGACAUAUAAAUGUCUUUAAUUUGCAUGAUAACAAAUUGUCCAAUUUCCUCUUUCUUUCUUUUAAAACUCGUGUAGCUAUUUAGGGUACAUUAAAGUUCAAACUACUUAACUCUCCCAAUAAAAUAAAAGAUGCAAAUAUAAUGUUAGAAUUCGAGCAACGAAGAGUUGCCUCUGCAUUGACAUUCAAUACACGACUCUCUCGAAUUUGAAUUUCAAAGCAAUUAUUUUUUUUGUUUGACAGAGUCUCGUGCUGAUAACGUGUUAUAAAACAAUAAAGAACAAGAAGGAGAGUAGAGAGAAUAGAGAGAACAAUUCUUACUUCUCUUGAGGGAUGAAUUACAAUGAAGGAAAACUCAAUAUUUAUAGGGAAAAACUAACCUUGGAUUUGUAACUUUUCCAUAAAUAGACAUACACAAUAGUUGAUAAAGUAAGCAUUCACUAUAUAUAUAUAUAUGGUAAAGUAGACGUUGAUUAUGGUAUAUUUAUAACAGUAAUCAAAAUAAAUUGUUUUCUCAUCUAAUUCCUCAAAAGAGUCCCCCCUCAACCCCACCCCCCGCGCUCCCCACCUAAUUCAUCAGGAAACAACAAUUGCAUUCCUCACCUAACUCCUCAACAAAUGCUGAUAACAACUGAAAUAUAAAGAUUCUCUUACACAUACAAAAGAAAGAAUAUUUACUCUUCAAAACCGCGGUUUCAUGUUUUGAUUUGACACGGAGUUUAUGAACAUAAAAAAAGAUUUUUGAAUAUCGUGAUUCUCAAUUAAAAUUAUUUCACCAUACCAAAAUACCCUAUAAUCUUGGAGUCUUAAACAUGUCAUAUGAGAAAAAUAGAAUUAAAAAGCCACUAAAAAGAAAGGGGUGUUAAGCUAGUUGUCUUCCAUUUAGACAGAAUAUUUGCAACUUUCUUUUACCAAGUGAUUUAACAGUUAAACAUUUGUAUCAUAGAAGAAUUUCAUUGUAUCCAAAUAUAAUUGAACUUGUACCACAAAUUCGGUAUGGUCUUUUGUGGGAAGAUAAAAGGAAGUAGAACAAACUGUUUGGAAACUGGUUAGUCACACUUUAGUGGCUUUCUGUUUAGACUCACUUCAGUGUCCUUACUUUCUGUUUAGUCACACUUUAGUGGCCUUUAUUUUCUUUUAGUUUUCUUCUAUAUAAACAGUUGCUUCAAAUAAGAGAAAUUCAUGAAAUACACUUUCCAAAUACAUCAUUAGUUCUUGUAUUUUGCAGCCAUGGAACUCUUUAAAAUCCUUCUUAUUAUUUUCAUCUUUUGUUCUUUCCCUUGCCCUAGCAUUCAGAGUGAUUCAGAUAUAUAUAUAGUCCAUGUUGGAUCCCCUGAAAACCAAAUUUCUACUGAUCAAUCAUCAAUGACGGAUUUAGAUAACUAUUACCUUUCUUUUUUACCUAAAAGUACUACCGCGAUUAGCUCAAUUGGAAAUGAAAAGCCUGCCAGAAUGAUCUACUCCUAUCACACUGUGAUGAAAGGCUUUGCAGCAAGAUUAACUGCAUCACAACGAAUGGAAAUAGAGGAGAAACCAGUCUUUAUCUCUGCAGAAAAACAGAGUAUUUUGUCCUUGCAAACUACUCAUAGUCCGAGCUUUCUUGGUUUGCAACCAAACAUGGGUUUGUGGAAGAAUUCCCACUAUGGGAAAGGUGUGAUCAUUGGAGUUAUAGACAGUGGAAUUCUUCCGGACCAUCCUUCAUUUAGCGAUGUUGGGAUGCCUCCUCCGCCUACAAAGUGGAAGGGAGUUUGUGAGCCCAAUUUCACCGACAAGUGUAAUAACAAGCUCAUAGGAGCGAGAUCUUUCCCCCAACUUGUCAAUGGUUCCCCGAUAGAUGAUAUCGGACAUGGUACACACACAGCGAGAAAAGCAGCAGGAGCCUUUGUGAAAAGUGCUAAUGUUUAUGGGAAUGCUAGUGGCACUGCAGUUGGUGUUGCUCCUCUUGCCCAUAUUGCCAUAUAUAAGGUGUGUAAUACUGAUGGCGAUUGUCCUGACAGUGAUAUUUUAGCUGUCAUGGAUGAAGCUAUAGAUGAUGGGGUAGAUAUUCUUUCAAUCUCCCUUGGUGGAGAUCUGAGACCUUUCCAUAAUGAUAGUAGGUACCAGCACGAUUCAAAUUUGAGGACAAAUUCCCUUCAAGAUGGAGAGGACGAUAUGGGAAUUCCUAGCUCGAUACUUUUCACACGAAGCCAAGCACGUGAGUUGCAACGACUCCAAGCCUUGUUCACAUCCUUGGCCAUGUGUGAGGCCCUUGUGAGCCCAUCCAAGGGCCUAUAUUUAAUAAAAUGUGAAGAGGCCCACCAAGACAUCCCAAACCCACCUACUUAAAUACCAAGGGUAUUUUGGUCUUUGUCCCUCCUUUUCUAAGUGACUUUAUAAGUCAUGUAAUAGGGCCAGUUUUGCUUUAGUUGAUUCCUAUUAUUCAAGAAACAAAAGACUUUUAAUUUUUUUAACUUCUCUUUCUCAUUUGGAGAGGCCAAAACCAAAUUUUCACUAGUAGAGUGAUACUAGUGUUGUAUGUUUGCUAAAAACUAGGUUCUUGGGGUUAUUUGAGUUCCUCUUGGUCCAAGUAAGAACUUGGUAUUGAUAUUUAUUAGUCUUGGGGUUCUUUCUCUUGUUAGGGUUCUUAGAUUAAUGAAUAUUGUGUGUCAAAUUUCUAUCUCUUUCUUUGUAAAUCUUGUUAACAUUGUGUUGUUGAAUAUGAAAGUCUAGUGAAGCCGUGUGGGCUCUUUCAAUUCUCUAGCAAUAUUGUCUUUGUUGUUCUUGUUGUUAAACUCACUUUUCUAGUUCAAACAAGUGUUGCAAGGCUAGUGAAGUCGUGUGUGGCCAUUUUUGAUUCACUAGCACUUUGUUGUUCAUCUUGUUGUUCUUGUGUUAGUUGGAAUCUCUUGAUACACACUUAGCAUUGUAUCAUUUGGUAAUCAAAGCUCAAGGCUAGGUUUUGUUCUUACCAAAACCAAUCUUGGGAAGCUCUUACCAAAAAAUGUGUUCUUGAACAUUUUGGUCGAAAAAUUGGUUGUAGAUCUACAAAAGAUUUUACCUGUUUAGCUUGUUUCUUGUGUUGAUUUCUUCCCCAUCAAGACAAAAGUGUCUAAAUCUAAAGUUGAGCUUAAUUGGAAGAGAAUUGUAGUUGUGAAAACUUGUAGUGGCCGUGAGUUUUGACUUGUGUUGGGGCGUUGGAAGUGACCAUUGUGGUGUAUUGUUGUUAGGUUCUUGAAGGUGUUGAUGUUGUGUUAUCCUAAACUUCUCCUAAAAGUUGAAAAAGAUUACAAGACCUUAUAUUUUCCCCUCCAAUAACAAGUCACCCAUUACAAAAGAUCUAAGGGGGACUAAGACUUCAAGUUGAUGAACUACUUAUGUGGACCCGCGUCCAAUGACAAGAUGCCACAUCAUCCUAGUUACUAUUCAUGUGAUAAUUAAGCUCAAAUUUGGAUGUUCUAGUUUCUAAUUAUUGAUUCCUAGUUUCCUCUAAUUGACUUGAGAAAUAAUUAACAAACUAGUACAUUCCUACUAGUUUGUCAAUUAGUCCCUUGAAGCCUUGUGUUCGUGUCAACGUUUGUUUGUGUGCUUUUGUCGUUUGAAUACGUUGUAACUCUUGGCUCUAGUAUGAUAAGAAUUCUUUGAGUUUCAAACAAGAAUCCACUCCGGAUAAGAGCAUACUCAUACCUUAAGGAUUCACGGGUUACUAGCCAAUCUAUAACACGUGUGGAGCUCGACAAAAGAGUGUGAGUGAGGAGAGGAAUUUUAACUUACUUAUUUGUUGCUUGUGUAGGUGAUACCUUGACAAUGGAGGGAACCACGUCUCAAACCGUGGAUUUAAUAUGAGGGUUACUCUUGAGGCUAUGAACUGAACUCUUGAAAGGUUGAGUAUGGAGGUGGGAGCCAUAAAGGGGGAAGUGACGACUAUUAGUGGGAGGUUAGAACAAGUGGAGAGUCAAAGGAAAUCUCGCCCUUCUACUCCUUGAUAUGUUUUGUCAAGUGGACAUGAUAGAAAUUCCUUCGCUACCAUUACUCCCAAAACAUGGCCUUAAUUACCAAAUCCUUCCAUAGCUCCACUAAAUGACGCAAGCCAAACCACCCAUAACACCCUAACCCGAGACUCCAAUAGACCAACCCAUUUCCAAAAUCCUCAAGUUCCGCAAGAGGGACUUGGAUGCCCAAUACCUUCACUAAAUCCAAACCCUCCCUUCCAAGCUCCACUAAACUGAAGACCAAAACCUCCACAAAAUCCAAUUCCUCCAAAUCAAGUUCCAAAUGUUCAAAACUGUCCCAUCCACUUUGAGGAAUAUGGUAGAGAAGAUUAUGAAGGGUAUGGAGCCUUUGAUGAUACUUACAUGAGGGGGGAGGAAAUAAGAUGAAGACAUGUGGAUCCAAGGAGAUACCGAGGGUAUGGACAAAGGGGAAACCGACACCAAGAGAGAGACGUAAGAAUCAAUACCAUCAAAUUGAGUCUACCUAUCUUUAAGGGUGAAAGUGACCCCUAGGUGUAUCUUUCUUGGGAUUUGGCGUGCGAUAAAGUGUUCUAAGUGAAUGACAUCUCGGAGGAGAAGAAGAGUUCUUACGCCAUACCUCACUUUGAAGGCUAUGCUAACACAUGGUGGGAAUACGUCAAAAAGUUUGGCAAUGAGUUGAUUGAUGGGCAACCACCACCUUGGUUUCAGUUGAGGUACCUAAUGAGACAAUGAUACCUUCCCAAGAGUUAUCGACAUGAGUUGCUUGCUAGAUUGUACAACUUGCGUCAAGGGAAUUGAAGUGUGAUGGAAUAUUAUGAUGAGUUUCAAUAACUUAUGUUGAAGCUUGAUCAUCGUGGAGAACACAUUAGUCAUGACAUCAUUCGAUUCAAGUGUGGGUUGAACAAGGAUAUCUCCACUCAUUUAACACUUCACAAGUUUGAUACCAUCAAAGGUAUUUUCCAAGCGGCUCUUGAGAUUGAAAGGGAACUUAAAAAGAGGUCGUCAUUCAAAGCAAAGGGACAAUCAACCUCGGGUUGGCCGAGGGGAAAGGAUAUGGUUCAAUCCUCUUUGGGUUGUCCCAAAAACAAGGACCAACCCAUUAUUACUAGGAUGCCCGAGACCAAAACAUCCCACAAAAUCCCUCCGAGUCAAGAAAUUCACAAGUAUCCUAAUCCUAAAGGGUUCCAAUGCUUCAAGUGACAAGGUUGGGGGCAUAAAGCCAAUGAAUGCCCUAACCGACGCAAUGUAAUCCUAAGAGAAGGUAGAUUAUAUUUCCUUAGAGAAGAAGUGGGUAUUGAGGGUGAUGAGAGUGAGGCCGAGCCUCAAGAUAGAGAGAUGACUGAGAGGGAGCCACAUGAUAAUGAUGAUGAUUGUGAGGAUGCUUAUCCGCAAGAAGGGGAGUGCAUGGUUCUAAACUUUGUAGUGAGGGGUGCUAUGAUUAGUAAGGCGAUAGAUGAUCCUAGCCAACGGGAGAAUUUAUUUCAUACUAAAUGUCUUGUGAAGGGAAGUAUGUGCACUAUGGUGAUAGAUAGUGGAAGUUGUGCAAAUGUGCUUAGUGUUGCAAUGGUGAACUUCUUAAAAUUGCCAACUACACCUCACACUAGUCCUUACAAGUUGCAAUGGUUGAAUAAAUACGGCGAGUUAAAGGUCACAAGGCAAUGUGUGAUACGUUUUAUGGUAGCAACUACAAUGACGAGGUGCUUUGUGAUGUGAGACCAAUGCGAGCUUGUCACUUGUUGUUAGGAAGGCCUUGGCAAUAUGAUAGGUCGACCAAACAUAAUGGAAGAUCCAAUCGAUAUACACUUAAGAAGGAUGGCCGCAAGGUCGCUCUUCAUCCAUUAUUACCUUCCCAAGUGAAUAAAUUACACCAAAAGAUGCGAGAAUUGAGGGAAAAGGGAAAGAAGGCUGAAAGUGAGGAGAAAAAAGGGGAACCCGAGAGUGAGGGAGUAGGGGAAACCGGGGGGCUCCUAAUUUCUAAGGGGCAAGGAAGUGUAGUGAUGAUAGCUAGGAGGAAAGAAUUAUUUUUUGAUCAUGACGAGGACACUCCAAUGCUCCUAUUGGCUCAUUUUUUAAUACUAAUGCCACUAACAUUUCUAUUUCUCCUCGUAAUUCUCAUGUUUUGCAGGAUUACAAAGAUGUCUUCCUAAAAUAAUUACCGCAAGGAUUGUCCCCACUUUGGAGAAUUGAGCACCAAAUAGAUUUUGUGACGGGUUCACAAUUGCCCAACAAACCAUCUUAUAGGAGCAACCCAAUGGAUGCCAAGGAAUUGCAAUGUCAAGUUGAGGAACUCCUCAACAAGGGGUAUAUCAAGGAGAGUAUGAGCUCUUGUGUAGUCCCGGUGCUACUAGUUCCCAAGAAAGAUAGGACUUGGUGUAUGUGCUUUGAUUGCCGAACCAUUAACAAGAUAACGGUAAAAUAUCAUCACCCUAUUCCUAGGUUACAUGAUAUGCUUGAUGAAUUAAGUGGUUCGUGUUUUUUUUCUAAAAUUGAUUUGAGGAGUGGCUAUCACCAAAUUCGUAUGCAACUGGGUGAUGAAUGGAAAACUGCCUUCAAGACCAAAUUCGGUCUAUAUGAAUAGAUGGUUAUGCCAUUCAGCCUAGCAAACGCUCCAAGUACUUUCAUGAGGCUAAUGAAUCAUGUGAUGAAGCCAUUUAUCGGAAAGUUUGUUGUUGUUUACUUUGAUGAUGUGUUGGUGUAUAGUAAAUCCUUAGAUGAGCAUAUAAAUAAUUUACAAUGUGUGUUUGAUGUUCUUCGAAAGGAAAAUUUAUAUGCUAAUCUAGAAAAGUGUUCUUUUGGUGUCCAUGAGGUUGUAUUUCUUGGGUUUGUGGUGAUCUCAAGAGGGGUCGAAGUGGAUGAAUCUAAGAUUGACGCCAUUAAUAAUUGGCCAGCUCCUAAAACUAUAGGUGAAGUGAGAAGCUUCUACGGGUUGGCUAGUUUUUAUAGACGUUUUUUCAAAGGAUUUAGCACUAUUGCCACUCUUUUGACCGAAGUGAUUAAAAAGGAUUGGCCUUUCAAGUAGGGAGAUAAACAAGCUAAGGCCUUUGAGGACUUGAAAGCUAUGCUCAUCUCGGCCCCUUUGCUAUAAUUGCCGAAUUUUGACAAGACUUUUGAGGUCGAAUGUGAUGCUAGCAAAGUCGGCAUAGGUGCAGUUUUAAUGAAAGAAUUGAAGCUUAUUGCCUACUUUAGCGAAAAUCUCAAAGGAGCAACUCUAAACAACUCUACGUACGAUUUAGAGUUGUAUGCCUUGAUUAGAGCCUUGGCCACUUGGCAACACUAUUUGUGGCCUAAAGAAUUCAUGAUCCGAACGGAUCAUGAAUCCUUGAAUCAUCUACGGGCAUAAGACUAGCUUAACCGGCGGCAUGCCAAAUGGAUUGAAUUUCUUGAAACUUUCCCUUAUGUUAUUCAAUACAAGAAGGGUAAAGACAAUGUGGUUUUCGAUGCUUUGUCCCGAAAACAUGUGCUUGUGUCUAUUUUGUCGUCUAAGUUGAUGGGGUUUGAAAGCCUCAAGUCUUUAUAUCCUGAGGACCCUCACUUCGCUCCUAUCUAUAGGAAAAGUGAAGAGUUGGAUAGGGAUAGGUGGGUUACGGAUAGGGGUUCCCAUCCCUAUACCAAAUUUGAUGGAUACUUAUUUAAGGGUAGACGAUUGUGUGUUCCCUCAAUUUUGUGGAGAGAAUUAUUUGUGAGGGAAGCACACAAUCGCGGUCUAAUGGGCCAUGUCGAGAAGACCCUCAGAAUUUUGGAAGAACAAUUUUAUUGGCCUAGAAUGCACAAAGAUGUGGCUUUGGAUUUAAUCCCUUUGCCAAGUGAUAUUGAUGGAAUAAAACGGGACGAGGCCAUGAAGAAGCUACAUGAGAAGGUGAGGUUACGGUUGGAGAAGAAAAACCAAGAAGUUGCGAGGCGAGCCAACAAAGGAAGAAGAAAGCUCAUUCUUGAACCGGGAGAUUGGGUGUGGGUGCACCUAAGGAAGGAUAGAUUCCCAUCUCAAAGGAAUGCUAAGUUGAUGCCACGGGGUCAUGGACCAUUCCAAGUAUUAGAAAGGAUCAACGACAAUGCCUACAAGAUUGAUCUACCCCUAGAAUAUCAAUUUCACAAUACUUUCAACGUGUGUGAUCUCUCUUGGGUUGAAACAGUGGAGGAUGACAAUAAUCCAAAUUUGAGGACAAAUUCCCUUCAAGAUGGAGAGGAUGAUAUGGGAAUUCCUAGCUCGAUAUCUUUCAUACGAAGGCAAGCACGUGAGUUGCAACGACUCCAAGCCUUGUUCACAUCCUUGGCCAUGUGUGAGGCCCUUGUGAGCCCAUCUAAGGGACUAUAUUUAAUAAAAUGUGAAGAGGCCCACCAAGACACCCCAAACCCACCCACUUAAAUGCCAAGGGUAUUUUGGUCUUUGUCCCUCCUUUUCUACGUGACUUUAUAAGCCAUGUAAUAGGGCUAGUCUUGCUUUAGUUGAUUCCUAUUAUUCAAGAAACAAAAGACUUGUAAUUUUUUUUGACUUCUCUUUCUCAUUUGGAGAGGCUAAAACUAAAUUCUCACUAGUAGAGUGAUACUAGUGUUGUAUGUUGGCUAGAAACUAGGUUCUUGGGGUACUUUGAGUUCCUCUUGGUCCAAGUAAGAACUUGGUAUUGAUAUUUAUUAGUCUUGGGGUUCUUUCUCUUGUUAGGGUUCUUAGAUUAAUGAAUAUUGUGUGUCAAGUUUCUAUCUCUUUCUUUGUAAAUCUUGUUAAUAUUAUGUUGUUGAAUAUGAAAGUCUAGUGAAGCCGUGUGGGGCUCUUUCGAUUCACUAGCAAUAUUUUCUUUGUUGUUCUUGUUGUUAAACUCACUUUUCUAGUUCAAACAAGUGUUGCAAGCCUAGUGAAGCCGUGUGUGGCCAUUUUUGAUUCACUAGCACUUUGUUGUUCAUCUUGUUGUUCUUGUGUUGGUUAGAAUCUCUUGAUACACACUUAGCAUUGUAUCAUCUGCUCAAGAGUGCACACCCUGAUUGGUCUCCUUCUGGUAUUAAGUCUGCAAUGAUGACCACUGCUGACACAUUAAACCUUGCCAAUAGUCCAAUACUAGACGAAAAGCUACUUCGUGCUGAUGUUAAUGCGACUGGUGCAGGACAUGUUAAUCCAUCGAGAGCAACUGAUCCUGGAUUAAUUUAUGAUACCCCAUUUGAGGACUAUGAACCGUAUUUUUGUGGUUUGAACUACACACCUCAACAGAUACGUAAGUUCUUACAACGCAAGGUGAAUUGCUUGGAGGUUAAAAGUAUCCCUGAAGCACAUUAAACUAUCCUUCAUUUUCCAUCAGACUCGAAUCAACUCCUCAGACAUAUACCAGAACUGUUACCAACGUUGGUGACGCUAUAUCAUCUUACAAGGUGGAGAUAGCUUCACCAAAAGGAGUUGUCAUAAAAGUUGAACCUUCCAAGCUCAAUUUUUCCCAAUUGAACCAGAAACUAACAUUCAAAGUGACAUUUUUUAAGACAACCAACAGCUCAGGUAUUGUUGUUGAGGGAUACUUGAAGUGGAUUUCUUACCGGCACUCUUGUGAGAAGUCCAAUUGCAAUUGAGUUGUAGUGAAACAACAAAGCUGGGUAUUCUAGUAUCAAUGCUUUCAAUAUAGAAUAUAGUAUAAUAAGUGUAGAAAGUACUCAAACAUUUUAGUAUAAUGAAACUGUUGUUUCCUUUUAGUAUAUGGUUUAUGUUCUUUUUUUUUUUAUUAGUUAAUGGUCUUUGAUGUUUUAUGAGUACAAACGAUGCACACUAAUUUUUAUCGGAUUAACUAAUUUAUUCACCAUGCUCUUAUCAUGCACAACACGUAAUCAGUGGCGGAGCCACAUUGAGUUGAGGGGGUUCACCCCCUUUGUCGGAAAAUUAUAUUAUUUUUACAUGUUCAAAAAUAUUUUUAUGUAUAUAUAGUAGAUGUUGAACCCCCUUCUGAACCCCCUUACUUGAAAUUCUGGUAAAUUCUGGCUCCGCCACUACACGUAAUGCCUUCAUAUGCUCAACAACUUGUUUCAUUUCUGGCUGUUUUUUCUAGAUCCUCUAUAGACCGUACUGCAAGUUGUUUAACUAUAGCUCCAUGGCAAGGAUCAAAUUCUGGAUCAUCCUUAAGACUUUGGUGGACAAGUGAACAACGAGGCUUGAGUACUUUAAAGGCCCACAAACAAGUGCACCAGUUUGAGGUCUAAUUACUAAACAUACAUAGCCAUAGUUUGGAUAAUAACCAAACGCACAGAGCAAAUUUCUCAGAAAACUCUCCCUAUGUUUGGUAGUUUUUAAAACUCCUCCGUUCGAUGAAUUUGCUUGAUUAGAGAACUAUUUUACUUAGUACUUUAUGGUCAAUAUUAAGCGAGAUAUAUGGUCAAUAUUAAGCGAGAUAACUCAGCGGCAUUUGCCCUCGAGCCCUUUGUUAAAACUCUUCAAUAUUUGGGAUUCGGUACGAAUGAUAAGAGACGAUAGUCCAAUGUCUACAAACAUUUUCUCAUAAUAAUUUAAAGAGGAAAAUCAAAUAGUUUGCCUGAUUCAAUUUGGUGACAACAGUAAAAUAAACACUUAAACUACUAAAAAUAUUGAAGAAUAUAAUCCAUAAUCACAUUGAACUUUUCAAAGUUUGAUCAAAAGAAUGCUUACAAAUAAUUAUGUGUCUUUUGGUAUAUGAAUAAAAGAGAGUCCAUGAAGUUCAAGUUGAAGUUGUGUUCCUAGUGGUAUUAGGAUACCAUUCCUGAUUAACUAAAUUGAGUUUAGCCAAAUCCAAUUCUAAGUUCUAAUAUACGUUGAUAUUAUGUUCAAUAAAAUAGGAUUAUAGAUUAUUAUUAUUAUUAUUGAGUACUCCUUAGCCCAAUUAUAGUAGGUUAACACUAUUGUGCCAAUUAUAGUAGGUUAACACUAUUGUUCCGUCACAUUGACAAUUUUAUUUUUAGUUUAACAUAAAUAAUGAAGGGGAUAGACAUAGAUAUGAUUACCAUUUUAUUUGUUGGUUCUUAAGGGUUGUGAACGCAGAGUAGUAAGUUAAAGUGUAAAAUAAUUGUAAAAUAGAGAUGAAGAAGAUCCAAUUGAACUAAUUAAAGAUUUAAGGAAAAGUUGACUGAAAGUAGUAUUAAGUACCACUCUAUAAGUAAAGCUACACUCUAUAAGUAAAGCUAAAGUCUAUGCGACCAAAAAAAGAAAGAGGAAAAACCAAAAGACUAAUUAAUGAGUUUGUUGAGAUUUGAUCAUUUUUCAUCCUUGAUGAUGACUACAAUAGUUCUUCACUUCUCUCAUGAAAGGUGGUACCCCUGUGGGAAAGCAACCUUUACAACCAUCUAGAACCAUUGGAAUAAAACAAUGAUCUGGAAUUGUUGAAACGACUUUGCAACAUUGUGUAGAUAGUGAAAUUUUAUCAUAGAUAAUGGAAGUGCGAAAAUCUUUUUCACAAAUAUCAUUCAUCUUGUUGAUCUUUAAGCAAAUCCAUGCAAGCGAUGGAGUAACUGCAUUUUCAACUGGUGAUGGAGACGAGUUCGGUGGUGAAACUGCAUCAUCUACUGGGGAUGGAGCCACGUGAGGUGGGCGGGUUGGGUUUUUUGGAUGGUAUUUGUGACGAAGCCACCACCAUUAUCGAAGUGAAGGUAGAUAGUGUGGGUGAUGAUGAUACCACCACCAACGCCACGAUAGACUUGAAGAAGUAUCAAACACGUCGUUGGUAUUUUUUUUAUUGGGUUUGAUUGCAUUAUUGGGUUCGAUCUCAUUGGGUUCAAUUGCAUUGGUAGUAACAAUGCCAAAGUAAAUAGCCAAAAACACAAAUACACAUAAUAAUCUUGACAUGUUUCAGAGAAAAAAGAAAGAAUAAUUACCUAUGACUGUGAGAACGAAAUGUAACAUUUAUAUUGCAAUUCAAGACAUCUAUAUGACUGUGUUGCAAUCAAACUACAACUCCUAUAUCGGAUGAACAAUAAUUAUUAUACAGUACUUCAACAUAUUUAGGACUUUUAUUGUUUGCACAGUUCUUCUGAAAAAUAGGAAUAACAGGCUAUACGAUAUGUCCUGUUUUCCAACUAACAAAGGGAUAAUUACAAAUUAUAAAAAUAGGAUAAUUACAAAGAAUUAAAAAUGUUUCCAGGAAUAAUAGUCUUCCAGAAGCUUCAACAUGAAAACCCAAAUAUGCUCAUGGUUGGGUCAAUUAAUAACAAGCUCAUACGAGCGAGAUCUUUCCCCGCCAAUGGUUCCCCGAUCAACAAUUAUGGACAUGGUACACACACAGCGAGUACAGCUGCAGGAGCCUUUGUGAAAGGUGUUAAUGUUUAUGGGAAUGCUAAUGACACUACAGUUGGUGUUGCCCCUCUUGCCACAUUUCCAUAUAUAAGGUGUGUAAUGCUAAUGGUGAUUGUUUUGUGUCACGACCCGAACCGAAACCCUGACCGCGACGGGCAUCCCAAACCUUGAAGGCCAUAUAUAAGGUGUGUAAUGAUGGCCGUUGUAAUGAGAGUGAUAUUUUAGCUGCCAUGGAUGCAACUAUGGAUGAUGGGGUAGAUAUUCUUUCAAUCUCCCUUGGUGGAGAGGAUGUGAGACCUUUCCAUGAUGACAUGGUUGAGAGGCAUUCUUGUAAGUUACGCUGCAGGCGAUACUGGUCCUUCAAUGAUUCUCAUGGUGCCAGCACAGUUGAUAGAAAGUUACCGUUAAGCUUGGAAAUGGAGAGGAAUUUGAAGGAGAAUCUAUUUAUAGUCCAAAGAUUUCCAACUUAAGAUUCUUCACUCUAUUUAAUGCUCCCUGCUACAAGAGGAAAGAUAGUCAUAUGAUACAGAACAAACAAGGGAACACGAAAUCACACCCCAAAACAGUCCACAAAUCACAACAAAUCGUGGACCAAAUGGGGACCUCUCUCGAAUUCACUAUCUAGAACAAGAAAGAAGAGGAUACAAGGUGUUAAUAUACCAAAACAGCCAGCCAACAACAAGUUUAGCAACACAAGAUGAAACUCCACAAUAUUACAAUAGCAACAAGAACAAACGGGUCACAUUAACAACACAAGAAGCCAAAAUUAAAACAAGAUACAAGAUAGAUAGUUAGACAAGUGUUGAUGUAGUCUUAACAAUCCAAGAGCAUAUUCUAAUCUUGGAGCUUUAACACUUCACACAACAAACACCUAACUCUUACAAAUGACACAAGAGAGACGUCCACCACCCAAGCACCAACGUAUCAAGCAAAAUGCAACACACAAGAGAAUCCACCCUUAUGUUAUGCCCUAAUUUCGGUUGUGGACUCUCUCUCUCUAAGAGGAGUGUUCGUUCUUCAACAUUCAUAAAAACUACCAACUAAAACCCUACAAUGUUCAAUUUAUAUUGUAAGCAUAUAACGAAUUAUAUAAACUUGAACAUUCUUAUAUAUAUAUAUAUAUAUAGCAGAAUAUUAUUUCUCUCUCUUAACCUUACGUUUCAGAAUAGUGUUUGAUGGAGUCUAUUCUUCUUUUGGCAGAGAGAACCCAUUUUAUAAUAAGAAAUAGUCAGUUAUAUUUUCACAUUCCAUCAACGUGAAUAGUGGAUAUAAUAAUUAUCCACUAAUGGUCAGUAAUUAUCCUACUAACAGUUAGUAAUUAUCCUACUAACAGAUUAGUCAGUAGUUUAAUCCCACAAGGUAACUUCUCCAUACAGAUUUAGGAUUUAACUUAUUCAAUUAUUAUUAAACCAUUAAAUAAAUUAAGUAUAUGGACCAUAGAAAUUUACAUUCUCCCACUUGGCACACACAAUGUUAAUUUAGUGGUUUAAUAUGUAAGUCAAUUGUGUUCACAAUUAACAUCAAAUCCAACAUCAUUUGUCAUGGUUAAAUAAAUCAACUAAAAUGAGUCAUGGCGGUUGUACAUCACUUUAUUGACAUAGUUCCUUCCAUGUACUACAAUAUUAGUCUAUUACCUAACAUAACCUUUCAAAUACAUAAUGAGUCCAAUGAUAAUACUUAGAAUACUUUAUCUAAGUCAGAACCUGUAAUCAUUAUUCACAAUAUUAUGUAUACAAAAGAAAACAGGUAACAACAGAAACAUAUAUAAUUUGAGCUCAAAGUGUCAAUUACAUAAACAUAAUAAAUACUUUACAUAAAAUCAUUCAUUGCUAUCAAUAAGACUCAUUCUUUCAACAUGUUCAACAAAUGUUUUGGGCGGUAACCCUUUCGUCAAAGGAUCAGCAAUCAUAAGGUUGGUGCUAAUAUGUUCAAUUGACACUUUAUAUUUCUGGACUUCUUCUUUAACCAAAAAGUAUUUCAAUUUUCAGCGGCCCGGCCUAGCACCUUUCGAAUACUUAUCGUUCUUAGAGAAGAAAACUACGGCAGUAUUAUCACAAUAAAUUUUUAGCGGCCUGGCUAUAUUGUCGACUAGUCCAAGUCCUGAAAUAAAAUUCCGCAGCCAAUUAUCCUGGACUGUGGCCUCAAAGCAUGCCACAAACUCAGCUUUCAUAGUNNNNNNNNNNNNNNNNNNNNNNNNNNNNNNAACAGAAAUAAAUAUCCAAAUGUGGAUUUUCUUGUAUCCACACAACCAGCAUAAUUUGAAUCUGAAUAUCCAAUCACAUCUAGAUGAUCAGAUCUUCUAUAAGUGAGCAUAUGAUCUUUCUUUCCUUGUAAGUAUCGCAACACUUUCUUUGCAGCCUUCCAGUGAUCCAUUCCGGGAUUACUUUGAUAUUGGCCCAACAUCCCAACAACAAAACUGAUGUUUAGCCUUGUACAUGUUUGGGCAUGCAUAAGACUCUCAACUAUUGAUGCAUAAGGAAUAUCUUUCAUUUGCUUUCGUUCCAAGUCAUUCUUUGGACAUUGAUUGAGACUAAACUUAUCUUCUUUCUGAAUUGGAAUGGGAUUUGAUGAGUAUUUUUCCAUUCUAAAUCUCUCUAAUACUUUAUUAAUAUAGGUUUUUUGAGACAAUCCCAACAAUCCUUGUAAUCUAUCUCGAAAUAUUUCUAUUCCAAUCACAUAGGAUGUUUCACUCAUAUCUUUUAUUUCAAAGUUGUUAGAGAGAUAUUUCUUGGUAUCAUGCAACAAACCAAGAUCAUUAGUAGCAAUCAGGAUGUCAUCAACAUACAAUACUAACAUAAUAAACUUACUCCCACUGACCUUCAGAUAUAUACACCAAUCAACAGUAGUUUCUUUAAAUCCAAAGGUGACAAUCGUUUCAUUAAACUUAAGAUACCAUUGUCGGGAAGAUUGUUUAAGUCCGUAUAUUGACUUCUUAAGUUUACACACCAUGUGUUCCUUUUCUUUAAUAGAAAACCCCUCAGGUUGAUUCAUAUAAACUUCUUCCUCUAAAUUUCCAUUCAGAAAGAUUGUUUUCACAUCUAUUUGAUGUAGCUCUAAUUCAUAAUGAGCUACCAAGGCCAUUAUCAUUCUGAGUGAAUCUUUUCUAGAUACAGGUGAAAACAUCUCUUUAUAAUCAAUGCCAUCCUUUUGAGUAAAACCUUUGGCAACAAGUCUGGCCUUGUGACGUUCGAUGUUGCCAGUUGAGUCGCGUUUGGUCUUGAAGACCCAUUUACACCCAACUCUUUUGCAACCUUCGGGUAAUUCAACAAGGUCCCAAACUUUGUUCUGUUCCAUAGAUUUUAACUCAUCAUUCAUAGCAUUUAUCCAUUUAUCAGAAUUGUUGCUUUCAAUGGCUUGUGAAAAUGAAAUUGGAUCAUCAUCAAUUCCCAAGUCAGUUUCUGACUCAUGUAGAUAUACCAAAAUCAUUAGAAAUAGCAAAUUUUCUUUGUCUUUGAGAUCUUCUUGAUGCUACUUCUUGUGGUUCAUCUACUACAGGUUCAUCAAUUAUGGCUUCAUUAUGAUUAGUAGGAACAUUACUUUGUUGUACAAUAGCUUCAGGAACAACAAAUUUAAAAGAAGCACAGGGUAAAGGAAUUCGUACCCUAACUUCUUUAAUUUCCACAUUACGUGGUUCUUCACUCCCUCUAACUUCGUCAUUCUCAAUGAAUCUAGCAUUUUCAAUUUCAACUAUUCUCGUACUAUGAUUAGGACAGUAAAAUUUAUACCCCUUUUAUUUUUCUGGAUAACUAAUGAAGAAACCACUGAUUGUUCUUGAAUUCAGUUUCUUUUCUUGUGGAUUGUAUACUCUAACUUCUGCCGUGCAACCCUAAACAUGCAGGUGCCUCAAACUAGGUUUCCUACCCGUCCAUAGUUCAAAAGGUGUCUUUGGAACUGCUUUACUAGGAAUCCUAUUUAGCAAGUAAAUGGCAGUCCUUAAAGCAUACAUCCAUAACGAAGGAGGUAAAGAUGAAUUACUUAACAUACUCCUAACCAUAUCCAUUAAUGUAUGAUUAUGCCUUUUGGCCACACCAUUUUGUUGUGGUGUGUCAGGCAUUGUGUAUUGAGCACAUAUGCCAUGCUUUUCGAGGAAUUUAGUAAAUGGACUUGGGUGUUGUCCACUUUAACCAUAUCUUCCAUAAUAUUCACCACCUCUAUCAGACCUGACUAUUUUCACCUUUCUACCUAAUUGUCUUUCAACCCUAGUAAUAAAUACCUCUAAGACAUUAAUCGCUUGAGAUUUUUCAUGCAACAAAUAGAUAUAUCCAUAAUGUGAAAAGUCAUCAAUAAAAGUGAUAAAAUAUUUUUCUUUAUUGAAAGAUGUGAUAUCAAAAGGACCACAUAUAUCAGUGUGUAUAAUUUCAAGAAGCUGUGUCCUUCUUGUGGCUCUUUUCUUUGUGUGUUUUGUUUGUUUUCCUUUAAUACAAUCUACACAAAUAUUAAGGUCAGUAAAAUCUAAAUCUGGAAGAAUUUCAUUCUUAAUUAAUCUUUCUAGCCUUUCUUUAGAUAUGUGACCUAAACGUUUAUGCCACAAGUAAGCGAUUGUUCAUUCACCAAACUUCGUUUGGUUCCAAUAUUAUGAUGCAGAGUAAGAGUAUUUCGGCAAACAGAUUAUCAAGAUUUAGUUUGUAUAAGUUAUCACAAAGAGUACCAGUACCAAUGAGAUAAUUAUGUUUAAGCAAACUAAAACAUCCAUUCUUAUCCAACUUAGACAAUGAAACUAAAUUUCUCAAAAGAUAAGGAACAUAAUAAGUUUCAACUAAAUCUAAGUGACGCCCAGUAUCGAGAAUCAGACGAUAAGUCCAGACAGCUUAAACUGGAGCCUUCACUCUAUUCCCCAUGUAAACAAAUCUUUCAUUCUUGUUUAUGGUUUGGAUUGUAAGGAAUCCCUGCAUAGUAUUAGAAACAUGAACAGUACAACCAGAGUUAAUCCACCAAGUAUUAUAAGGAACUUCAGUUAAAUUUGAUUAGAGACAUGUAAAAGCACAAGGCUUACCUUUCUUCUCAAACCAUGCCUUACGUUUCAGGCAAUCUUUCUGAAAGUGUCCAGAUUUUCCACAAAAAUGAUACUUUCCAUUCUUGUUCCCUUUCUUACGUACUUGAGAUGAGGAUUCAUUGACAUUAAGUUGCUUCUGUUGACCCUUACCGUGCUUUUUUUCUUUCUUUUUAGCUCCUUGAUGAUUUACAUAAUUAAUGGAGUGGGUUUCUUGAUUCUUCAGCAUUGUUUCCUCUUGAACCAACAUACCAUGCAAUUCAUACACAUUUCAUUUGUCUUUCAUGGUGUUGUAUUUUAUUUGGAAAGGACCAUACUCAGACGGUAAUAAGUUGAUGAUGAACUGCACAAGGAAAUAUAGUUCCACUUCCAUUCCCAAUGACUUAAGUCUUGCUGCUAUAUUUGUCAUUUCAAUGACAUGCUCAUGCAUAGUACGUGAACCAUCAAACUUCAUGGUGGUCAAAGUACCCAUUAGUGUCCCAGCAAGAGACUUAUCAGCAGUUUGGGAAGAUUCUUCCACAAGUUUCAGAAGUUCUUUUGCACUUUCAGUUUUGGGAAGAGUAGUCUUAACAUUGCCUGCAAUAUUCAUUCGCAUGAACAUUAAGCCUAAUCUGUUAGACCGAUCCCAAUGCUUAUAAUAGGACUUUUCUUCAUCACUGCUAGCUUCAGUAAUAGCAGUUGGCUUUUCAGAGUAAAGUGCAACAUCAAGAUCUAAAACCCCAAGAUAGAAUUAGAUCUGUUCGCACCAAUCUGAAAAGUUAAGUCCGUUAAAAGUCGUAACAGAGACGGAGUGUGAAUGAAGGGCAAGUGCUGCAAGUAAAACAUGCUCAUUUAUUAAUACUUUGAGUUACGAGUUUAUACACAUUAUCAAAUUCAGAAAUAAUUUACUUAAAUGUUUAUUGAUGUUCUCCUUUGGGAGAAAUAUCAAAAUACAACUUUAAACAUAAUGAUGCUUAAAAAUAUAUUUAACACAAAUUGAUAAUAUUUAAUGCAUCAAUUAAUAAUAUUUAUUAUCUUUGGAUAAAUAAAUAAAACUAACGAUACAUCAAAAUUAUCUCUUUAAUAUUUAUUGGUCAUACGAACAAACAAUCAACCUUUGGGUGAUCCACAAAUGUGUUAUAACCAAAAUUUUAAUUUACCCAUAAUUGAUACAUCAUUUAUAGGCAUCAAAUUAAUGGGUUAAUUUAAACUUAACUUUUAUUUUGAAAUUAUUUUCAUAAAGAUUCAACCACUUUAGUGAUUAACAAAUCUUACAUAUAUAAUUUCAAGUUACAUUAAAAACAAUAAAUUUUAUUAUUGAAUACUACAAUAUUCGAACAACAAAGAGUUGUUUCCGUAAUAUUUAAAAUAAUAAAGACCAAACAUAAUAAAUUAAACGCAUAUUGAACAAAUUAUUCACUAAGUUUUCUGUUUACACUAAACAAUGAGCAGUCCGUAUCAUAAUUACUAUUUUAUUUUCUUUUUAAUUACUUAAUAAUAAUGAUAUGGAAGGACAAUGCUUUGGAUUGGUCAACUAUAAUUUUAAGUCAUUUAGUUAAUACUUAUAUUGACACAUCAUUAUCAACUACGGUUGUAACACAUCAUACUUUCAUCACAUUAUGUACAGUUUAUUUGGCACCAUCAUAAUAAAAUUUCAUAAUUUAUCAACUAAAUGGACAAAAACAAAUUAUGCCAUCACAAUUUAGUCAUCAAAUCACAGAAAUUUACUAAUAAUGGUAAUUGUAAAUCCCUAAUUUAUCACAAAAUUUGGAGAAAACUUUUGCUUUUCUGUAUGAAAAAACAUUAGUUCUUAAACCUUGCUCUGAUACCACAUAUAAGCAUAUAAUGGAUUAUAUAAACUUGGACAUUCUUAUAUAUAUAUAUAUAUAUAUAUAUAUAAUCCUAGCAAAUAUUUAGAAACGUAGAACUUAAUAAUUUUCAUGUACCAUGCUUUAAUAAUUUAAAAGUCAGUCAAGAAACAUACCAGCAUUCUCCAUAGCAUUCUUGACUGCGAUCAGCAGAAGUACAAAAGCAGAAUACUAUUUCUCUCUCUUAACCUUACAUUUUAGAAUAGUGUUUGAUGGAGCCUAUUCUUCUUUUGGCAGACAGAGGACCCCCUUUAUAAUAGGGAAUAGUCAGUAUAUUUUGACGUUCCAUCAACGUGAAUAGUGGAUGUAAUAAUUAUCCACUAAUGGUCAGUAAUUAUCCUACUAGGAGUUAGUAAUUAUCCUACUAACAGUCAGUAAUUAUCCUACUAACAGAUUAGUCAGUAGUUUAAUCAUACUAGGUAACUUCCCCAUAUAGAUUUAGGAUUUAACUUAUUCAAUUAUUAUUAAACCAAUAAAUAAAUUAAUUAUGUGGGCCAUAGAAAUUUACAUAUAUCACAUUACAAAAUAAAAGACCAAAGACUAAAAGACACUUUAAUGAAAAGGUCUCUAAAAACAGCCCAUGGAGUGUGUUGGGAUGGUUUUGGGCCUCCUUCACACUUAGACUUGUGCACUCUUUUUGUGGUAUUCAAAAAUGCUCAAAAAUUGUCCAUGGUUAUGAUCAAACUUGUAUCAUCCUCUCCAUCUUGAGAGGAAUUUGCCCAUAAAUUCAAGACCUCACCUCUUUUAGAAAGGUAUCUCACAUGGCCCCUCACAUGGCCACGCAUCUUCUACUUCCUCCUCAACUUGAAUCCCAACCUCUUUGUGCUCUCCAUCUUGAGGCUUGCCAUAAACCUUAGCUGAUUCAUUCACCACUUCCUCUCCUAGGUAGUAUAACUUCCCCUCCCUUAGGAUCACACUCCUCCGAUUUGGACACUCACUAGACUUGUGCACCCACCCUUGAUACUUGAAGCAUUGAAAUCCCUUGGAAUUGGAAGUAGAAUUCAAUUUUCCUUCAUACCUUGGAGGAUGUUUUUGGACAACCUUGGAGAUCUUGGGUUGGGCAGCCUCGAAAGAGUUCUUUUUGAGCUACCUCUCUACCUCUAAAGCCGCUUGGAAGAUGCCCUCUAUGGUAUCGAAUUUGUGAAGUUUUAUGUAAGUGGAGAUGUCUUUGUUUAACCUUACCCUGAAGCGCACAAUGUCAUGAAUUAAUUGCUCUCCUCGGUGGUCAAGUUUCAACAUCAAUUGUUGAAAUUCAUUGUAGUAAGCCAUGACACUCUUGCUCCCUUGCCUCAAAUUAUACAAUUUGGCAAGGAGCUCAUGCCUAUAAGUCUUGGGCAAAUACCUUUGCCGCAUAAGGUUCUUCAUCUAAAACCAAGGAGGAGGUUGUACCCCGAUCACCUCAUUCCCGAACUGCUUAACAUAUUCCCACCACGUAUUAGCAUACCCCUCAAAAUGAGCGAUCUCAUAGCAACUCUUUUUUCCUUCUGUGAGGUCAUUGAGUUGGAAUAUCUUGUCAUAUGAAGACUCCCAAGCAAGAUAUGCUUCGGGAUCACUCUCACUCUUAAAGAUUGGGAGACUAACUUUGAUGGAGUUUAUGCCCAAGUCUUGAUUUUGGUGGCCUUCCCUCACCUCUCGGCCUAGCUCCCCAUGUCUACCCCUCAUUCUUUCUUUCCUCAAGUAAUCAUUACCAUAGACAACAUAACCUCCAUGUCGUUAUUCCCCACCAUAUCCUUCCAUACGAUUUGGUUGGUUUGGGUUAGGUGGGUUUGGAUUGGGUGGAAAAUAAGUUCUUUGGUAUAAUGGAGCUUGAAUUGGAAUGUGAGGCCUUUGGAUAAGUGGAGGGCUUGGGUUUGGUAUUGGUAUUUGGGUUCCAAAUGCUUCUUGUUGGACUUGGUGAAAUGGAGGGUAAGUUGGUCUAUCAAACUCUCGGCUGUGCGAAGUAUUUGGUGAUUGUCUCGGUGGAUUGAUCAUUUGGUGAAACAUUUCAGGGGAGAUGGUAGGAAAAUUAUUUUGAUCAUGUCCAUUCGAGGACACAUGAUGGUAUUGAGGAGUAGAGGGGUGGCUCCUUUGUCUUUCCAUUCAUUCCAAUCUCCCACUCACAGUAGAUACAUCCUCUUUCAACGAUGUUACAUCCAUUUUUAACUUCCCAAGACUCACUUGCAUUCUUACCAAAGUGCGGUUGAGGCCUUCAAUAGAAGCCACGAGGAUAUUGGUAUCAUUGUUUCCCAUGGUUUGGGAGGCCGUUCCCUCCAUUGCGACGUACCUAAGAAAAACACCUACAAAAUAAUAAAUGAGUUAGUUGUAAAAUAAAGGUCCUCACACUCUCUCAUUAGUUUUUUUUAUCUCUCGGGUUUCUUCACUAAUUCACACAAGUGUGGCAAGAUUGAUUGUAUUCCGUGCUUGAGAGGUGAACCAAACCUCUACAAUGACUCAAGGAAACAAUAAUAAAAGGACACACGAAGGAUCGUAAACACGAAGAACGGCUACAAAACUAACUUACAAUCUCGUACUAGCUUAUAAGUUAGUAAUGUAAUCAACAAAAGAAACAACAAAAAUGAUACUAGAAGAUCAGAUUUUGAGCUUAAAAUGUUCGUGUGAACAGUGAUUUGAUGAUGUGGCAGUCCACUAUUGGCCUCGGGUUUGUCAAAAAUUUACUUGCCAAUUUCAAGUCUUGACCAUUUCACAAUUUGGACUUGGUGGAUUUGGUUAAUAGAGGAAAUUGUAGUCUAGGAGCUUCUUUUUCAAAUUCAAAACAAGACUUGGACUUUCCUAUAUUCCUCCUUAUAACAUGGGUCCUUGAAUCAUGAAAAGUUGUUGGUAAAUGGUUGUUAAAGUUUUUGAAGUGAUGUGAACAAGACUUUCACCAACAAGUACUACAAAUUUGUCUUUCACCUUUUUAGAUCUAUUUAUAAUUUAAAGAUUAACAAGAUGAUGAAUGUGGUGAAGAACUCCAAGAACACAACAACAACAUCAAGAACAUCCAACAAUAAUUCUCCAAGAACUCAACAGGAUACGAGUACGAUCGCGUUGAUGGACUUAUGAGAGCGUAUGUUAGACCCGAGACUUGGUGUGUGCAAAUGAAGUGCAAAGGAUCAUCUAAAUGGACACCAAAAUCAUCCAUACAUAGCACUUCAAGGGCACCUAUUGAAGCAUUUGACUAAGGGGUCAUUUUGGACAUUUCACACUUUAUUUUGUAACCUACUAUAAAUAGAAUAAUGUAGGAUUUUAGUCAUUAGUUUUGAUGAAUAUUAAAAGUUGUGGACACAUAGAUAUUUCUCUCCUGUGAGAAAGACCCCUAUGGCCAAACAUUGUAACUAGGAAUUUCAACUUGAGUGUGAAAUCAAUCGUGUUGGAUUCAAGCUUGGAAAUAUUGGAUGCUUGGGAGAUCGAGGUCCCUCUUAUGCCACGUAAGAGAUAGGUGAAUUGUAGUGUGUAGUGUUAAGGGUCCAAGAGUGGAAUAUGCUCUUGGGUUCUUAAGAUUAUGCCUUCAUGUAAUCUAUCUUUCUAUCCCUUUGUUUAGUGUAAUUUUUUGUUAUUGUUUCUUUUGUUGUUGAAACCGUUGGUUAUUAUUAUUUUAAUCCUCUUGUUAUUCACAUGUUGAUGUUAUUUUGGGUGUGAUAUACAUCAUUGAAUCUUGUAUUCUUCUUGUUGGUAGCGAAUGUGAGAGUUGUCUCCAAAAAGGUCCUCGGAUCCUUAAGAUUAGUGGAUUGAUAUGGAGUGUGUUUUGUAUUCUCCUUGUUUGUCUUGUAUCAUUUGGUAUCAAAGAAUGACUUUAUCUUGUUCCCAGAAGAUCAAUAUUGGGCUUGUUAGUUGAAAAAUAAAAAAAAAAUUGUUAAAAAAAAAGUUAAAAUCUGAAAAUUCUAGAAAAAUAGUAAUCUGUCUAUUUUGUGUUCUUGGCUGAAAAUUGUGUUCUUGUUGUGUAUUGGCCAAUAUUUUUACUUGUAUUUGUUGUCUCUAAGUGUAAGUUUUGUUCCUCACUAAUACGUUGAGUCUAUAUCUUAGAUUUGAGCUUGAAAUGUUAAUGUUGUUAAUGUGAAUAAAGUGUGGCUGAUUGUUGUUGGUAUUGUUGUUGCGGGUUCGAGACUUGAACAUGUGAUGUGUUAUUGGUUGAAGUUUUGAACGUGUAUUGUGGAGAUUUUGUUGUGGAAUUUAAGCUUUGAAAGUUGUUGUUGUUGUUUGGGAGGUCCAACUUGAACCUUAAAACGUCAAGACUCAAAGUUUGUGUUCUUGGUGUUCUUCACCAUCUCCAUAUAUUGUUGAAAAAAAAUUGGUUGUUGAUUUUAGAAGUUGAAGAAAAAGAGUGUGUAUUGUGUUAGUCUUGCAAGACAUAGAUCCAAGUUUCAAGGUAUAGUACUUGUGACUCAAAGACUUUUCCUACACACUAAAAAUUUUACAUCACUUCUCAACCAAUUUCCCAUGAAACAAGGGUCCAUGUUUUAAGAAAAGGUACUACAAAAGUCAACUCUUGAAAUUUGAAACUUGAAAAAAGGCUCCAACUUAUUCUUCCCUCCUUAAAACAAAUUUCACCAAUCUAAAUUAAAAUUGGUUAAGACUUGGACUUUGGAAAAUAAAAAUUGUAGAAACCGCAAUCAAUAUGUGGCUGCGACAUCAUCAAGUUACUGUUCACGCAUCAAAUUUUGACUCAAAUUUCAGAUUUUCUUAGUUUCUUUUAUUGUUCUAUAGUUUCAAUUGUUGAUUUCAAUACUAAUUGGCAAACUAGUACUCAUCUACUAGAUUGUUAGUUAGUCUUUGUGUUCGUUCAUUCAUGUUUAGCGUUUCUUGUGUGCUUUUUUUUUCUCUUUUGUGAAUUUGUUAUGUCUUGUUGGUUCAAGUUCGUAAACAAUAUUUCUUUUGAGUCAACUCAAAUUAAAAUCUAUUCCGAGCAAGAGUAGACUAGACCCUCAAUCACUCACGAAGUACAAGCCGACUUUCAACACUUGUGAAACUAAGUGUGAGGUAAAAAUCGAGAGUGAGAGUAUGGUGAGGCAUUUUUCAGCUAACAAGUUUGUUUGUUGUUCAUUUUUGUCCUUUUCUUUAGGUACCAUGGCUGCCACUAAUCUUGAUGCCACAUUUGAUCACAUCAAUGAUGAUAUUGAAGAAAUGAAAUGACACGUGGAAAGGCUACGUCAAUUGUUACCUAAACUUAUCCCACAAAAUCCAAUUUCCCUUGUCCAAACACCCUGUACCGAGAGCUUUCCGAAGGAAGAGGUGGGCUACCCCAACCCACACUAAGGUAAAGAGGAGAUUGAAACAUCUUUGGUACUUCAUAGUGAACUUAUAGAGAGUGAAGCACUUGCUAGUUCCAAAUCUAUUUGUGAGAUAGAUCAUGCUCUUUUUAGGUUUAAUGUUUUGUUUUAAGAUGAUAUAAACACUCCUAAUGAACCUAGUGGUGAAAAUGAUGGUAUAGCUUGCCUUGAAGGCUAUAGCCAAUAUGCUAACCCACUAUGGUGUGACAACAUUCCUCCUAAAGAUGGAAAUCUCUUCUUGGAAGAUGAUAAUACUCUUAUGGGUAAGGAAUGUGUAGUCUCGGAAAUGAGUACUCUUAGUAGUACUCUUGGUGUUCAUGAUGAUCAAUUUACUCUUAAAUGUAGUUCACUACUUGGGCAUGUGAAUGAAGUGCUUAAAAAUUCGCAAGCUAGUGAUGGUGUCUAUAGAAUUGAUCUUGAUAAUGGGCAUGACUCUUUGAACAUCUUGUGUGGUAAAAGCAUUGCGAUUAGUUUUGUUCAUAGAGAUCAUGUGUAUGAAAAUGUUUUUGUGUGUGAAUGUGGGAGUGACAUUCUAGGGAAAGGAAAGGCUAGCCUCAGCUUAGGCCCUUGGCUAAUUCUUCCAUUUGAUCCCGGUACCAUCUUACGGUGGGAAAGGAUAACUCUCGGCCUAUUUUCAUUUUGUUUUGGUAUUUAUCUGAGCCACAUCCUUUGUCACAUUUUUACUAAUAUUUUCAUGUUUAAUACAAAGGACCCGUGGAUAUACUUCAAAUUUGUUCCCCCUCGGCAUAGCAUAUUAGUGUGUUUAUUUUUGCUAACCCUAACCCUUGUGUCAUGAGGAUGUGUGCUUGUUUGUCUUCUCUUGAUUUUGCAAGGUACGGAUUCAAGGUCGAAUCCUUUUCAAGAAGGGGAGGAUGAUAUGAGUACGAUCGCGUAGAUGGACUUGUGAGGGCACAUGUUAGACCCGAGACUUGGUGUGUGCAAAUAAAGUGCAAAAGAGCACCUAACUGAACACCAAAACCUUCCAUACAAAGCACUCCAAGGGCGCCUAUUGAAGCAUUUGACUAAGGGGUCAUUUUGGACAUUUCACACUUUAUUUUGUAACCUACUAUAAAUAGAAUAAUGUAGGGUUUUAGUCAUUAGUUUUGAUGAAUAUUGAAAGUUGUAGACACUUAGACAUUUCUCUCUUGUGAGAAAGGCCCCUAUGGCCAAACAUUGUAAUUAGGGAUUUCAACUUGAGUGUGAAAUCACUCGUGUUGGAUUCAAUCUUGGAAACAUUGGAUGCUUGGGAGAUCGAGGUCCCUCUUAUGCCACGUAAGAGAUAGGUGAAUUGUAGUGUGUAGUGUUAAGGGUCCAAGAGUGGAAUAUGCUCUUGGGUUCUUAAGAUUAUGCCUUCAUGUAGUCUAUCUUUCUAUCUCUUUGUUUAGUGUAAUCUUUUGUUGUUGUUUCUUGUGUUGUUGAAACCGUUGGUUAUUAUUAUUGUAAUCCUCUUGUUCUUCACGUGUUGAUGUUGUUUUGGGUGUUAUAUACAUCAUUGAAUCUUGUAUUCUUCUUGUUGGUAGCAAAUCCGAGAGUGGUCUCCAAAAAGGUCUUCAGGUCCUUAAGAUUAGUGGAAUGAUUUAGAGCGUGUUUCGUGUUCUCCUUGUUUGUCUCAUAUCACAACAAGUCCACAUCAUCAAGACCAAGGCUAGAACAACAACAACAACCACGGCCACCCUUGUUCACAUCAACAACUUCAACAAAUUCAAGUUCAAGCUUAGAUUUGGACACUUUUAGUGUUGGUGAGAAAGAAACCAACACUUGAAACACUCUAAACAAACAAAUUACAACCAAUAUCUAGACACACAAAGACAAAUCUCCGCCACGAACAAGAUAGACAGAUUUCAACUUUUCUGAAUUUUUUUUUUUAGUUUUCACCCCUUUUUUUAUUUUCUAAGUAACAAACCUAAGAUUGACUUUGUAGGAACGAAAUCAAACUCGGAUCUGAUACCAAAUGAUACGGAACAAACAAGGGAACACAAAAUCACACCCCAAAACAGUCCACAAAUAACAACAAAUCGUGGACCAAAUGGGGACCUCUCUCGGAUUCACUAUGUAGAAGAGGAAAGAAGAGGAUACAAGGUGUUAACACACCAAAACAUCCAGCCAACAACAAGUUUAGAAACAAAAGAUGAAGCUCCACAAUAUUACAAUAGCAACAAGAACAAACGGGUUACAUUAACAACACAAGAAACCAAAACUAAAACAAGAUACAAGAUAGAUAGUUAGACAAGUGUUGAUGUAGUUUUAACAACCCAAGAGCAUAUUCUACUCUUGGAUCUUUAAAACUUCACACAACAAACACCUAACUCUUACAAUUGACACAAGAGAGGCGUUCACCACCCAAGCACCAACGUAUCAAGCAAAAUGCAACACACAAGAGAAUCCACCCUUAUGCUAAGCCCUAGUUUUGGUUGUGGACUCUCUCUCUAAGAGGAGUGUCCUUUCUUAAACAUUCAUAAAAACUACCAACUAAAACCCUUCAAUGUUUAAUUUAUAUUACAUUACAAAAUAAAAGACCAAAAACUAAAAGACCUUUUAAUGAAAAGGGCUCCAAAAACAACCUAUGGAGUGUGCUUGGGAUGGUUUUGGGCCUCCUUCACACUUAGACUUGUGCACUCUUUUGGUGUUCUUCAAAAAUACUCAAAAAUUAUCCAUGGUCAUGAUCAUACUUGUAUCAUCCUCUCCAUCUUGAGAGGAAUUUGCCCACAAAUUCAUGACCUCACCUCUUUUAGAGAGGUAUCUCACACGGCCACGUAUCUUCUACUUCCUCCUCAACUUGAAUCCCAACCUCUUUGUGCUCUCCAUCUUGAGGCUUGCCAUAAACCUUAGCUGAUUCAUUCACCACUUCCUCUCCUAGGUAGUAUAACUUCCCCUCCCUUAGGAUCAUAUUCCUUCUAUUUGGACACUCACUAGCCUUGUGCCCCCACCCUUGACACUUGAAGCAUUGAAACCCCUUGGGAUUGGAAGUAGAAUUCAAUUUUCCUUCAUACCUUGGAGGAUGUUUUUGGACAACCUUGGGGAUCUCGGGUUGGGCAGCCUCGAAGGAGUUCUCUUUGAGCUCCCUCUCCACCUCUAAAGUCGCUUGGAAGAUGCCCUCCAUGGUGUCAAAUUUGUGAAGCACCAUGCGAGUGGAGAUGUCCUUGUUUAACCCAACCUUGAAGCACACAAUGUCAUGAAUUACUUGCUCUCCCUGGUGGUCACGUUUCAACAUCAAUUGUUGAAAUUCAUCAUAGUAAGCCAUGACACUCUUGCUCCCUUGCCUCAAAUUGUACAAUUUGUCAAGGAUCUCAUGCCUAUAAGUCUCAGUCAAGUACUUUUGCCGCAUAAGGUUCUUCAACCGAACCAAGGAAGAGGUUGUACCCCGAUCACCUCAUUCCCGAACCGCUUAACAUAGUCCCACCGCGUAUUAGCAUACCCCUCAAAAUGAGCUAUCACAUAGCAACUCUUCUUUUCCUCGGUGAGGUCAUUGAGUUGUAAUAUUUUGUCACAUGAAGACUUCCAAGCAAGAUACACUUCGGGAUCACUCUCACCCUUGAAUAUUGGGAGACUAACUUUGAUGUAGUUUAUGCCCAAGUCUCGAUUUUGGUGGCCUUCCCUCACCUCUCGGCCUAGCUCCCCAUGUCUACCCCUUAUUAUUUCUUCCCUCAAGUAAGCAUUACCAUAGACUCCAUAACCUCUAUGUCAUUCUUCCCCACCAUAUCCUUCCACACGGUUUGGUUAGUUAAAGUUAGGUGGGUUUGGAUUGGGUAGAAAAUAAGUUCUUUGGUCUAAUGGAGCUUGAAUUGGAAUGUGAGGCCUUUGGUUAAGUGGAGGGCUAACGUUUGGUGUUGGUAUUUGGGUUCCAAAUGCUUCUUGUUGGACUUGGUAAAGUGGAAGGUAGGUUGGUCUAUCAAACGCUCGGCUUUGGGAAGUAUUUGGUGAUUGUCUCGGUGGAUUGAUCAUUUGGUGUAACAUUUUGGGGGAGAUGGUAGGAAAAUUAUUUUGAUCAUGUCCACUCGAGGACACAUGAUGGUAUUGAGGAGUAGAGGGGUGGCUCCUUUGGCUUUUCACUCAUUCCAAUCUCCCACUCAUAUUAGAUACAUCCUCUUUCAACGAUGUUACAUCCGUUUCUAACUUCGCAAGACUUACUUGCAUUCUUUCCAAAGUGCGGUUGAGGCCUUCAAUAGAAUCCAUGAGGAUAUUGGUAUCAUUGUUUCCUAUGGUUUGGGAGGCCAUUCCCUCCAUUGCGAUGUACCUAAGAAAAACACCUACAAAACAAUAAAUGAGUUAGUUGUAAAAUAAAGGUCCUCAUACUCUCUCGUUAGUUUUUUUUUAUCUCUCGGGUUUCUUCACUCAAUCACACAAGUGUGGCAAGAUUGAUUGUAUUCCGUGCUUGAGAGGUGAACCAAACCUCUACAAUGACUCAAGGAAACAAUAAUAAAAGGACACACGAAGGAUCGUAAACACGAAGAACGGCUACAAAACUAACUUACAAUCUCGUACUAGCUUAUAAGUUAGUAAUGUAAUCAACAAAAGAAACAACAAAAACGAUACUAGAAGAUCAGAUUUUGAGCUUAAAAUGUUCGUGUGAACAGUGAUUUGAUGAUGUGGCAGUCCACUAUUGGCCUCGGGUUUGUCAAAAAUUUACUUGCCAAUUUCAAGUCUUGACCAUUUCACAAUUUGGACUUGGUGGAUUUGGUUAAUGGAGGAAAUUGUAGUCUUGGAGCUUCUUUUACAAAAUCAAAACAAGACUUAGGCUUUCUUGUAUUCCUCCUUAUAACAUAGGUCCUUGAAUCAUGGAAAGUUGUUGGUAAAUGGUUGUUAAAGUCUUUGAAGUGAUGUGAACAAGACUUUCACCAACAAGUACUACAAAUUUGUCUUUCACCUUUUUAGAUCUAUUUGCAAUUUAAAGAUUAACAAGAUGAUGAAUGUGGUGAAGAACUCCAAGAACACAACAACAACAUCAAGAACAUCCAACAACAAUUCUCCAAGAACUCAACAAGGCCAAGGCUAGAACAACAACAACAACCACGGCCACCCUUGUUCACAUCAAUAACUUCAACAAAUUCAAGUUCAAGCUUAGAUUUGGACACUUUUAGUGUUGGUGAGAAAGAAACCAACACUCGAAACACUCUAAACAAACAAAUUACAACCAAGAUCUAGACACACAAACACAAAUCUUGGCCAAGAACAGGAUGGACAAAUUUCAACUUUUCUGGAAAUUUUUUUUUCAGUUUUCACCCCCCUUUUUUUUUAUUUUCUAUGUAACAAACCCAAGAUUGACUUCGUAGGAACAAAAUCAAACUUGGAUCUGAUACCAAAUGAUAUGAAAAAAACAAGGAAACACGAAAUCACACCCCAAAACAGUCCACAAAUCACAACAAAUUGUGAACUAAAUGGGGACCUCUCUCGGAUUCACUAUCUAGAACAAGAAAGAAGAGAAUACAAGGUGUUAAUACACCGAAACAGCCAGCCAACAACAAGUUUAUCAACACAAGACGAAGCUCCACAAUAUUACAAUAGCAACAAGAACAAAUGGGUUACAUUAACAACACAAGAAGCCAAAACUAAAACAAGAUACAAGAUAGAUAGUUAGACAAGUGUUGAUGUAGUCUUAACAACCCAAGAGUACAUUCUACUCUUGGAGCUUUAAAACUUCACACAACAAACACCUAACUCUUACAAUUGACAUAAGAGAGGCGUCCACCCUUAUGCUAUGCCCUAGUUUCGGUUGUGGACUCUCUCUCUCUAAGAGGAGUGUUCUUUCUUCAACAUUCAUAAAAACUACCAACUAAAACCCUACAAUGUUCAAUUUAUAUUACAUUACAAAAUAAAAGACCAAAGACUAAAAGACCCUUUAAUGAAAAGGGCUCCAAAAACAGCCCAUGGAGUAUGCUUGGGACGGUUUAGGGCCUCCUUCACACUUAGACUUGUGCACUCUUUUGGUGGUCUUCAAAAAUGCUCAAAAAUUGUCCAUGGUCAUGAUCAUACUUGUAUCAUCAUAUGUCUAGCAGGCGAUGGCGCUCCCAAUGUUGAAAAAGGCCAAGAGGUAAAGGAGGAUGUUGGAGGUGUUGGCAUGAUUGUCAUCAAUAAAAAAGAAGAUGGCGUGACUAAAACAGAUGAUGUUCAUGUUCUUCCAGCGCGUUAUGUUUCAGCUACAGAUGGAUCAAAAAUCUUGCUUAAACAAACUCAACAUCAAACCAUGUUUCUAUAAUCAUAUUCAACAUCAAACCCUGUUUCUAUAAUCACAUUUCAAGAAGCUAUAAUCACAUUUCAAGGAACAAUAAUUGGAGAUAAAACUGAUCCUGGACUACUUUAUGAGUGAAUUGCUUGGGGGUUAAAAUAAUUUAUGAGUGAAUUGCUUGGAGGUUAAAAGUAUCCCUGAAGCACAAUUAAACAAAGCACAAUUAAACAAUUAAACUUCAGGGAUACUUUUUUCUAGUUGAACCAGAAAUUAACAUUCAAAGUGACAUUUUUUAAGACAACCAACAGCUCAGGUGUUGUUCUAGUUGAACCAGAAAUUAACAUUCAAAGUGACAUUUUUUAAUACAACCAACAGCUGAGGUGUUGUUGAGGGAUACUUGAAGUAGAUUUUUUACCGGCACUCUGUGAGAAAUCCAAUUGCAAUUGAGUUAUAGAGAAACUACAACGCUGGAUAGAAUGUAUAUGGAAUGUAAUAUAAUAAGUGUAGAAAGUACUCAAACAUUUUACUAGUGAAAAUGUUGUUUCCUUUUAGUAUAUAGUGUAGGUUCUUUUUUUUUUCUUUUUUCUUUUUUUUUUUUUUUACUUUUUUGAUUAGUUAAGUAUAUAGUAUAUGUUCUUUUUUUUUUUUUUUUUUUUUUUUUUUUUUUUUUUUUUCUUUUUUGAUUAGUUAAUGGUCUUUGAUGUUUUAUGCGUACAAAAGAGAUGUUUUAUGCGCACAAAAGAUGCAGACUAAUUUUUAUAGGAGUAACUAAUUUGUUCACCAUGCUCUUAUCAUGCACAACACGUAGCCUUCAUACAACAAGUUUCAUUUCUGGCUGGUUUUUUAGAUCCACUAUAGACUGUACUGCAAGUUGUGCAACUCUAGCUCCAUAACAAGGAUCAAAUUCUGGAUCAUCCUUAAGACACUGGUGAACAAGUGAAUCAACCAGGCUUUAGUACUUUAAAGGCCCACAAAACAAGUGCAACAGUUUGAGGUCUAAUUACUAAACAUACAUAGCCAUAGUUAGGAUAGUGUAAAAUAGAGAUGAAGAUCCAAAUGAAAUAAUUAAAGAUUUAUGGAAAAGUUAACAGAAAGUAUUAUUAACUGCCACCCUUUAAAUAAAGCUAAAACCUAAACGACCAAAAAACAAGGAAAGAGGAAAACCCAAAAGACUAAUUAAGGAUGAUGACUGCAAUAGUUCCUCACUUCUCUCAUGAAAGGUGGUACCCCUGUACCAAAGCAAGGUUUACAACCAUCCCAAACUCUUGGAAUAAAGCAAUGCUCUGGAACUUUUGAAACUGCUUUGCAACAGUGUUUGGAUAAUGACAUUUUAUUAUUAUAGACGGAGGUGACAAAAUCUUUGUCACAAAUAUCAUUCAUCUCGCUUUUACUGAAGCAUAACAAGUCAUCGUCAUCAACUGGGGAUGGAGACGUGCGCGGUGGCGAAACCGCAUCAUCAACUGGGGAUGGAGCCAUGUGUGGUGGACGGGUUGGGUUUUUUGGGUGUUAUUUGUGACGAAACCACCACCAAUAUCGAAGUGAAGGUGGAUGGUGUGGGUGAUGAUGAUACCACCACCAUAGCCACGACUGAAUUGAAGAAGCAGAAAACACGUCGUUGGUAUUUUCUUUAUUGGGUUCGAUUGCAUUGGUGGUAGUACUCAUGCCCAAGUAAACAUGUCUGGUAAUCAUGCACCUAAUUCAUAUGAUCAAAGUAAUGCGGAAGAAACACAAUAUAACAGAAACAUGGUCAAGAAUCAUAUGAAAACAAUAAUGGGGAAUAACGUCCCACAAUCUCAAUCAACAUCUCGAAAAUCGUCUGCGAAAUCUCUACUAUAUGACUGAAACAAGUAUCUAUCUGAAAAAUGGGACAAGGCCCCCAGCAGACCCAAAACUAAUAUAAGAUAAAAGGACUGCAGGACAUAAGACCUUCCGAAACAUAGAAGGCUCACCACUUGUCUCUGCAACUCUGUCUGAAAGAUCUACUGGUUCUCUUGACCCCUAGACUGGGCCUCUGAACCUGAGAGGUUGGAGAGGGGAGGGGGUCAGCACAAAAGUAUUGGCACGCAGAGAUAUCAAAAUAAAACAUAAUAUUUUUACAAAGUAUAGUUGAGAGCCAUUAUAAAGCAAUUUCGUAUCAAAUCAUUUGAAAGCACAUGGAUGUAAUGCAAUAGUUUUUCUCAACAGUAAUGAAAUGCAACUGAGCUAGGUGGAAUACCUUACAUAAUUUACACCAACUAUCAAACCUCGGUUGCUGCCGAGAUUAGAGUAUAAGUGAGGGAGAGACACNNNNNNNNNNNNNNNNNNNNNNNNNNNNNNNNNNNNNNNNNNNNNNNNNNNNNNNNNNNNNNNNNNNNNNNNNNNNNNNNNNNNNNNNNNNNNNNNNNNNNNNNNNNNNNNNNNNNNNNNNNNNNNNNNNNNNNNNNNNNNNNNNNNNNNNNNNNNNNNNNNNNNNNNNNNNNNNNNNNNNNNNNNNNNNNNNNNNNNNNNNNNNNNNNNNNNNNNNNNNNNNNNNNNNNNNNNNNNNNNNNNNNNNNNNNNNNNNNNNNNNNNNNNNNNNNNNNNNNNNNNNNNNNNNNNNNNNNNNNNNNNNNNNNNNNNNNNNNNNNNNNNNNNNNNNNNNNNNNNNNNNNNNNNNNNNNNNNNNNNNNNNNNNNNNNNNNNNNNNNNNNNNNNNNNNNNNNNNNNNNNNNNNNNNNNNNNNNNNNNNNNNNNNNNNNNNNNNNNNNNNNNNNNNNNNNNNNNNNNNNNNNNNNNNNNNNNNNNNNNNNNNNNNNNNNNNNNNNNNNNNNNNNNNNNNNNNNNNNNNNNNNNNNNNNNNNNNNNNNNNNNNNNNNNNNNNNNNNNNNNNNNNNNNNNNNNNNNNNGAAGAUACUAGAUGUUUCUUGAAGCUUGCGGAUUGGUGAUUCCAAAUAUGUAAUUAUCUUUGAAAACCUACGAUCAAAUCUUGAACUAUUUGGAUUUUUAUUUUGAAACCCUAAGGAGAGUUCUUGAGCAAUUUUGGGGAAAGUAUGUGUAUUAUGGUGUUUGAGGGAUUAAAUCCCCUGUUGGUGGUAUAUAGGGUUGGAGGAUGACCAAAAUACCCCUAAGGAACAAUUAAGGUCAAAUCUGUCCCUCAGUUGACAGUUUUAUAGGUUGGAAUAAAUCGAUUAUAACUUUUUAUUUAUAUACUCAAAUUGGAUGAAACCAACUGCAUUUGAAAUAGGACUCAAAGAGAUUUUGUUUGAUAUAUUAUAGCUGACACAGUUCAUUAUAUACAGUGAGUUAUGAUCGUUUGAAGUUGACCUUGAAAUGCUGAAAACUUGGCAAUAGGCUAUGCGUUUUGCUACUGUUUUGAAAUCCAAAUGCAGCCUUAUGCGUUCCGAAAAAUUUCGAAACUUAUCCGAGAUGUACUAUGAGCUUUCCCGAUCAUAACGUAACUUGAGAAUCUAAAAACGGAUGUCGGAAAUGUUGAAAAGUUGUAUCCCGAAGAUUGCCAGCUAAAAUGACUCUAAGUCCUCAUUACACUUAGAAAAAUUUUCAAGUUUUUAAGUCUAAGGGCACUCUAUUAAAGGCUAAUCCAUGCACAACUUUUACGGGGUGUUACACUUUCACUUGCUAAGAUUUAUCAUGGCUCGAUACAGGCCAAUUCUCACUAUAAUCAGGCUGAUUUGUGUGCUCUUUCCAUUUACCACUAAUGCAAUUGUACAGAACAAUUCACAAAUCUAUAUCAUUCAUUGUGAGUUCCCUGAUGGGGACAGAAAGGGAUAAAACACAUAUGCAUUCACCAAAAUCAGUUAUAAACAAUAUGCACAUCAAAUAUAUAUAUAGAUAAUAGGAUGCUAGGGUAGGGGUUGUUGGAAAUUGCUUAAGUUACUGCACUAGUUUUUAGCAAAAUAAGUUAUUUAGAUUAGGAUAAAUUUGAAUUUUGAAUUUUAACUAGGUUGUUAGUUUGUUUAGUUGAGAUAUUUUAGGUAUUUUGAUUUUAGAAUAUUAUGCUGAUUUUCUUGUAAGUUGGCUAUUUAAAGCCCUCCCAUGCCUAAGAAACACUAUUGGAAAGUCAUUGAAAGCCUAUUGAAAUCUUGAGUGUCAUUUUAAUUCAAAGAGAGUCAUUUUAACCUCUUUUUGUUGCCCCAUCUUUUUUAAAAAAAAAAACAACAGCGGUAUUAAGAGCUUCAUUGAUCUUACGAGAUCUGUCAAUUCUUCCAAAGCGCUACCAUAUCAUUUUUAACCCGCAAGGGCUACCUUUUCAACCCGUAAGGGCUACCUUUUUAACCCAUCAGGGCUAUCAUUUUCAACCCGUACUAUUUUCAAAGCAUAGGGCUAUUUUUCAACCAAAAAGAUGUCAAGCAACAAUCUCUCAUUGAAUGCCCCAAAAAGUUUCACUGACGAAAACUACCAAAUUUGAUCAAUGAAAAUGAAAUAUAUCUUGAAGCCUAUGAUCUAUGAGAAGUUGUAGAGAAAGAUACACCAUUAUAACCACUCCCUGAAAAUCCUACCGUUGCUCAGAUUAAAUCUUAUUCAAAUGAAAAGCUCAAAAAAUUCAAAGCCAAAAUGUAAUUCAAAAUUUAGUUGCGGAUUCGACUUUUUGUAAAAUCAUUGCUUGUGAGACAGCAAAUGAAACUUGGGAAAAACUAAAAAAAGAAUAUCAAGGAAGUGAACGAGUUAGACAAAUACAAAUUUUGAAUUUGAAAAGAAAUUUUGAAUUUCUUAGAAUGCAAGAGGAUGAAACUAUUGUCAAGUAUUCUGACAAGAUCUCUUUGCUUGUCAGUAAAAUCAGGUUGUUUGGUGAGGAUUUCAAAGAUGACAGAAUAGUAGAAAAAAUUCUUAUGACAAUUUUGGAGAGAUUCGAGUCUAAAAUCUGAUCUCUGAAAAAGUCUAAAGAUCUCUCCUAUCUCCGUUAAAGAACUAAUAAGUGCACUUCAAGCACAAGAGAAAAGAAGAGCCUUCACACAAAAUAAUGUUAUUAAGGGUGCUUUUUAUGCACAUAACAAAAAAGGAAAAGGUAAUUAUCCUCUUUGCAAACACUGCAAAAAGAAAACACACUUGGAGAAUUUUUGUUGGUGGAGACCUAAUGCAAUUUGUGAAAAUUGCAAACAAGCAGGUCAUGUUACAAAAGUAUGCAAGCUUAAAAAUAAUUCUCAAGUACAAUUUGUGGAAGCAAAAAUUGAGGGGGACUUUUUUAAAUCGCGGUAACUAAAGCAAGGAGGAGUGUUGGAAAUUGCUUAAGUUACUGCACUAGUUUUUAGCAAAAUAAGUUAUUUAGAUUAGAAUAAACUUGAAUUUUGAAUUUUAACUAGGUUGUUAGUUUGUUUAGUUGAGAUAUUUUAGGUAUUUUGAAUUUUGAAUAUUAUGCUGAUUUUCUUGUAAGUUGGCUAUUUAAAACCCUCCCAUGCUUAAGAAAAACUAUUGGAAAGUCAUUGAAAGCUGAUUGAAAGCUUGAAAGUCAUUUUAAUCCAAAGAGAGUCAUUUUAACCCCUUUUCGCUACCCUAUCUUUUAAAAAAAAAAAUCAACAGAGGUAAGGGACAAGUUAUAUGAGCAUUUAAAACUUAAGUGUGAACUAUAUAGCUUUCACAUUUAUCGAAUAACCCAUAGGUAGUAUGAGUCAUCUAGUCACCCAUGAGCUAUAUGGGUCCAGUACCCCAAGCGUUGGCCGCACGCUUCAAGGUUAGGGUAAAGUCACAAAUAGACUAAAGCCACCUUACGUGUAAUUCUUAUGUUAAGGACAAAAAUCUAGUCAUCCAAUUAAGGUGCGAUAUUUCUAUGCCGGAAAAUAUAGAUUUCGAACACUGAUCACAAAGACUUACGCCUUCACGGUGAGCUAUAUAAUUCCCUUUAGAGAACAAUUAAAAUAGUUGCACAUAAUCAUUAAUCAUGGAGUCGUUCAUGACUAGAUCUAGGAUAAAUUGUUUGGGCGCUUUCGUCAAGCAAAGAUAAGAGGGGAUUGGUGUCGAAUAAAUCACUCUCUCUAAAAGCAUGCAAUCAUGACUUUAGUUUCGGAGAUUCACUUUGUUGCUGGGUAUAAUAUUUAUGAUACUUUCAAUGAAGUGAUUUGGACGUCUCUUUUCCUCAAUAUAAAUCUGAAAAAAAACUGAUUUAGAUACCUCUUAUCGUCAUACCAAAACUUGCAAGCCAUUCAUAUCAUACCAAGAAAAUAUUAUCAUAAAACAUUAACGACUCCUUAACCCCAUCAGUCAAAAUCAUGCUCAUCAUCAUCAUUAGAUUGUAUAUAAUCUCAAAGCAGUUAUAAAGUUCGACACUUUUAAUAUUUCAAAAGAGAUGGGGUAUUAUCUUUGUUCAUCAUCUUCAUGCAAAGCCUUUUUAAAGGACUUGAAAGCCAUAAUUUAAUCAUUUAUAAUAUUCCAUGUUCCAAAAGACAAGUAAAGUUAUGGAGAGUCCUUGUUUAAAACCAAAUUAACAAUAUAGUUUGAGGUUUAUGUCAUUAACAUCAUACAAGUUUCAUAAUCAUUGUGAAAACUAAUUUGUCAAUUUUCCCAUUACUAUGAGACCCAAAUUCAAUUCACAAUUCACCAAUUAAACCAUGAAUGAUCCAUUGAAAAAAGGAAAAACAAUGCAAGUGUUCAACAACCCAAAAAUCCUCGACCCUAGUUUGAAUCAACACUCAAGAACAUGUAAUUAAAUAUUGAGUAAUUUGAUACAAUAUAAUCAUAAUUAAAAUAGGGAGUGUACAACAUGCUUGAAAAUUAUGAGAAUUUGAAGAUACUGCGAAGUUUAGAGUCCAGAGUAGCGAAUUCUUGAGAUAACCUUGAUUUUCUUAAAUUGGAAAAUUUUGAAAGGGAAAGGCAAUGUUAAAAUAUGAUAACUGAUGAUUAUGAGAAUAAAAAGUGGCUUUAAAUCAUUUUAUGGGGUAAAGUGUUAGAGUUUUUGUCCUGAUUUUCUUACUAUAUUUAAGUUUUAUUUUCUUUUAGAAGGAAAAUAAAAGUUAUCAUAAUUACUUUUACUUUUUCUGAAAGAAAAAUAUAAUUUUUUUCCAUAUUUGGCUAACCCCUUUCUAGAAGGAAAGGUUUUGGACAUCUAUAAAUAGAAGACCCCCUUCUCAUACCAUAACACAAUAACAUCCACAAUGUAGUCUUUAAAGAGUCUUUGUUUAGAGGGAGAUUUCUCCCAAUAGAUUUAAUAUUUUUGAUAUUAAGUUUUAUACUAUGUAGGCCGAUUGGCCGAAAUAAUAUAAUAAUAUUAAGCUUUUAGUAUUGUUUUAUAUGUCUUCUGAAUUGUCAUCACAGUGAUUUGGAACUAAUAGCUUCCGCAUGACGCCCUCUCGAUUUCGAACCCAACAAGUUGUAUCAGAGCUUACGGUUCAAUGGUCCAAUGAUGUGGUGAGACGAGAUUAAACAGGUUCAAAACGUUUUCAAAAUCAAGUUGCAAUCAAUUUAAUGAUAAUGAAGAUAUAUCAAAAGCUACAUGUGGAGAUAAUUGUCAAUCAUAUUUUCAACAAUCCUGCUGUCAAAUAUUUGAAAAUAAAGCUCACUUUUAACCCUGCAAAAGGGCUCCAAUAUUUUUAACCCGAAAAGGACUAAUAUAUUUUUUAACCCCAAAAGCUCCAUUUUUAAACAUGUCAAACAGCAGUGAUAUAUGAAGAAUAUAUAUGAAAAACGAAAAUCAUGCACAAGAAGAAGGAGGAUCAAGAAUAUUUUGAAGAAAAUCAAGCCAAAAGGGGGAGAUUUGUUAGGGUUUUUGCCCUAAUUUUCUUACUAUAUUUAAGUUUUAUUUUUUCUUAGAAGAAAAAUAAAAGUUAUCAUAAUUACUUUUACUUUUCUUGAAAGAAAAAUAUAAUUCUUUUCCAUAUUUGGCUAACCUCUUUCUUGGAGGAAAGGUUUUAGACAUGUAUAAAUAGAAGACUUCCUUCUCAUACCGUAACACAAUAGCAUCCACAAUGUAGUCUUUAAAGAGUCUUUGUUUAGGGGGAGAUUUCUCCCAAUAGGCUUAAUGUUUUUUAUUUUUAGGUUUUAUAAUAUGUAGGCCGAUUGAUCAAAAUAAUAUAAUAAUAUUACGCUUUUAGUAUUGUUUUAUAUGUCUUCUGAAUUGUCACCACAAUGGUUUGCAACUAAUAGCAUCCGCAUGACUCCCUCUCUAUUUCGAACCCAACAUAAAGGACCAAAAAGCACUUGCCCCAAUAGAAAAAAAAAAAAAGACGAAAUUGGGCGAAAUUUGCCCAACAACGUGGCUCGCCGCUAUCGCGGUGACUAGCCAGCGUGCCACACUCCUAUCACAGAGCCUAGGCAACGUGGCACACUGUUUCGCGGACCAUCUCUGGUUCGGGGUCCCAAAGUGACUCCGAAUCCUUUUCAAAAAUUUUGAAACUUACCCAAAUCGCUCCUUUUUAACACCCCUUAUCAUGAUUCAUGUCAAAAAUUAUCACUACACGCGGGAGAGUCCCAAAUAAAUUGAUCAAAAUUCUCCGGGGUCUUACAGAGUGUUACUUCUUCUUUUUUAUUUUUUACUUCUUUUGAUUAGUUAAUGGUCUUUGAUGUUUUAUCAAUACAAAAGAUGCACAUUAAUUUCUUCAGCAUGCUCCGACCCUGCACAACAUGUCAGGCCUUCAGAUCAUGUAGCCUUUCUUUGUAGCCUUCUUUUUUAGAUAAUGUACACUGUACUGCAAGUUGUGCAAUUAUAGCUCCAUCACAAGGAUAAAAAUCUGAAUCAUCCUCAAGACUUUGGUGACAAAGUGAACUACCAGGCUUGGAACUCUUUAAAGGCUCAUGAAACAAGUGUGACAGUUUGAGGCCUGAAACAUACUUAGUCAUAGAUUAGAUAAUAACCAAACGUACCAAGCUAAUUCCAAAAACCGUUUUAUCACUGAUAUAAGGUGAAUUUCAGAAACUGUUGUAUCACUUAUAUAAAUUUCAGAGACUCUCCCUACAUUUGAUUAUUUAUUUAAACUCUCAUUAUGUUUGAUAAGUAUUAUGUAUAAUUUAUUAGAUAACUAUUUGAAUUAGAACUUUUUAUAUUUCGUUUGAUGAUUAGUAAUGCCUUGGGCUCUUGGGUCAAUAGAAAUCACGAUAACUCAGCAAUGUAACAUCAUUCAUGGUACAAGUUUUUGUUGCAAAGAAAUUAGAUUAACCAACUUUAGCUUUGUUGUAAUUUUCACAAACAAGACUUAGAAGAGUAUUGUUGCAAUUUUUGUGUGGUCCAUUAUGUAUUGGUUCCAUUACUUAUUAUUAUGGGUGUCAACGGAACGGAUCGAAUUGUAUUUUAUAAAAUUUAUUUCAUACCAAUUUUCCGGUUAUUUUAUUUUAUAUAAUCAAAACUAAUCUUUUGAAAACUAUCCUAUCAUCUCAGUUUCUCUCCAAUAUCGGCGUGGUUGGUUAUUUUCGAUAGUUUCCUAAAGAAUAUAAAAAAGUUAGAAGACGUUAUGUUGUAUACCUAUAUAUGACUUUGACAAAAACUUUUUAGACAUUUUAUUGUUUAAAAGGUGAUGAAUCAAGAAAACAUAAAAUAUAAAAUAUACAAGAAUAGAGAUUCAUUCCAUUAAUUUACGGUAGUGUAAACAUUAUUAAACAAAGAUAAAAAAACUAUAAUUUAGAUCACACGAACGGAAAGAAAUCAAUCAAGAUAAAACUCAACAGGAGAGUCUACUUAAAUUAGGUAUUUAAUAAGAGAAAUUUAGAUCAUAAAAGAGAAAAAAUAUCUAAUACUAACUCAUAGCUUUUUACCAAGAUUGUUGGAGUACCUUGUAGCUUGAUAAUUACAUCUCGGGAAUUAUAUUGCUUCUUGUAGUCACUUCCACUACGCCGUCUAAAGAAAUUCUUUUAAUAUUUUAUUAUUUUUAAAUUUAAUACAUAAAUAUAUUUUACACGUAUAUUAUUCGAUACGGUUCAAUAUUUUGAUUAUUAUAAAAUAAAAAACAAUCUAAUUAUUCGAUACGGUUAUGACAUUUUAUAAAAAUCAUCAAUUUUAUUAAAAGAAACCUAAAAAUAGAUUCAAGACGGUUCAGUCAAUUUUCAAAAACCAUUGACACCCCUAAUUAUUAUGAUAACAAUUAAAUUUGGCCUAACUGAACCCUUGAAGCUAGUCAACAGGGUGAGAAAUGUUAACAAGGUGAAAAUUGUUCGAAUACUUUACAUAAAUAUAUAGUAGAAAAAAGGGUAUUACAUAUUUUUAACAUAAAUAUUAAUAGGGAAAAGGCUCAAAUAUGUCAUCGAACUUUGAGAAAAGGCAUCUAGACUAUUCGUUUAAAAUUUGACUCAUUCAUGCCAUUGACAUUACAAAAAAGACUCAUUUAUGCCAUUUUCUUAACAGUCUAGUUUGAUGGUUUUUGGCAAAACUAUUUUGUACAUGUGGUCAACAAUGACUCGUCCAAAUCAUUAAUUAAAUGAGCCGAAAAAAAUUUAAGAAAAAAGGCUCAAAUAUACAUUGAACUAUAAAAAAUGACUCAUUUAUGCCAUCAAUUAAAAGUGAGGCUCAUUCGUGUCAUCGCCGUUAUAAAACUAGCUCAUUCAUGCGAUUACUUUUAACGGUGAAUUUCAAAAAUAGCUUUGUCACGUGACAUUUUAUUAGAGAUACACGUCAUUAAUUAAAAUAAAUUAGUAUUAAUUUAAAAUAUCUUAGGCCCAUUAAAAAGGAUCGAUCCAUUAACAUAACCCGAUCCACACACAUUAAAGGAUUUUUUUCUACAAUAAUUAUUUUUCAGAUCAGCAAAAUAGUGAUUAGUGUAUAUCCUUUGGUUGUUUCUUGUUAUUCUAAACCAUUAUAAAUGUUAUGCUUAACAGAAGCCUCAAGUUCUAUUCUACAGUAACUGAUUAGUUGUAAUUUCAGUGACUCUUAUACUUCGAAGUUGCAAGAAAAGAAGCCAAUGAACGAUUAGGACAAGCAAGAAAAAGAAUGACACAUACCAAUAGAACUUCUCCAUUCUCUCAUCACGAAUCAGGAGAGCAUACAUUGUUGAAAAAUUAUUUCCAAAUAACGGCUUAAAAUAAGUCCGCUAUCCUAAUUAUUCCGCCAUUUAUAUGGGAAAACUUAUUUCAUCACUAUGGUAUAAAAGGUGGGACAAACAAUUUUGAUUCUAACUAAUUUCAGAUAUUUUGAAAUUAAUAUUGAUUUAUUUUAAUUAAUGACGUAGACCUCUAAUAAAAGGUCAUGUGACAAAACUGUUUUUGAAAACCCACAGUUAAAAAGUAAUUGCAUGGAUGAGCUAGUUUUAUAACGGCGAUGUCAUGAAGGAGUUGAACUUUUAAUUGAUGGCAUAAAUGUGUCAUUUCUGAUAAUUCAAUGACCUAUUUGAGUCUUUUCUCUUAUUUUAAUUAAUGAUAUGGACCUCUAAUGAAAGGCCACCUGACAAAGUUAUUUUUGAAAAUUCACUGUUAAAAAGUAAUGACAUGGAUGAGCUGGUUUUGUAACGGUAAUGGCAUGGAUGAGCCAAACUUUUAACUGAUGACAUAAAUGAGCGAUUUCUGAUAGUUCAAUGACAUAUUUAAGCCUUUUUUCCAUAUUAAUAUGUCAAUUUAGUAGCCAAAUUUAGCUAUUUUGAAAUUUUGCCAAAGAAGAAUUUGGAAAUUUUCGGAAUCAACCUCUUUAUCGCACUUCUGAGCUAGUGAUAUAGACUGUGUAUACUUUAUCCUUUACAAACUCUACAUUAUAGUAAUAUAGUGAAUAUGUUAUUGUCAAGAAUUUUGAAAGCAUUGCUGCAAUUUGUGUGUGAACCGUUAUGUAUUUGUGCCAUUAUUAUGAUAACAAAUGAAUUUAGUCUAACUAAACCCUUAAGCUAGUUAACAUGGUGAGAAUUGUUCGAGAACAUUACAUAAACAUAUACUAAUAUUAAAAAAGAUCUUACAUAUUUUUAGCAUAAAUAUUACAAUAUAUCAAUUUAGUAGCCAAAAUAAAUUCCUCAUUUUUCUCAUCUAGUUCCUAAAAUAAGUUCCUCCAUUCCCAAUAGUCCAUGACAGAUAUAUAACAUAAAUAAACUCCCAUGUGCUCCUCACCUAAUUCCUCAAGAAACAACAAUUGCAUUCCUCACCUAAUUCCUCAAGAAAUGCUAAUAACAAUUGUCAUAUAAAGAUUCUCUUAGACAUACAAAAGAAAUGGAUUAUUUCUUUGAGGAAUGAUUUUAUAAACCUGCAUGUUUUUUCAGAACACCUACCCUUCAAAACCUUCGUUUCAAAUUGAUUGACUUGUUUUGAUUUGAUGUGGAGUUUAAGAAAAUAGAGAAACUUUUGAAUCUAGUUAUUCUAAAUUAAAAAUAUUUCAAACGUAUCAAAAUGUCCUUUAAUCGUGGGGUUUAAAUAUGUAACAUGAGAAAAUUAGAAUUAAAAAGUUACCGAAAAGGAAAAUGGUCAUUCUAUUUGAAAUAAAUUACCAAAGAAAGUAGGUCAAACAAAUUGAAACGGAAGGAAUAUUUGCAACUUUCUUUUACCAAGUGAUUUAACAGUUAAAUGUUUGCAUUAUGAAAGAAUUUCAUUGUAUCCAAACAUAAUUAAACUUGUCCCACAAAAUCGGUAUGGUCUUUUGUUGGAAAAUAAGAGGAAGUAGAACAAACUGUUUGGAAACUGGUUAGUCACACUUUAGUGGCCUUUCUGUUUAGACACACUUCAGUGGCCUUACAUUCUGUUUAGUCACACUUUAGUGGCCUUUAUUUUCUUUUACUUUUCUUCUAUAUAAACAGUUACUUCACAGAUAGUUGCUUCAAAGCAGAGAAAUUCAUCAAAUACACUUUCAAAUACAUCAUUAGUUCUUGUAUUUUGCAGCCAUGGAACUCUUUAAAAUCCUUCUUAUUAUUUUCAUCUUUUGUUCUUUCCCUUGUCCUAGCAUUCAAAGUGAUUCGGAGACAUAUAUAGUCCACGUUGAAUCCCCUGAAAACCAAAUUUCUAUUGAUCAAUUAUCAAUGACGGAUUUAGAUAACUAUUACCUUUCUUUUUUGCCUAAAAGUACCACCGCAAUUAGCUCAAUUGGAAAUGAGGUGCCUGCCAGCAUGAUCUAUUCCUAUCACAAUGUGAUGAAAGGCUUUGCAGCAAUAUUAACUGCAUCACAAGUGAAGGAAAUGGAGAAGAAACCAGGCUUUGUCUCUGCACAGAAACAGAGUAUUUUGUCUUUGCAAACUACUCAUAGUCCGAGCUUUCUUGGUUUGCAACCAAACAUGGGCUUGUGGAAGAAUUCCCAUCAUGGGAAAGGUGUGAUCAUUGGAGUCAUAGACAGUGGAAUUCUUCCUGACCAUCCUUCAUUUAGCGAUGUUGGGAUGCCUCCUCCACCUGCAAAGUGGAAGGGAGUUUGUGAGCCCAAUUUCAAGUGUAAUAACAAGCUCAUAGGAGCGAGAUCUUUCCCCCAACUUGACAAUAAUUCCCCGAUAGACGAAACCGGACAUGGUACACACACAGCAAGUACAGCUGUAGGAGCCUUUGUGAAAGGUGCUAAUGUCUAUGGGAAUGCUAAUGGCACUGCAGUUGGUGUUGCCCCUCUUGCCCACAUUGCCAUGUAUAAGUUGUGUAAUGAUGGCGUUGUGAUGAGAGUGAUAUUUUAGCUGCCAUGGAUGUAGUUAUAGAUGAUGGGGUAGAUAUUCUUUCAAUGUCCCUUGGUGAUGAGGAUCUGCGAGCUUUCCAUAAUGACACGGUUGAAAUUGGGGCAUACAGGGCAAUGGAAAGAGGCAUUCUUGUAAGUUGCGCUGCAGGAAAUGCUGGUCCUUCGAGGUCCUCAGUACGAAAUACAGCCCCUUGGAUUCUCACAAUAGGUGCCAGCACAGUUGAUAGAAAGAUAAAAGUUACCGUUAAGCUUGGAAAUAGAGAGGAAUUUGAAGGAGAAUCUAUUUAUAGUCCAAAGAUUUCCAUCUUAAGAUUCUUCAUUCUGUUUAAUGCUGGUAAAAACUGCGAACCAGGGUCCCUUACUGAUCCUGCUCUAAGAGGAAAGAUAGUCAUAUGUCAAGCAGGCGGUGGCGCUCCCAAUGUUGGAAAAGGCCAAGCGGUAAAGGAUGUUGGAGGUGUUGGCAUGAUUGUCAUCAAUAAAAAAGAAGAUGGGGUGACUAAAUCAGCUGAUGUUCAUGUUCUUCCGGCACUUGAUGUUUCAGCUACAGAUGGAUCAAAAAUUCUUGCUUACAUAAACUCAACAUCAAACCCUAUUGCUAUGAUCACAUUUCAAGGAACAAAAUUUGAGAUAAAAAUGCUCCCAUAGUGGCUUCAUUUUCCUCUCGCGGACCAAGUAAAGUUAGUCAGGGCAUCUUGAAACCUGACAUAAUCGGUCCAGGUGUUAAUAUCCUUGCUGCUUCGCCUACCUCUGUGGAUGACAACAAAAACACCAAAGCCACAUUCAAUAUUGAAUCAGGCACCUCAAUGUCCUGCCCUCACCUUAGUGGUGUAGCAGCUCUGUUGAAGAGUGCACACCCUGAUUGGUCUCCUGCUGCUAUUAAGUCUGCAAUGAUGACAACCGCUGGCACAUUAAACCUUGCCAAUAGUCCAAUACUAGACGAAAGGCUUCUACGUACUGACGUCUAUGCGAUUGGUGAAGGACAUGUUAAUCCAUCGAGAGCAACUGAUCCUGGACUAAUUUAUGAUACCCCAUUU